AUUCUUUGGCUACUAAUGUGACGUCCCACUUUUUAGUGGGUCACUCAUCUAAAGACUAUUCUAAUUUUAACACACUUAAUUUUCUUAAUCUUUUAAGCCUAAUCACCGCUCAAAAUGCUAUGCUAGGGUUAAAAGUUUUUAGCUCUGUUAUCUCUUAAAUGUAGGACCAUUUGGGGUCUUACAACUAACUAACUGAAUAAUAUGAUUUAAUGUAACCGACCGUCUCUAGCGCAAGCAAUAAAGGGCUUGGUGGUUGGUACCCAAGGUCCCAAGUUUGAAUCCUAGUUGAUUCACAUUUUCAGCUAAGUUUAUUUCUAAAUGAAAUAAACGAAGAGGGUAGCAUGCUACCUAUCUCAAAAAUAAAAAAAAAUAAAAAAAGAAAAAAAGUACAAAGUACUAUUAAAGCAUGAAUCAGUGGUUGAAAUUUCAAGCCUAGAUCUAGCACCGAGGUAUCCACCACCCAAGGCCCAAGGUAAGGUCUCCAAAAUGAAGCAGCUCUACUCGAAGAAAAUGAUCUCCAGCUUUGUGCUGCUGCUUCUCUUCUCCUCCCUCAUCAUCUCCCCAACUCAGUCCAGAGAAUUCCCUACCGCAGGUAUGUGUAUAUUUGUUUCUGCACUUCUCCAUCUUUAAUUUGUUCUCUUUUCAAACUAAAUUUUCAAAAACAGUAUUUAUUAUCUUCGCGCACAAAAAAUUCCUAUGCUUUACCAAUGUCUUAAAUUGACAUAUAUAUAUAUGACUACGUACCAUCGCCGGCCAAUUUGUUUUCGUGAAAUUUUUUGCUUCCAAAUUCAACAAUUAAUUACCGAACGUUAAUUAUUUGUGCGGAUAAAUAACUAAAUAAAUAAAUAAAUAAAUUAAUUAAUUAAUUAAAGGCGGUGCAGACGGCACGGGUGGUUCGGAGGGAGCGGUGACGUUGGGUCGUCGGUCGGAGUUCAGCCCGCCUUCACCCGCGGCUAACGGAAGCCCUCCCGGCGGGCCUUCCCGUUGAAGCAUUACAUGUACGGACGACUGUAUUUACACUAGAGAUUAAGUUAUUAUUAUCCUUCCGUUUGUAAUUAUGGGAUUGGUUGUCGUGUUUUCAGCUUUUUUUUUUUUUUUUUUUCUAAUAUUAUUUUCACCUUACUUUGGGCAUGUUUGAUUCAGAAUAAGAAUUAGUAUUAGAGUGGAAAUCGACAUGAACUGAAUUCGAAGACGGAAUAGUAAAAUUUUUUAUUAUUUCUGCUUUAGAAUAAUAAUUGGAAUAGGAAUAAUUGAUUCAUGUUUUCAUUGUUUGGUUGAGAUCGAAAAAGUUUUAGCUAUAAAAGAUAAUUAAAAUAGAAUUAAAGUUACAAAUUAUAAUUUAAAAUUGUGUUCGCAACUCAAACAGGGAAUUAAAUUUAUAAUUUAAAUUCAAAAUGGAAAUUAUUUAUUAAAAAUUUAUAUCAAAAUUUUAAAAUGAUAAGUCAAAUUUUUUAAUGUAUAUUUCUUCAAAAAAAAUUAAAAUUUGAAAUUGAGUGGACAAUUCCAAAUAUCAAACUAAUUUUUGGUUUGAUUCAAGUUUAAACAUAAAAUGAAAUUUAAAUUCCAAUUUGAAUCCGUAAAAAUUAAGUAACAAAUUUAAAUAAAAUUUAAAAUUUAAAAAUAAAAAUAAAAAUAAAAAUAAAAUUUAAUAUUUAAUUUAUAGAUCAAAUUCACAAUUCUUAAUUGAAUUUUAAUUUUAAUUUAGGCUAAAUUAUAGAAAAUUUUUCUGUAAAUACCCACUUUUUUACUUUUUCUUUCAAAAAUCUACAUUUUGUCUUCUUAAAAUUUUAAAAAAGUUUUCACAGUAGUAUGACGUUAAUGGAGAGAAAAAGCUGACCAAAUUAUUCUUAUUUCUUCUAUACGAAAAAAAAAACCGGAUCAAGAGGAGCUCAUCUAAUUGAAUUUUUGAAUUAAAAUUAAAAUUAAAAUUAAAUAUUAAAAUUUUAUUAAAAUUAAAAUUUACAACACCUCAAGAUUAAAAUUAAAAUUAAAAUUAAAAUUAAGAUUUACAACACCUCAAGAUUUACAACACCUCAAAAUUCUUAAUUUAAAAUUAAAAUUAAAAAAAAAAACCGGAUCAAGAGGAGCUCAUCUAAUUGAAUUUUAAUUUAUAGAUCAAAUUCAAAAAUCUUUAAGAUUUACAACACCUCAUCUAAUACUCCCCCUCAAGUUGGCGGUGGAUGUUAAUCACUCUCAACUUGCCGAGUAAAAACCGGAUCCAGUCCUGUCCAAGGGCCUUUGUAAAUACAUUAGCCAACUGGAGUUUUAUUGGUACGUAAGCUGUGAUGAUGUUGCCAAGUUUUAGGUAAUCUCAUAUGAAACGACAAUCCAGAUCGAUAUGCUUUGUUCGCUCAUGAAAGACGUGAUUAUCGAUGCUAUGGAGAGUUACCUGAUUAUCACAAAAGAGUUGUAUAGGCUGAGCAUGAUCGAUUCUGAGAGAUUGCAAAAAGGCUGUGCAACCAUAAUAGUUCACUGGUGAUAGUUGCCAUGGAGAUUGCAAAAAGGCUGUGCAACCAUAAUAGUUCACUGGUGAUAGCUGCCAUGGACCUGUACUCCGCUUCUAUUCACAACCUAGACACAAUGGUCUGCUUCUUGGUUUUCCACGAGAUAGGACAACCACCAAGCAUGACCAAAUAUCCGGUGACGAAGCGCUGUGUUAUCGGGCAACCAGCCCAAUCCGAGUCACAACAGGUGGUCAAUUGCAAAGAUGUUGUCACACCGAGCAAGAUUUCGUGUUCUGGACUUUGCUUGAGGUACCGAAGGACUCACAUUGCUGCAUCCCAGUGGAACGUGCGAGGGUUCUGCAUGAACUGAGAUAGGAUAUGGAUUGAGUAGCAGAGUUCCGGUCGUGAGAUGGUCAAAUAAAUUAAACGCCCCACCAAGCAUCGAUAUUAUCUUGGAUUGGAUAUGGGAUCACCAGAGUCUGUCGAUAAACGGUGCUGUUGUUCCAUAGGGAACGGUGAUGGUCUUGCUCCGAGUAUGCUACAUUCAGUUAAUAUGUCCAAUGUAUAUUUACACUGUGACAAAAAUAAUCUUGAUCGGCUACAAGCGAUCUCAACGCCGAGAAAAUAUUUCAGAGGGCCGAGAUCCGUGAUAUGAAACCGGGUGGUCAAAUAAGUUUUGAAACUCUGACAUUGACUUGAAUCAUUGCAUGCUACUAUUAAGUCAUCUAUAUAAACCAAAAUUGCCAUGAAAGUGGUGUCCUUACUAUAUGUGAAUAAGGAAUAGCCGACCCCUGAUUGAAUGAACCUAUAAUCAUGCAGCGGAAGCGAGCUUCGCAAACCAAUUUCUAGGAACUUGGCGGAGACCAUAGAGUGACUUUCGAAGAUGUAAUAUACCGAAACUUCGGUAGAGUAUAUCGAACUUUAGUCAAAUUGACCAAAGUAUGUGAGAGAAAUGGUUGGACAAAGUCCAAAUGACAUUCCAACAAUGUUGGAAGGGUUAGAGUUGAGUCUCAAGUGAGUUAGAAGGGUUUUAGCAUUGCUCGGCGCGAAUUGGAGUCGAAACAAUGCAAAACUGUAGUCUGGAGCAUUGUUAACCGGUAAAGCAUCAAGGGCGUACCGGUACCCGGCAGGCACCCGAGAGUAGUAGCUCUCGGGUUUGGCCUCUGUCAAGCUAUUAACCGGUGACUAAAUCAGGUAGUACCGGUACCCUGCGCCAACCUGAGAAAUAGCAGCUCUCGGGUUUGGGCAGUUGAACAGGGGCAUACCGGUGACGCCCACCGGCGUAACGGUACGCAGUGCUGCGAAAUAGCAGGUUGGUCUGCUAUAAAUAAUAACAAGUGGAGGGCUUGGUUGCAAUUGUAAUAGCUUAUAAAACCCCUCACCCAUCUCCUCUUUUGUUCACAGCAGUGAACCCACCAUCCUCUCUCAUUUCUCUCCCUCUCUCUCUCUAGGAGCUCUCCCCCCAAAGUGAAAGGAGGAGAUCAAGAGGAGGAUUUGGAGGAGAUUUGGAGUUUUGAAGCCUUUGGAGCUCACCUACAAGGAGGAGCUUGGAGGGCUUUUGGACUAAGGUGAGGUUUCAUGUAAGAACUAGGCUAGGGUUUGGUUUUAUACCCUAGACUUGGAUUUGAUCUUCUUGCAAGAUUAGAAAUCUUGUAGAGGCCAUAGAACUUCAUGAAAUCCAUCUUUCUUCACGUGCUCUCAUGGUAGAAAUUUAGGGUUUGUUUUGUGUGCCAUAAAAAUGGUGUAUUGGGCAAAUGACAUUGUUAGGGCACCAAAAUUAGGGCUUUUACCUUAGGUUGGUUUAAAGGUAAAUUGACCUUGUAGAAAUCAAAUUGAAAAUAUUUCCAACUCGUUGGUGGACUCAGUUCGCCGAUUCGACGAGCCUACGAAAAGAUAUUGAGAAAAAGCCUAAUUUGGCUUCGUUUUGCUACAGACGAGAGAAUAGGCGCCCAAAAAUCACGAAACUUGACCGUAGCACCUUUACAACCAUAUGAGGUGGGUGGUGCUUUAUGAAAUCGAUGAAUUUUCUUUUAUAUCUAAAGUGUCAUUUUUGAGCAUAUGGGACUAUAGCUUUUUCAUGCAUUGUAGGGUGAUUGAGAUUAUGUUGGUAUGUGUUGUUGCAUGUUGUGAGUACAAAUGCAUAUGAGCUGAUGGUAAAAUAUUGAGAACAUGUAAAAACCAUAUGUAUGCAUGAAUAGUGACAAAGACCUAGAUAAGGUAAAGAACCAAAUGACAUUAUGACAUAUGGAUUGUGUGGCAUUAGUAAACAAAGAAUGCUAGAAAUUGGACUCUUAGUUGAGUGGCAUCAAUGAGUUUUGAAUACUAGCGUUGAACACUUAGUGUGGCAUUAAGGAGAACAAUGAAUGCAUGAAAAUGAGUUAAAGAACACUUAGCGUGUGUGUGGCAUCAUGAAAGUAAAAGAAUGCAAGAAAAGUGAGAUAGUUAACAUUAUGACAUAACAACCUUAUAGUUAAAGGUUAUAUGAGCAUUGCAUCCUUAUAGUUAAGGAUUGGAUUGAACUUGGAAUCCUUAUAGUUAAGGAUUGAUCAUGCUCACCUAUAAGUUUUGGCUUGAGGGCGGUCACACCCCCUCGAGCGAUGAGCUCCGGAGUAGUCAUCACUGGGUCGUAGUAGUCUCCCCAAAAGACGGUCCCAUCGGGUCGUAGUAAUCUCCCCGAUGAUUGGAAUUAUGAGUUGGUGAGUUGUAGGCAAGCCUACACGUUAGCCAUGAGAUUGGGUAAUGAAAAAGUGAUCAUGCAUUCAUCAUGAGCAUUCUACUGAGCAUAUUAUUAAUUAUAUCUUGUUCAGGCAUAUUAGCUGCAUUUGUUUAGUUGGUUACUAUCUAUCUAUUAUUCUAUUAUGCCAGAUUUAGACAUAGUGGAAAAGUCGGCGAGGUCGGCGGCCGAACCCACUGAAAACUUUGUUGUAGUUCUCACCCCAGUAUUUCCACAGAGCCGGGACCGAGUGAGCCGGCCGACGAUAGCGGUAAAGGUAUCGCGCUAUAGACAGAGACUGCUCGAAUUGGUUUCAUUUUGCUUAGUUGCAUACCCUAUAUAUAUGUCAUCUUUUGUCUUUGAUGAUGUUAGUAUUAUGAACAUGGUAAAUGUUGUAAAGAGAGCUUAUGAUUAAAUAUAAAAAAGCUUAUAUUUUGGAAGAAAUGUUAUGUUCAUUGUGUGACCAUGUGAUGUAUAAAAGAAAUUAUGAAAUGAAUGUAAAGGAAUUUAGAUGUUGAAUGCAUGUAUGUGGUUGAAAGUUAAUCAUAUUACUUGUAUGAAUGUUUAGUUUAGUACUUUCACUUUGGCUAUUGCUUGCUCUCGUGCAAGCCAUGUAUAUCUUUGUUCCGCUGCGUAGAAUUUAUAUAUAUAUGAUUUAUACUUGUGUUGAGCCUUGGGUGGACAAAAGAGGUGCUGCACGUUCGGCGUCUGUUCGAUGUGCCCGAACCGACCAAAUAGGUCGGUCCUGGGGCGUGACUGAAGACGACAAGCUUUGCCGCGCCUCGUGACAUGAAAGCCCAGUGGAAUACUCAUGUAUACUUCCUCUUCGAGGUCACCAUGUAGAAACGCAUUGUGUACAUCCAUUUGAUGAAGUUCCUACUUUUUAAAAAUAGAAACAGUCAGAAGGCAACAUACACUCACUAAUUUAGCAACAGGUAUGAAUGUCUCAAGAAAGUCGAGUCCCUCGAUCUGAGCGAACCCUUUUGUGACAAGACGAGCCUUAUAAUGCUCCACACUGCCAUCGCCCCUUUGCUUCACCUUGCAUACCCAUUUGUAACCGAUGGGUUUCUUAUAUGGUGGGAGAUCUUCCACGAUCUAUGUACCGUUGUCUUCGAGAGCCUUUAUCUCUUGGGCCAUAGCAUCUCGCCAUCUAGGAUCUUUUAUUGCUUGAGAGGAAUUUCUAGGCUUGAUAUCUUCAUCGAGAGCUGCUACAAAUGCUUUAUGAGAUUGAGAUAAGUCAUCAUGACAGAUAAAAUUUUCUAUAGGAUGGACCAUACCUGAAGUCGCUGUGGAGCGGAGUGUCAUGUAGGGAGGGUCUUUGGCUUCGGUGGCAUGGCACAUAUAGUCUCGUAGGUGGGUUGGUGUUCUGCGCAUCCUUCUAGGCCAUGUGGUUUGGAUCUCUAUCAAAUCCAGCCCACCAUAGGCUUCAAGCUCACUCCCCCUAUCCAGCGUAAUUUUUUCCUGGUUGGGUUCCUGCAUUUCUGGGCCUGGUUCGAACUAGGAUUGCAAGUUGUUAGGCCCGUUCACUGGGUUCAAUUGUACCGAACCCGACUGGAGGAACCUGACAUGGCUGAGCUACCAGCCUGUCUACAAAGAUUGGGUUGACUGCAUCGGCUUCCUCAAAUACCAACGGUACAAUCGGUUGGUCUUCGUUGUCGGCCUCAAAUUCUACAAAUUUUUCUUUGCUGAAAACUACAUCUCUCGAGACAAAAACUUCUUGUGUGUGAAGGUCGUAUAGUUUCCAUCCUUUUUGGGCCUGGGGAUAACCAAUAAAGAUACACUUUCCAUCCUUUUUGGGCCUGGGGAUAAACAAUAAAGAUACACUUUCAAGCCCUUUCAUGAAAUUUAUCAUGGACCUGCAGCUUCCAAUGAGCAAAACAUAUGGACCGAAAUAUCCGAAUAUGAUUAUAAUUCGAUUUUUGCCUAAAGAGGGUGUCUUCCUGGAUAACAGUUGUGUCGGAGUAUAAUUGAUGAGAUAAACGACAGUUAAGACACACUCGCCCCAAAACUUAAUAGGUGGUCCCGGUUCGAAGCGCAAGGCUCUCGCUACGUUGAGUAUGUGCCGGUGCUUACGUUCCACUCUCCUAUUUUGUUGAGGGGUCUCGAUGUAGUCGAUGUAGGAGGUUUGGUGUAUUAUCCCCGUAUAUGAGUAAAACUACCGUAUUGGACCUGAAACAAAUUCUCGACCAUUAUCUGAUCUAAUUACUAUAAUUAUGCGCCCAAAUUGAGUUUUUACCAUAUUAUAGAACUUUAUUAACUACCUGCAUAUUUCAUAUUUUUCUUUCAUUAAAAAUGCCUAAGUCCCUCGACUAUGAUCAUCAACUAUGGUUAGAAAAUAUCUCGCGCCAGAUAAAGAUACCGUGUUAUAAGGUCUCCACAAAUUGCAAUGGAUCGAAUCCAAACUAGCAGUAGCUUUAUUUUCACUAACAUCAAAUGGUGCUCUAGUUUGUUUCGAGUGUAAACAUAUGUCGCAAGAAUCGCUAAAAGACUUAUUAACUAAAAGGGUAAAUUGCAUUGUUACCCCCUGAACUUUUGGCGAAGUUUCAUUUUACUCCUCGAACUCCUAAAAUGGACAUCUAACACCCUAAACUCUAAUAUUUCAUUCGUGUUACCUCUUCCGUCAGUUUUCCAUCAAGCUCCGUUAACUGAAAACUGACGGAAGGGGUAAAACGAAUGAAAUAUUAGAGUUUAGGAUGUUAGAUGUCUAUUUUAGGAGUUUGGGGGGUUAAGUGAAACUCGUCAAAAGUUCAGAAGGUAGCAGUGCAAUUUAUCCUAAUAUGUUACUUAUGGAUUGACUACUAACUCUCAAGUUAGUGAUCAUGUUUGAUUUUGAAUUUUAAUACAUUACUUAUGGAUUGACUACUAACCCUCAAGUUAGUGAUCAUAUUUGAUUUUGAAUAUAUAUAUAUAUAUGUAUAAUCCUAAAAUAAAUCAUACCAUAAUUUAUUCUACAUUUUAUUGUAAUAAAAUAAAAGCGAAAGAAAUAAAUUAGAGUGGCUUAAAGAUAAGAAAUGAGCGAUACUAACUACCUACGAUGCUCGAACACUCUACUGUCCUAGUGUACUCGCUAAUAUGGUUGAUUUACAAUAGGUGUCCUUAUUCGGAUAUAAAGAUUUUAAUUCUCAGUUAAUUUUCUGUAGUACUCGUUUGUCCUUUUUAUCCUUAGAAGUAUUGUUCUAGAAAAUGCACUUAUUUUCUUUGAAACUAUGCAAUAUAAUUUUAUUGUAGCCUAAAAAUUUUUUUUGUACUUUAUUUCAGCCAAUUAGAAAUUUUUAAUAUAAAAAUAUAAAAUAAUAUUUUAUAAUACUUUAGAACAAUGCUUCUAAAGAUAAAAAGGACAAACGAGUACUACAGAAAAUUAAUUGAGAAUUAAAAUCUCUAUAUCCGGGUGAGGACACCUAUUGUAAAUCAACCAUAUUAGCGAGUACACCAGGACAAUAGAGUGUCCAAGCAUCGUAGGUAGUUAGUAUCGCUCUUUUCUUAUCUUUAAACCACUCUAAUUCAUUUCUUUCACUUUUAUUUUAUUACAAUAAAAUGUAUGAUAAAUUAUGGUAUGAUUUAUUUUAGGAUAAAAAAUAUAUAUAAAUUCAAAAUCAAGCAUGAUCACUAACUUGAGGGUUAGUAGUCAAUCCAUAAGUAAUAUAUUAUAAUAAAAUAAUUUAUAGUCAAGAGUCCUACAGGAUAAAUUGCACUGCUACCUCCUGAACUUUUGGCGAGUUUCACUUAACCCUCCAAACUCCUAAAAUAGACAUCUAACACCCUAAACUCUAAUAUUUCAUUCGUUUUACCCCUUCCACCAGUUUUUGAUUAACGGAGCUUGACGGAAAACUGACGGAAGGAUAACAUGAAUGAAAUAUUAGAGUUUAGGGUGUUAGAUGUCCAUUUUAGGAGUUCGAGGGGUAAAGUGAAACUUUGCCAAAAGUUCAGGGGGUAACAAUGCAAUUUACCCUUAACUAAAAUUUCAAGAAUUAAAUUCAAAACAUAGCGCAAGGGAUGGCCUAGUCGUCGAUGCCAUAAACCAUAGCUCUGCACUGUGGUUACCGCACAUGCUGACAACAGUGCCAUGCACUCGAGAUGAUAGAUCCUUUCCUCAAUUCACCCACUCCAAUCGGCUUUUUCGAGGUGAGGUUCUGCACAAGACAAAAAUCAGAAAAAACUAUCACCAAACAGUUUAGAUCUGCGGUCAACUUUCCAAGAGAAAUUAAAUUGUACAUAAAACCAGGAAUCUAAAAAAGAUUUCGCAAAAUUAAAUUCGGGCCCAAUUUCACCAAUCCCAUCAUCUUAGCCUGAACUGUCCUCCCAUUUGGGAGUUGUAUAGGGUACGACGCUUCUACUCUCUCGAGUUCGUUAAGAUAUUCUAGUCGUUCGUCCAUAUGCAUUGAGGCUCUCGUGCCCAGUAUCUAGUCCACGGUAUCAUUGUGAGUGAAAUUCUUACCCGACAUUCAUUCAGUCGAUCUCCUUUGAUCAUUCAAUAGCGCUAAAAGCUGUUGAUAUUGUUCAUUUGUGAAGCUUGGACCCAUUUGGGUUGAACGCUGGAGAGGAUCUAUAGCUUGGGUUGAAUGGGCUCACAACUGGACGAGCUGUCCGCUGUUGUGACGAUCUACCUGCAUCACCCAUUCCUCCUGCUCUGCGUCCACCUCUCCUUUUUCAAGAUCCACAUCUCGAUUCCCAAUUUUCUAGGUAACCAUUCAGUUCCCAACAACUCUCUCGAUCAUGUCCAAUUUUUUGACAAUGGUCACACUUCAAUCUAUGACCUUGAGUCGGUUUCGCGCUCCCUUUAUUGCUGUUGUUUGCGAAGAAGGCCGCUGCAUUGACCCAAUUAUCUUUUCCAUUGCCACCAUUCAUUAACGCUCAUCUUGCGUGACCAUUGAGAAUGCUUUUCUCAAGGUUGGCAGAGGAUCUAAGUUGAGUAUUUGCGAUCGAAUAGUGCCAAAAAUCUCGACAUUGAGGCCUAUGAGAAACUGAUAGAGUUUCUCAAUUUCCUUCUUCUUAACAGAAUCCUCGGCUGCCGCGCACGUGCGUGCUUGCAUUCUGGAAUAAUCGUCGAGUUCAUCCUAUAGAGUUUUCAACAUUGUAUAAUAACUCGCCACCGAUAAACCCUCUUGACGGAGAAAGCUAAGCUCGGUUUUGAGUUAGAAAACUCUUGGGGCAUUCCCUUGAGAGAAGCAGACCUUCAAGUCAUCCCACAAAUCUUUUGCAUCUUCGGCAUAAGCAACUUUUCUGUAGCACACUGAACUUUAGAAAAUUGCGAGAUUCCAGUAUUAGAAUAGCAUUUUGAGCUAUUCCCGGUGUUUUUGUAGGUCGUUGACUGAGUACCGACUCAUUACUCGUGUCGCGAGAAUGCGAGAAGGAGUACUUAGCACCAAAAUCUGGAAAUUUAGGUUUUGGGGUACAGAGUACCGGUACCUGGGUGAGGUACCGGAACCCCAGCGCGUAACCGAGAAGAGCAGCUCUCGGGUUUGGGCUGAGAGAUGCUGGGUUUCGGUACUAGGUUACCGAGUAUCGGAAUUAGAGUCGGGUACCGGUACGGCAUCAAUUGAGUAUCGGUACACCGUAAACAGAUGGCUUGACCGAGGCUCGUGUUUGGCAGAUCUGGCUGCCGGGUACCGGUCCUCCUGCCCGAGUACCGGUACGCAGUGCAGAAAACUGCAGUUCGUGCAGUUUGCAAUUUUGGAGUUUGGAGGGGCUUCUUGGGAUUUGUUACAACUUGUAUAUAUAACCCUUUUCUCCCCCACAGCCCCUUUUUGUGCUGAGCUUGUAGAAGUGGAGAGGUAAGGUUUUUCCCCUUUCUCUCUCUAAAUUUCUCUCCUAAACCCCUUUUGAUUUGUGUUUUGAUCUCCUUUUCUUCUCCCUCUUCAUGGUGGCAAACUCUUGGACCUUGAAGGAGGCUUGGAUGUGAAGAGAGGAGUUUCUUGGGGGACCAAUCUUCAACCCUAGCUCAAGAUAGCUUGAUUUGGAGCUUUCUUGAAGGUUAGUACUUUUCUUGCAUCACCUAUUUGUGAUUUUUGGCAAGAUUUGUAGAUGAAACCUAGUUUUGGAAGAACUAGGGUUUAUUUUGGAAUUUCUUGAUUUGAGGCUUUGGGGACCUAAUUGAUGAGUGUAGAACUCUCCUUUAGGUUGGAUUUGAAGCUCCAUUAGUUUGAUUUAAGCUUUGGACAAGUUUAGCUUAGUCAAAGAUAAUUUUCACCUCUUUUUCUUGUGAUUUUUGGUGAAUUUUGUAUGAUAUUCGUUCGAAAUUUGUAACCCUCUUAGAAAUUCUUUUAGGGAGCUAGAAGCUUGGUAGAUAACUUCGUUCGAAGGAACGAAAUGGUUCGAAGUGUAUCCGGUGGGUUUGACCUCAUUGAAAUGGGUAAACUCCUUCUAUAUCUUCUCUAUGGUUAGUAGACUUAGAUGGACGUGUAUUCAUGCUUAGUAGGACAUGAUAGAAUUUUAAAGUACGUACAUAAUACAUAUGUGUUGCAUGUAGAAAUUUAUAUUCUAUAUAGUAGAGGUACAUAAUGUGGACUUGCAUUCUACAUGACAUAUGUUUGCUUUUCUUACUAUACAAUAAUAGAAAGCAUGAUAAAGAUGAACAGGGACCUAUCUUGUGAACCAUACUUGGAUUGUGGAAUAAAUGAGAUUUAGCAAUUUGUUGCAUGUUGAUGUAUACUUGUUUUAGACAAGGUGAAUAACACUUAGUGUUUAUGUGCAAGUUAAGAUCGAUAUGAAGCUAAACUUAGUGCAUUGAAUUUAGUUGAACAACUAGUAAUUGACAUUAUGACAUUGCAUUUGAUCUAGGGAUCGAUAGUUGUACUCCAUGUGUUAGACAUGAGGGAAUGAGAUUCUAACGCCUUUGGGCGAAUGAUAAGAAAGACAAUUACAUGUAACACUAAUUGAAUGAAAUCAUUUGCAUCAUAAUACUUCUACUCCAUGUAGUGGGGACUUGGUAGAAAAGUAUAUGCAUGACAUGCAUCAUGAGCCUUGUAAAUAUCCUAUGGUACCUUUGCAUAUGGUAUAAGAAAGUGACCCCUUCGUUAUGGUGGGAUAGAGUGAUGUGAACUCCUAUUUGAAACUAGAACAAAUAGUGGACUAUCUUAGAUAGGAUAAUGACAAGUUUUAUGUGCUCUUGAACUAGUGACUUAUGCUUGACAUGGUAAACAUGAACGUUAUGUAGUGACAUUUGAACUAGUAAAUGACUAAAGCUUGACAUUGUGAUACUAUAUUGGACCUUUGGAUCUAUUUUUAAUUUUAUGGACGAUUCAUAUAUAUGCAUUUGGCAAUAAUGUGAAUGAAGAAUGACAGUUUAUUAAUUUUAAAGAAAAGUACACUGAUAUUAACUCUAUAAGUUGUGACACCGAUUGGCUUAUAGGGUAUAAAACUAAUAGUGUACUCUGUCGGACAUAUGUUUUGCUAUUGGCAUAGUUAGUUGAUAUCAAAGUAAUCCUGGUGCGACAUAUUGGCAUACAGUUAAAAGAAUUUUUAGAUAUCUGCGAGGUACUGCGAACCUUGCUCUAUGCUAUAAUGGUGGAGAGCUUAGGUUGAUGGGAUACACUAACGAUGAUGGAUUGCAGAUAGAGAUGAACACAAAUCCACCUUGGGAUAUGCAUUUAUACUUGGAGAAGCUGCUAUUUCAUGGUAUAGCAAGAAACAACCAUAUGUGUCCUUAUCGAUUAUAGAGUCGUAGUACAUUGCAUGUACAGUAGCAGUAUAAGAGGAUGUUUGGCUAAGGAGAUUCAUGAUAAAUCUGAAUAUAAUAGCAUGUGCAGAUAAUGCUGUUAUUAUUUAUUGUGACAACAAAGCAACGAUAGCUUUUGCAAAGAUCCAAAGUAUCAUGAAAAAUGUAAGCACAUUGAGAAUAGAUAUCACUUUAUUAGAGAUAUAAUUAGUACACAAUAUCCUUAUUUUAUGAGAAUGAAUGUUAUCAGGCCAUGAUCAGCCCUCUCAUAUGGAUGAUUGCCCUCUUGUUAAAAAAGCGAGCAAGAUGAGACAAAUAAGAUCACAUAAAUGCAGUGAGUAAUGUAGAUGAUCCACUUCACGCUAACAGAGUUGGCAAGUGUUUUAAUCAUGAAUAUCACCUUAAAUGAGCUAAGAUGAGACUUUAUGAAGUUGACAGUAGAGAUGGUCCGCGACUCUACUUGGCCUAUAUGAAGCCGAACGUAAAGAAUGCACUAUGUGGGUGACUGUCUUGAGGUUUGCUUUCUUGAGUUGCAACAUAACCGAUAUUCAUAUAGUGUUUUGAGCCCUUAGAGGUAGCUCCACCAUAGCAUACGUUUAUAUCGUAUGUAGAGGAUCGAUAACUAUUUUAGAGAGUGACGGAAUUGAUCCCUAUUUCGUCGUUGUGUAAGCUUUGCGUACCCUUUGGGACGCACAACCAUGUCAUAAAGUAGAUACUUGGUGAUGCUACUUCAGCAUGAUAUCCAAGGGUUAUGAUUAACUCGGUCCGGCGGAAUGUGUCGAGAAAAGCAGUCAAGUUGAAAUGGAUUGGCAUGAGGCAUCUGAGGAAAAAUCAUCUGACAAUAUACCUAUGAUUUGUGACUCAUAGCCUGGGCGAUUAUGUUGAUAUUUGUUUUCAAUAUAAUCAUGAGUACAAAUGCAUUGACGAGAGAGAUCUAGCUUGCUCUAUAGGGAUUAGAAAUGCUAUGAUCUUGUGUAGUUCAAUGAUUUAGGGUAUAGGCGAGAUUUGGAGUUAUAGUGCUAUGUUAAUUGGAUGGUGGCUUAAUAUAACACUCCUCACUUUUGAUUCUUCUCGUUGAUCGCAUCAAUCAUUUUCUAUAUGAAGAGUAGAAUGAGAUGAGAAUAUAUUUGGGAUGAGAAAAUAUAAAUAAUUACCAAGUGUGUAUGAGUGGGAGAUGUUAGAAUUCGUUCACAUUGGGACUUAUCUAAAGAAUUCCUAAUCCACAUGGGAUAAGGAAUAAAUGUAAAAGAUAAAUCUUAUUCUAUUUAAAAUCUCUAUCUAUAUGAGAGAUUCAGUUAGAAUAGGAUUAGGAUUAACGUCUUGUAAUGACCCAGUCCACUAGCAACAAUAACUUGUUGGGCCCAAACACCGGCCCAAAAAGUUAUUGUUGCUACUGGGCAGGGUUGUUACAUUUGAUAUCAGAGCCGGUUCCCCAGCCGGAAAUAUGUGGCGAGUCUCGACGACUGAGCCAGGGUCUGAAAAAAAAGGUGAUAGACUAUACCGGAGUCUAAAUGACAAGGUGAUCGGUUAUGUCAGGGUUUAGAUGACAAAGCUAGCGAGACGAAUCUCACAACGCCUGAUGAUCUUGGGCUGUGUGUGUGAUUUAACUGACGAGAACGUCAAGGCCUUAACGGGGGAAGUCUGUUGCACCCCAAUAAUCCCAUAUCGGAUAGAAAUAGGAAUGUGAUUGGAUGUAUAAGAGACAUAGACACUGUGUGACGCACUGGACCUUUGCAAAUUGCGGGGUUCGAGUGUUUGGACAGUGUCCCGAGUCUUUCCAGACUUUCUGGUGGGUCGUUGGCAGUGUUCCGACCUAUGGCACGUAUUCCGAGAAUUGUAGUAUUUUAUGUAGCGCUAAGGUCACCAAAAAGUUGGACUUAGCCUACCCUCGGAUUGCAUUCUGCACAAGAUGUACCGGUACACCCUUGAUGGUCGUACCGGUACACAUUUUGUACCGGUACACGCUUGAUGGUUGUACCGGUACACUUGUGGCAAAUUUCGAACCCGAGCCUCGGGUUCACAUUUUCGUAGGAUGUGUACCGGUACACUUUCCCGUGUACCGGUACACUUUGGCAGAAACUGAGCAGUUUGAACUGCAGGGGGUUUUUCGCAAUUGUGGACUUCUAUAUGUAUCCCCCACGCCCCUAGGGCUCCUCCUGAGCUUGGAGCAGCAGAAGAGAAGGUAGGGGAGUCCUCCUCUUCACCUCUUUCAUUUCUUUGAUUUUUGUUUGGAUUUUUAAGAGAUUAAACCCCUCUUUUGCCUCUUUUGGUUGAUUUGAGGCUUUCCCCCUUUGAGGCUUGGUUUUGGAGCAAGGUUGAGGGAAGAUCCUUGGACUUGGAGAGGUUAAAGCUUGGAUUGAAGCUUCUAGGAGGUAAUCUACUUGCUCUCUCCCUCUAGAUAUGAAUUUUAUUGAUGAAUUCAAGGAUAAACCUAGAAAUGGAAAUUUAGGGUUUAUUUGGGCAUUUUGCAUCUAGGCUUUUGAAGCUAGAUUGAGUGGAUUAGGAGGCUUCCAUUAGGUUGGAUUGGAUGAGCCCUAGCUUUCAUUUUGGAGCUUUAGAGGAGAUUUUUGCACUUGAGUGAGUUUUCCUCACCUAUGCUUGAAUAGCUUAAUGAUUGGGUAAUUGGUUGUUUCGUAUGGUUCGUGUGACACUUAUUCUUGUACCUCUAGGUACUAGGAGACUAGAGGACACUCUCGUUGGAGCGCACGAGGAGUUUCGUUGUCAUCGGUGGUUGGCUUCGUGGAAAUGGGCGCGAAAUGACCCCUAUGCUCUAUCUACUUGUUGUUAAAUUAUUUUUAAGUUCAUUUCUAUGCUAAUGAAAUUUAUAUGAAUUUUAGGGCACUUAAAAUGCAUGCCUCAUGUAUUAUUGAAAAUUUCACUAUAUAGUAGAGCUAUAUGAGUAGAAUGCAUGCAUACGGGAAAAGUGUUUAUUUUGGCAAGUGAAAAAUACAUCUCUUAUGAGAAUUAUGACUUGGAAUAUGUACUUUGGAACAUAGUUACCAUGUUUUGACAUAGAGAACCAGAGUGUCAUAAAGGGGCACUUGAAACUAUGUAAACUAUGAAACUGCAACAUAGAGACAUAUUGGUAGGCCACUACAUAUCUGCUAUAUUCCAUGUAGAGACAUGAUGACAUAGGGAUAGGCCUUGAAUACUUGACACAUUCCAUGUUAUUAGACAUGAGGACUGGUACUUGCGACAAAUCAUUUGACUACUUGCCAUUGUGCUCAUUCGCACAUGCUUGUGAGGGUCGCUCCUACAAGCCGGCACUCCGGAGAUGGCCAUCGCCGAUACAUAUUCGCCGUGCGGGAUUGGGCGCCGAAGUGGAUUGCCGUGGGACAGGCUCAUCCCUAGGGUGGGGAUGAUGACUACCACGGGGCCAUUAGGCUCGGCACCGGCCAGACAGCCUACGGGUGGGGUCUCAGGGCCAUAGACAGCCUGGCGGUGGGUCUCUUCAGAUUUUGACUUUGUAUAUCCAUUAUGACAUGGGGACAGAUGAGGACUUAGUGUACUACUUGGGCAUUGACAUAGAAUAGUAAACAACGAAACUGGUUACUAUUUCUCAUUGUGAACAUCAUGAUAGUUGGAGACAUUUACUUCAUGCAUAGUUGCUUUCAUACUUAUGCUAUUUAUACUAAGUAGAGAUAUCAUGUUGUAGUAAGUUACCUUUUACUUGCCUUUCAUUUUCCUACAUUUAUAGUCACUGACAUCUACUGUAGCUUUGGGCCUUGUGGUGCAUUCACUGAAGUCAGUAAUUGCCCACUGGGAACUAUUCUUAAUAGUUCUCACGCCCUUGUUUCUAUGUUUCCUUUUCAGAGCCUUCGGCACCGGCGGAGGCACGGGAUCGCGGCAAGGGUGUCGCGUAGCUAGCUCGCGGAGAGUUUCUGUUGCUUAGGUGGUUUGCUCUUUCUUUUGUAUUUUGAGAGAGUGUGAGAUUUUUGUAUCCAUGUAUAGAGACCACCUAUGUACCUACCUAUAGCGCUUGUAUUUGGGGGUUCCUAUUGUAUUUACUUUAUGUUUUAUUUAGUGGAUUUACAGUUUUAUCCUUAUUCCUUGUUGUAGCAUCUAGACAUUUAUUAUGCUCUGAUACACCUAGAUGUCUCUUAUUAUUGCUUUUAUUAUUGUUGUUUUUAGACGCCUUAUAUGUUGUAGACAUAUGGCGGGUCUGGACACGCGCUGGGCGGGCUUCCGCUGGGUCCCGGGGCGUGACACACUGGCAAUAAUAAUUGGGUUUAAGCAUUUUGGCCCGGUGUUUGGACCCAUCGAGUUGUUGUUGCUAGUGGGCUGGGUCGUUACAUGUCUCCCUUAUGGCCUAUACAUACAUGAGGUAUUGACCACAUAUGAAUACACAAGAAAAAUUAGCAUAAUCUCUCCAUCGAAUUUCUCUCUCUUGGGUUCGCUCUUGGGCACCAUCAAAGCCCUAGGGACUUGGACGGUCAUGUGCUGCGAUCGACUUUGGUAGCCGGUUCGCAAUGAAAAAGAAUAACGUGCAAGAAAUUGAGACAGAUUGUUGGCGAAACAAAGAGUUCGUAAAACAGGACAAGAUCAGAUCCUGAUAAUUGCAACAUUAAUUCCACAGUAAGGAGGUAUAUAAAAAUCUAUGUGGUUUUUGUACUUUGAUUUGGCUAUUAAUUUAUUUUUCCAACACUGCCCUUUUUCUUCAUUAUUAUUGACUCUUUUAAUUAUCAUGAAUCUUCAUAUCUACUAAAAGUACGAUAAUUAAGAAAUUAGAUUGUGUUCAAUAGUACGUUCAAAGCAACUGGGUUGAACAUACUAGUUUAUGUUAAUUAAGCAACACAAUAUAAACAAUAAAUUUAAUUUGGACCUUGUUCCAAUUAGAAGAAAUCGGAUAGUACCCCUCGCCUACUUACUUUAUUAACACAACAAGAUUUAGGAGCUAUUAAGUAUGUCAGAGUUCUCGUUAUUUAUUUCUUUGUAUAUAUGCUUAAUCCAACUGUAUGGCUGCUUACCAAGAUUCUGUUAACUGUCUCGUUGGGUAGGGGCAGGACUGAGUGAACGUUAGUCAUAAUUCAUUUUUUUGUCUUUGUGUAGAUAGGUAUAUGUUAGGUAGGAUUUUAUGGAUUAUCAGAUAGUUUUAUUCAUUCGAUUAUAUAUGUUCUUUUCUCUGUAUCGUGAAAUUUCAUGAAUUUUUGUAAAACCAUUCUAUUUGAUUCUUUGUUCGAUCGGUUCUGUAGCCUUAGAUAUUUACUAUUUUAUGAGGUACACGGCGCUGUCUAUUACGCCUCGAGUUUGGGGCGUGACAUCUAACUUGUGAGAACAAUUUCUCGCCAACGCCCUCCACCGGUUGAUACAUAUGCUAAUACUUUUCAGAACAUGGAGAGUGAAUCAACACUACAACAGAAUUAGGUUAUAGGGACACAUAUUUGGGACACUUUUGAAUAAGUGUCCUAUUUAUGCUAAAACUUAAAAAAAUAUCUACUAAUGCCUAAAUAUAAAGUCCAAUCCAAUCAAAAAUAAAAGAUUACUCUACUCAACCCACCACACCCAGUCCAUUUGACCCGAUUACAAACAGAAAAAAAAAAAAAAAGAAAAAUCAAUUACCAUCUUUUCUUCUCUCUUCACUCAAUCUACUGAAAUUCUAGACGAAGAGCCUUUCCUGUCGUCCUCCUCCGCCACCGCAGCCAACGAGAUAGAGUUUCGGCGGUUGCUAAAUGCUUAAAUAAAUGUUGGUAAAUUAGCAGCACUCUUUUAGGUUAUAGCGACACUUUUUAACUGUCACUAUAUACCUAGCGACCCCACGUAUAGCAACACUUUUAAAAAGUGUCGGUAAUUUUAGCUAGCAGCACUUUUUUGACAUGUACCUACAUUUAAAAGUGUCGCUAUAAACCGUUUUUGUUGUAGUGCAAAUCCAUGUUUGAAAUGAAAUUGAGAUACUAAUGCAAGAGUCAGAAAUUAUCUAUAUAGCUGGUCGAGCCAGACUUAUACAUACAGUCGGUUACUUCGGCCUUACCUACUUAUGUCAUGCAAACGGCAAAGCUUCCAGCAAGUGUUACGGAAUCCUUGGACCGUACGAAUAGAGAUUUCCUUUGUGGAAAAAAUGGUGAUCAGAGAAAGAUACAUUUGAUGGCAUGGAAUAUUAAUUGUCUGCACACCAAAAUGUGUGGCGGAUUUGGUUUCAAACAAAUGAAGCAGGUGAACGAGGCCCUCGAACGUUGUUUUCAAUUUUGCGAAACACAUGCCGAUUCAAGUACGGUUCAAGUAGCUCAGCACGUUAGAGCAAAGGACUGAAAAUCCUUGUGUCAGUGGUUCGAAUCCACUUCUGAGCGGGCUUUUGGUCCACCGAGAGCGAGCCUACUGAAGGAAGAAAUGAAAGUGAAUGAAAGAGGCUGGCUGAUUUCCAAAAAAUGGUGUACCUAGCUCCCAGUGCCCAAAUCAGGAUGGGAGAGUUCGGUUCGAGUCUUUAUUGAUCGGUUGAAUCCAUAUGUUCCGGGGAGAGAUGACUCCGCGGGGAGUAUCCCUCCCAACCAAAUUCAGCAAUACUUUUGUAUAAAUCUGCAUUCGGCCUAUCGAUUGAAUCGGGGGCGGAGUAUCCUUCCCAAUAUUUUGUAAAAAUUCGCCAAUAUUUUGUAAAAAUCUGCAUUCGGCCUAUCGAUUGAAUCGAGGGCUGCUGCUGUUGAGCACUCUUUCCAUCACCGGAUUCCCUAUGCGCUGAUUAUUUGGUUUAGGAAUUUUAAUUUAGUUGUAGUAUACUAUGAAUAUUUUUUAUGUGUGUUCCAAAACAUAUAAAUUUUUCCAAAUGUACAUCACAAAUUUAAAAAUUUGAAUUACUUUAAAAUUUACAUUAAAGUUCGCAUUUAUUUCUAAAUCUAUGGAGCAAAUUCAAAAUUUUAAAUUUAAUUUUGAAUCUAUUAUUUGAACUUAAACAAUUGCCGAUUUAAUUGGUAUUUUUAAACCACUCUAUUUUUCAAACCUAGCUAAUUUAUUUUUAGUUAGUUAAUUAUUGAACCUUUUUUUUUUGUAAUGUGUACGGAAUAUUUCUUUAUUUUAUCUAAAAUUAUGUUUCUCAAAUAAUUUUUUUUUAUUUAUUAUUAUAUAUAGUAUAGAUACAUUUAUAAAUAUGUAUAUGUUUGGCGCGCAAUCAUGUACGUGCCCGAGAAGGAAAUAUUCUAGAAUGCACCGAUUAUAUUGGUGACGUGGCGUUUCCAGCCAAUCAAAUAGAUUCUUUUGGGUUAACCUGUCAUAUCAUGAUUAUAAAAAAAAUAUUUUUAUUAUAUUUUUUUUAAAGAAGAAAUAUGAUUGGCUUUGUUAGGAUUCGUCCACAUUGGGACUUAUCUAAAAUAUUUCUAAUCCAUAUGGGAUAAGAAAUAAAUAUUUAUAAUUAUCUAUUAUAUUCCUAGUCCACUUGGGAUAAAGAAUAAAUCUAACAGAUAAAUCAUAAUCUGUUUAAAUCUCUAUCUAUGUGAGAUUUAGUUAGGAUAUGAUAAGGAUUAAUAUCUCCCUUAUGGCCUAUAAAUACAUGAGGUAUUGACCACAUACAAGACAACGAAAAAAAUAAGAAUCAUCUCUCCACAAAAAUUCUCUCUCUUUGGUUCGCUCUAGGGCACCAUCAUAAAUCCUAGGGAUUUGGGCGGUGUGCGGCAAUCGACUCUAGUAGCCGGAUUGCAACGAGAAAGAACAACACGCAACAAAUUGAGACAGGACGUUGGCGGAUCAACGAGUUCGUAAAACAAGACGAGAUCAGAUCCUGGUAAUCACAACAUUAAUUCCGCACCACAAAAGAGGUAUGUAAAAAUCUAUGAGAUUUUUGCGACUUAUAUUUUUGGAUAUUUAAUUGAUUUUAUCCAACAGUGGUAUCAGAGCCAUAUAGUGCUUGUUUUCGUUCGAUGAUUCGUUUUUUUUUUAACAUCGAAUAUAUUUUUAUGUUGUUAAAAAAAAAAAAAAAAAAAUUAUUGUUGGUGAAGUUUUGAUUCGCAAUUGGCAAAUCAACAUCACAUAUGAUUGCUUCCUUCAUCUUUGCAAAUUAACCCGCAUGCUGCCCGCUUUGGGUUUUGGAGGCUAACCCGUGCCGGGCUUGCGGAGGGCCGCAUGCGCAGGAUCUACGUCCUGCCUGUGGGCUUGAGAGGCCGCCCACGCUGGGCCUCCAGCACCUGCCCGUGUAGGGCCUUCGGCAGUCCGCAUGCACAAGGCCUGCGGCAGCCAGCAUGCGCAAGACCUGCGGCCUUGUGAGGCCGACCGCGCUGGGCUUACUAGGUGGCCCACCCUUGUUGGGCCUGCGGGAAUGCAGGAGCCCAUCGCGGAAGACCCGCUCGAGUUGGGCCUACGGGCAUGCGGGAGCCCGUCCGCGAUGGGCCUGCAUGCAAGCACAUGACAGCAACCUGUUUUUUGGACCAAGAUAAGUCCAACCGGCGGCUUGGAAUCUUUAUGUGCUUGCAAAAUAAAAUAAAAUGUGAAACUAUGUUGGCAGGAGACUUGAACACUCAACCCUUAACUUUAGGCACUUCAUCUAACUACUACGCUCAAUGUUGCUUGCAUAAUAUUUACAUGCUAUUUUUAUAUAUUGUUUCUGGCCAAGUUAUGAUUGCUUUAAAGUUGCAAUAUUUUUUUUUGAUUAAAUAGCAUAAUGUUCAUUAUUUAUUUUGUGACGUGGAUUAUUCUUGAUUAAUUUGAUAUAUUAUUUUUAUCUGCAUUGGAUGAGAUGAUUAUUAGUCUUUUUAAAAGGCGAAAUUUUCGAUUUGAAGAUGCAGUGAGAAAUUAUAUUAUCAAAUUGAAUUGAGAAUAAGAUUUGGAUAUUUGUGCCUAAUUUAAAAUCAUGUGCAUUAUUGUAGUGAUAUAUGGCUUCAAAAAAUUUUUCCAUCGCGGAUUCGUUAAAUCAAAAUCGGCUUGAUGGAACGAAUUAUGACAUGUGGCAUAGAAAAAUUCAAUAUCUCCUUAAUGAGAAAGGGAUACUUAGCCAUUUAACCAACAGUAUGGUUCGGCCUGAAGAAGGCACGACGGCCCAGCACCGUCGCGAUUUACAAGCCUAUAACGAGUGGCUUGAGAAAGAUCGAAGUGCACGAUAUACCAUGUUGAGCUGUAUGCACGAUGAUUUGAUCAAAGAAUUUGAAAAUUAUGAGACUGCUAAAAAUAUGUGGGAGCAGCUCAAAGUGAAAUAUGGGGGCACGUCGACCACAAGACUUCGUGUCUUGAAUCUCAAAUUCAAUCAAUACAUGUUGGACCCAAAGCAUUCUAUGGCAGAGCACUUAAGGGUGAUGUCUGCAAUGAUAAGAGAACUUAAAGCAGCCGGUUGCGAGCUCACUGACGAACAACAGGUUCAAUCAGUUAUAAGGUCCUUACCAGAUUCAUCUUGGGAUCAAAUCAAGAUUGUGCUGACUCAUAAUGAAGGUAUUAAGACCUUCAACGAUAUAUCUCGACAUCUUGAGUUGGAAGCGGAGCGCAGAGAGGCGAACCGUGCCAAUGCACUCGUUGCCCACGGUGGACAGCGCAGAGGCAAGUGGCCUAAGCACAAGCGCCGAAAUGGAGAAAAUAAAUAUGCAAAGACUGGGAACCGUGCGCCAAAUGAGGGCGGAAUUGAGAAGCGCCGCAAAGGCAGGCGCGGAAAGAAAAAUUUAAAUAAAGUGAAAUGCUAUAACUGUGGAAAUAUGGGACACUUCGCUCGUGAUUGCACUGAGCCGAAGAAGGUAAAUCCCAAUCCUGACUCUCUUAUUUAUGUAUGCUCGCACGUUUUUGUUGCUCACGCUCUCUCUGAUUGGAUUGUAGACACAGGAGCAACAAAGCAUGUAACGAGAGAUCGAGCAGGAUAUGUGGAUUAUCGUCGGGUGUCUGCUGGCAGCCAUUAUGUCAUGAUGGGAAACGGCACUGAGGAAGAAGUCCUUGGAAUUGGCGCAUACCAACUUAGAUUGCGCAAUGGUCGUUAUUUGAUAUUACACGAUGUGCUGUAUGCACCGAACAUCCGAUGUAAUCUACUGUCAGUUUUAGCGUUACUUAGAUUAGGUUUUUCUUUUCAAUUUACGGAUACUCAGUUAGAUAUUUAUUUGGGCAAGGACUUUUAUGGUAAUGGUUGUUUAAAGAAUGAUUUCUUUGUCUUAAAUUUAGACUUGGAUUUUAUUAAUAACAAUAAUUCUGCUUUAUUAGUUUCUUCUGAUAUUGUAUCUGAUUCUAUCAAAUGGCAUGCGAGAUUGGGUCACAUUGGACAAGAAAGAAUGGCUCGACUAGCUAGAGAAGGCCUGUUGGGGUCACUCGCUAAGCUUAGCCUACCUCCUUGUGAACCAUGUUUAGCAGGAAAAGCCUGCAGAAAGCCUUUUGGUAAGGCACGUAGAGCAACUCAUCCAUUGGAGCUAGUUCAUUCAGACAUAUGCGGACCUAUGAAUGUGAGAGCACGUCAUGGCGCGUACUAUUUCCUCACUUUCAUUGAUGACUACUCCCGUUAUAGUUCGGUAUAUCUGUUGUCUCACCGUUCAGAAGCUUUAGAUUAUUUUAAACGCUUCUUAGUGGAGGUUGAGAACCAAACAGAAAGAACUCUAAAAGUUCUACGUACUGAUAGAGGACGAGAGUAUUUAUCAGACCAGUUCAGGGAACUAUGUGAGGAAAAGGGAAUACGCAGACAGUUAACUAUUCCCGGUACUCCGCAACAAAAUGGUGUUGCAGAGAGGAGGAAUAGGACUCUUUUGGAAAUGGUUAGGUCUAUGAUGGCGCAAGCCAACCUCCCAAUCAGUUUUUGGGGUGAUGCGUUGUUGACUGCUGCCUAUAUACUUAACCGAGUGCCCUCUAAGUCAGUUCCUUCAACUCCCUAUGAGCUAUGGCAUGGUAUAAAGCCAAAUUUGGAAGGCUUACGACCAUGGGGAUCGGCAGGAUAUGUGCAUAAUACUUCUCAUAAAUAUGGAAAGUUAGGCCCUAGAGCAAAUAAACAAAUUUUUAUUAGAUAUUCUGAUUGCUCGAAAGGCUAUGUGAUGUAUGGUAAGCAUCCUGAUGGAGGAAUGACUGAGAUAGAGUCGCGCGAUGUGGAUUUUCUUGAGAAUGAUUUUCCAGACAUUGGUGAGAUUAAAAAGGACCUUGCACUAUACGAGUUGCAAGAACCUAAUGGAAAUGUCCCAUUGUUAGGCGAGAAUGAGGCACUGAGGCCACAUGAAGAAAUAGCCCAAAACAGUGGGAGUGAUCCUAUGGUCAGUGGGAGUGUGCCGAUUGACCAUGGCUCACAAAGUCCAUCAUUACGAAGAAGUAAACGUGGAGGUGUUCCCCGUCGUCGAUUUGAGAUUGAAGGGGAAUCGUUCAUGUGUGCUUCUACGGAUCUUGAUGAGCCGGCUUCUUAUGCUGAAGCUUUGAAUUCACCAGUUUGUGAUAAAUGGCUAGCUGCUAUGGAGGAUGAGAUGAGUUCUAUGGCUAAGAAUAAUGUGUGGGAGUUAGUUGAUCUUCCGUCUGGACGCAAAACUAUUGGAAAUAAAUGGAUUUUUAAAAUAAAACGUAAGGCGGAUGGAUCAAUUGACAAAUAUAAGGCCCGAUUAGUGGCGAAAGGAUACACCCAAAAGGAGGGAGUAGACUAUGAAGAGACAUUCUCCCCAGUGGUGAGGUUUGUCUCAAUUCGCCUGAUUCUGGCUAUCGUCGCACAUUUAGAUUUGGAACUGUUCCAAAUGGAUGUGAAGACUGCAUUUCUCAAUGGAGAACUAGAUGAGGAGAUUUAUAUGAAUCAACCUCCCGGUUUUAUAGCCGAAGGACAAGAGCGCAAAGUGUGCCGCUUAAAACGUUCCAUUUACGGCUUGAAACAAUCGUCUAGGCAAUGGUAUCAACGUUUUCAUAGAGCAAUUAUUUCAAUAGGCUUUGUGAUGAUCGAAGAAGACCAUUGCGUGUACGUUAAAAGGGAAGAAAAGAGUUUUCUUAUCCUAUAUGUAGACGAUAUCUUGUUGGCCGGAAAUAAUAUGGAGUUAAUAAUCACCACACAGGAGUGGUUGUCCUCUACUUUUGAGAUGAAGGACAUGGGACAAGCGGAUUAUGUAUUGGGAGUCAAGAUCCAUAGGGAUCGAUCUCGAAAAUUCUUAAGUUUGUCUCAAGAGACUUACAUCAAAAGAAUUUUGAAGCGAUUCCGAAUGCAUAAUUUGAAACCUAUUGACACUCCAAUGGAAAAUGGUCAUUAUCUUAGCCUUGAACAGUGCCUUAAAACAGAAGAAGAGAGAAAGCAGAUGAAAAAAGUCCCAUAUGCGAGUGCAGUCGGCAGCUUGAUGUAUGCAAUGAUAUGAUAGCAGAUCCUUUUACCAAACCCCUUGUUAGAAAUGUUUUUCAUAAACAUGUUAGAGGAUUGGGUUUGUGUAGGACUUGACUUUUAUCUUGUAUUAAUAAUUUUGCUAAUAAAUUUUUUUUUGAAAUCAUUUUUCAUUUAUAUACCUGUUUAUUAAAUUUUAAAUUAGUGCACAAUAUUCUUAUGAGAAUGAAUGUCACCAGGCCCUUGAUCAGCCCUCUCACACGGGUGAUCGCCCUGUCGCUAGGAGAGCGAGCAGGAUGAGACAAAUAAGAUCACAUAAAUGCAGUUAGUAAUGCAGGUGAUCCACUUUGCGCUAUAAGAGCUGGCGAGUGUUUAAAUCUUGAAUGUCGCCUUAGAUGAGCUAAGAUGAGACUGUACGAAGUCGACAGUAGAGAUGGUCCACGACUCUACUUGGCCUGUAUGAAGCCGAAUGUAAAGAAGACACCAUGUGGGUGACUGUCUUGAGGUUUGUUGUCUUGAGUUACAACAAAACCGACAUUCGUAUGGUGUUUUGAGCGUGACAUGUCCUUAGAGGUAGCUCCACCAUAGCAUACGUUCAUACCGUAUGUGCAAGAUCGAUCACUAUGUUUUAGAGAGUGACGAAAUUGAUUCCCGUUUCGUCGCUGUGUGAGCUUUCAUACCCUUUGGGACUUAGAACCAUGUUAUGAAGUGGAUACUUGGUGAUGCUACUUUAGCAUGAUAUCCAAGGGCCAUGAUUGAUUCGGUCCAGCGGAACAUGUCUAGGAAAGCAGUCAAGUUGAAAUGGAUUGACAUGAGGCAUCUAAGGAAAAAUCAUUUGAUAAUACACCUAUGAUUUGUUACUCAUUGCCCGGGCGAUUAUGUUGAUAUUUGUUGUCAAUAUAAUCAUGAGAACAAAUACAUUAAUGAGAGAGAUCUAGUUUGCUCUAAGGGAUCAGAGAUGCUAUGAUCUGGUGUAGUUCAGUGAUUUGGGGUAUAGACGAGAUUUGGAGUUGUAGUGUUAUGUUAGUUCGGAUGGUGGCUUAAUAUAACACUCCUCAUUUAUGAUUCUUCUCGUUAUUGAUCGCACCAACCAUUUCCCGUAUGAAGAGCAGAACGAGAUGAGAAUAUAUCAGGGAUGAGAAAGUAUGAAUAAGUACCAAGUGUGUACGAGUGGGAGAUGUUAGGAUUCGUCCACAUUGGGACUUAUCUAAAAUAUUUCUAAUCCAUAUGGGAUAAGAAAUAAAUAUUUAUAAUUAUCUGUUAUAUUCCUAGUCCACUUGGGAUAAGGAAUAAAUCUAACAGAUAAAUCCUAAUCUGUUUAAAUCUCUAUCUAUGUGAGAUUUAGUUAGGAUAUGAUUAGGAUUAAUAUCUCCCUUAUGGCCUAUAAAUACAUGAGGUAUUGACCACAUACAAGACAACGAAAAAAAUAAGAAUCAUCUCUCCACAAAAAUUCUCUCUCUUUGGUUCGCUCUAGGGCACCAUCAUAAAUCCUAGGGAUUUGGGCGGUGUGCGGCAAUCGACUCUAGUAGUCGGAUUGCAACGAGAAAGAACAAUACGCAACAAAUUGAGACAGGACGUUGGCGGAUCAACGAGUUCGUAAAACAAGACGAGAUCAGAUCCUGGUAAUCACAACAUUAAUUCCGCACCACAAAAGAGGUAUGUAAAAAUCUAUAAGAUUUUUGCGACUUAUAUUUUUGGAUAUUUAAUUGAUUUUAUUCAACAGGCUUGUUAUUACUGAUAUGGUGCAAGUGUGAUAUAGUAGACUUCCUCCCCAAGAAGCUAGUCUUCAGUGCAUUAAAGAAGAGAAUCUUGGAAGAGCUCGACCACUAGUGCUAAAUUCAGCUUUUUGCCCUAGGACGGCGACUUUGUAGCUUUCUAUUAGUUCUUCUUAUUGCUUUUGUUUCCUAGAGAUAACAAUAUUAGCCAUUGAAAGUGUAGGAUAAAUUAAUCCAUUGUUAUACGUAAGAGCUCAGAAGCCUUCUUAUCGCAUAUGACUAUUUAUGUUUGAAAAAUGCAAAGUUUAUAACUAGAAAAGGAUAAUCAUUUCCACUGCUUCUCAUACAAAGGUUCUGGAGUCUACUUGUAUUUUAGAUGUGAGUACAUUGUAAGAUUAUAACCCACCCACUUUGAAUUAUAAACCUGAGAUACCUUAAUAAUCUCACGUCACAUAAUGUGGGAACCGUUGGUUUGAGUCCAAUGAGUUUUUUGUGUUAGUUGGUAAGCUUUUUUUCUUUAAUUAAAUAUUGAUGAGUUGGAUUUUUUUUUUCUUUGAUUAUAUAUUUAGCUAAGUCUCAUAUAGGUCAACUAAAUUUGAGCAAGUGCCAAAGAACUUGGUGGUAGGUACCCAAGGUCCCAAGUUCGAAUCCUAGUUGAUUCACAUCUUCAGCUAAAUUUAUUUCUAAAUGAAAUCAACGAACCGGGUAGCGUGCUAUCUAUCUCUCAAAAAAAAAAAAAAAAAAAAAAAAAAAAAAAAAAAAAAAAAAAAAAAAAAAAAAAACUAAAUUUGCAUAAAUUUCUAUCACUGUUUCCUUUUUAUUGUGAUUUGUGAGCAAUAUUUUAUGAAGGAAGGAGAUGCAAAUGGAAGGGCAAGUGGAUAUACAAUUGACAAGCAUGUUCACUCUUCUUUUUUUUUUUUACUUUGCCGCAGAAAGUAGAAAUAGAAAGUAGAAAGUAGAAAGAGAGAACUAAUUCAAGGGGAAAGGAAAGAAGCUUCCUCGCCUCGGUGUCCUGCACAUGGGCUUCACUAGUUAUAUGAUAAGCUUUCCUACAGUGCUACCUAUCUCUUGAACAUGAUCACCUAUAACUUUUACAUAUUUUUUUAAUUUUGAAAAUCUAAUCUAGCUUUUUGCUUCAUCCAUUGUUUUAAUUUCUAGAAAAGUUUAAUCCAACUUUGCUACACACACACACACACACACACACACACACACACACACACACAUAUAUAUAUAUAUAUAUAUAUAUAUAUAUAGAGAAGAAGAAAGAGAGGAGCAAGAAUACUAUGGAUAGCAUAUGGAGUUCAUUGCUAUCAUUUUUUUUUUCCAAUAAGGGAGCAUUCGAAUAAUUGAUCAUAACCAUUGAACAUGAUUUGAAUCAAUAAAAGUAUUUAGAUAUUAAAUUUCUUACGUUUUCAACAUUAUUAACCAAAUAAUCAAGUGGUUGCAAAAUUUUUACUUUUAAUUGUUGAUACGAGGAAUUCGCUCUUUUAAUAGUGGAAAAGAAUUCAAAUCAAUUGAAUUUUUAUUAGAAAAUUUGUAAACUACUUGAAAUAUCUACACCCUUGAUCUUGAGUACAAGAAUUCUAUCAUUAUCACUUUUUGAAGGAUAUUUAUUUUUAACGAUUCAUUUUUGUGCCCACUUGAUGUCCAAAAAAUAAUAUUAAAAAAUUAUAAAAUUUUAUUCUAGAUCCUUUAAGUAGUCUAGAUUAUUUUCAAUAGUGCACGCUGAUUAUCAAUUUAGAAGCUCCAUCAUAAAAAAUGAAUUGGUUCUAAAAGAGUGUGUUUGCUACUAAUAAUAUGCCAGCGAAACAUAAGUAAGCUGACUCCAGCAAGUAGAAGAAGAAUAAUAUUAAUAAAUAUUUCAAAACUUUAAAAUAUCUAACAUAAAUGCCUUUAUUGAUUCUAAAAGUUUCUUCCAAUGUAUCUCUAAGUUUAGGAUUUUGAGAAGAGAGAAUAAAUUUAAAAAUUUUGAAUAGAUGUGAGUAGGGGUGUCAACGUGGCUCGUUUUCGGCUCGUUUCAUAGACGAGCUGUUCUUGAGCAGACUUAUUAAAGUAUCGAGCCGAAAAAUUUAGCUCAUGUUUGGCUCAUUUAUUAACGAGUCGAAUACGAGUUGACUCACAAACAAUAAGUUAAAAGAUUAGAAAGGACAUAUAUAGGAUAUAAAUUUUCGAGAUUUUACCUAUUAGACUUUGAUCUAACAUUUGAAACUUUAUACAUAUAAAUGAAUUUUUUUAUAAUUGAGUUAGGUUUUAUAUUUAGGUUGGACUAAAAAUCAAAUAAUAAAAAUUUAUAAAAUAUUAUAUAUAAUUAUUUAUUUAUAUAUAUAAAUAUAAAAUAUAUAUAUUCGAGCUAUUAUUGAGCCGAAUACGAACGAGCUAGCCAACCCUAUCUCGUGUUCCGUUUGUUUAUUAAACAAGCUGAAAAAUUCAGAUCGUGUUCGACUCAUUUACUAAACGAGCGAUUUGAUGUCGAGUUCAUUUCGAGCCGAUAAUAAACCGGCUUACGAAAAGCGACNUAUAUAUAUAUAUAUGAGCUAGAAUGCUAUCAAUAGCAAACGGACUCCGUUGCCACCUAUUUGUUUUCAAUGAUGAAGCCUCUGAAUUGACGAUCGACACCAUUUAACAUGAUCUAUACAACUUGAAGUAUUUAUAAAUCAAAUUUCAUACAUUUCCGAUAUUGUUCUCUUAUCCAUCGAGUGCACACAAAAAUAAACGGUUGAAAAUGAAUAUUCUUUAAAAAAUGAUGAUAAAAUACUUGAAUUUAAGAUCAAAAGUACUGAUCUUACUCUAAAUAGUGAAAAGAAUUUUCUAUAAAAAUUUUAUGAGAUUUGGAUUGUUUUACACCGUUAAAUUCACAAACGCAUCACAUCGCCAUUAAAAUUGUCAUUUUUGAGACCUUUUGAUCACUAGCCAAAUGAUGUCGAAAAAUUAUGAAAUUUAAUUUUCAAAUACUUUCAAUGAUGUAGAUCAAUUCUAACAGAGUCGAUCAUCGAUUUGAAAGCCGCAUCAUUGAAAACAACUUGGUAUAUAUAUAGAGAGAGAGAGAGAGCAAGAGAGCUAGGCUCCUAUGCUUUUGAAAGUACGGGAGCCUCCGUACUUGUAAGUUGUUUUCGGUGAUGGGACGUCCGAUUCGGCGAUCGGUUCCGUUAGACAUAAUCUACGCUAUUGGAACUAUCUAGAAACCAAAUUUCAUAAUUUUUUGACUUCGUUUGCCUAGUGAACAAGUAGCCUCAAAAUGAACGGAAAAUAAAAAUCUCAUACAACAAUGAUAAAAGACUCAAAUUUUAAAUCGGAAGUAUUGAUCUUGCUAUUGACGUUAAGUGGGAUUUUCUAUUAAAUUUUCAUGUAAUUUGGAUACUUCUACACCAUUGAACUUAAAAACGUGUCGCAUCGGCCGUUAAAAUAGUCAUUUUUGGGGCCUUUUGAUCGCUUGGUAAAUGAUGUCAAAAAAUUAUAAAAUUUGGUUCUAGAUAGUUCCAAUAUGGUAAAUUAUACCUAACGGAGCCGAUCGUCGAAUCGGAUAUACUAUCAUUGAAAACAACUUACAAGCACGGAGGUUCUGGUACUUUCGAAAGUAUAGUAGACAGACUCUAUAGAGUAUAGGGCUACUAUACUCUUAUAUAUAGAGAGUAGGGCUACUAUACUCUUAUGAGUAUAGAGUCCUUCGUACUCAUAAGUUGUUUUCGAUGUUGAGGUUUUCGAAUCGACGAUCCACACCGUUAAAUAUGAUCUAGAGUAUUUGAAACUUUUAGAAAAUAAAUUUCAUAAUUUUUUGAAAUCAUUAUAAAGUUCAUCAAGCGGGUAUAAAAUGAACGGUCAAAAUCGAACGACAUCCUAAAAAUGGAUGAUCGGAUCAUAUAAUUUAAGAUCGGAGUUAUUGAUCUUUAUUUAGAUAGUGAAUAGAAUUUUCUAUCAAAAAUUCAACCUGUUCCGAUUCUUUUUCACCGUUAAAUUAGCAAAUAUCUCAUAUCGGCCGUUAAAAAUUGUCAAUUUUGUGAGCUUUUUGAUCGUAAGGUAAAUGAUAUCGAAAAAUUAUAAAAUUUAAUUUCUAAAAGUUUUAAAUGCUCUAGAUAAUGUUUAACGGUAUGGAUCGUUGAUUCAGAAGCUCUAUCAUCGAAAAUAAUUUAUGAGUACGAAAGCGAUCGUACUCAUAAGAGUAUAGUAGCCGGACUCUCUCUCUCUCUCUCUCUCUCUCUCUCUCUCUCUCUCUCUAUAUAUAUAUAUAUAUAUAUAUGAGUGCGACUAGGAUGCUUAUGGAGCACAGAGGGCUGCUGCUUCCAUUUAUUUUUCGAUGUUCGACUUUUCGAAUCGACGAUCGGCUCCGUUAGACUUGAUCUAGAGUAUUUGAAGUAUCUAGAAAAUAAAUUUUGCGAUUUUUCGAUAUCAUUUACCUAGUGAUCGAAGUGACUCAAAAUUAACGGCUGAAAAUAAAAAUCGUACAAAAUAUGAUGAUAUGACAUUAAAAUUUUAGAUCAAAUUUAUUGAUCUUGUUUUAUAUGGUAUAAAGAAUUUUCUAUCAAAAUUUCAUAUGAUUUGGAUAUUUCUACACGCGUUAAACUUGCAACCGGCUCACCACGGUCAUUAAAAUUAUUGAUUUUGAGGCCCUUCGAUCACUAGGCAAAUAAUAUUGAAAAAUCCAAAAUUUAUUUUCUAGGUACUUCAAAUACUCUAGAUCAACUCUAACCGAACCGAUCGUCGAUUCGAAAGUCCGAAUGUCGAAAACAACUUGGAAGCACGGAAGGCUCGUGCUUCCAUAAGCAUACCAGUAUAUAUAUAUAUAUAUAUAUAUAUAUAUAUAUAUAUAUAUAUAUAUAUAUAUAUAUAUAUAUAUCUAUAUAUAUAUAAUAGGUCUUGUGUGCUAUUAGGAGUAUGGGCCUCCGUGCUCUUAAGCCGUUUUGGAUGAUGGAGCUUCCGAAUCGACGAUCGCGCUCCAUUAGACUUGAUCUAACGUAUUUGAACUAUCUAGAAAAUAAAUUUUGUGAAUUUUCGAUAUUCAUUUACCUAACGAUCGAAAGAGAAAUCAACGGCUGAAAAUAAAAAUCUCACGAAAAAUGGUGAUAUAGUAUUAAAAUUUUCGAUUAAAACAUAUUGAUCUUGCUGUAAAUAGUAUAACAAAUUUUCUAUCAAAAUUUCUUCUGAUUGAAUACUUCUACACUAUUAAACUUGCAAACGGUAUACAUCAACUAUUAAAAAUUGUAUUUUGAACCCUUUCGAUCGCUAGAAAAUGAUACCGAAAAAUCACAAAAAUUAUUUUUAGAUAAUUCAAAUACGCCAGAUUAAGUCUAACGGAGCCGAUCGUCGAUUUGCAAGCUCCAUCAUCGAAAAACGACUUAGGAGCACAGAAGCCUCCGUGCUCCUAAUAGCACACAAGACCUACUAUAUAUAUAUAUAUAGAGUCCGGCUACUAUACUAUCGGUAGCACGGAGGGCUCCGUGCUACCAAGUUCUUUUCGAUGAUGCGCUUCCAAAUCGACGAUCGGCUCCGUUAGACUUGAUCUAUACUAUUGAAAGUAUUUGGAAACUAAAUUUCAGAUUUUUUUGACAUCAUUUAACUAGUGAUCAAAAGAUCUCAAAAUGACAAUUUUAAUGGCCGAUGUGGUGUGUUUGUGAGUUUAACGGUGUAAAACAAUCCAAAUCCGAUCAAAAUUUUAUAGAAAAUUUUUUCAUAUUUAGAGUAAGAUUAGUAUAUCUGAUCAUGAAUUUAAAUCUUUUAUCAUCAAUUUUUAUGAGAUUUUUAUUCUUCAGCUGUUCAAUUUUAGACUACUUGUUUGAUAGGUAAAUGAUAUCGAAAAAUUAAAAAAUUUAGUUUCUAAAUACUUUAAUAGUGAAGAUCAAGUCUAAUGGCCGAUUGUCAAUUUGGAAGCCGCUCAUCCGAAAACAACUUGGUAGCACGGAGCCCUCCGUGCUACCGAUAGUAUAGUAGCCUAGUUCAUAUAAAUAAAUAAAUAAAUAUAUAUAUAUAUAUUAUAGAGUUGGACUGGGCUACUAUAGUAGCAAAACUUCUCUUAUGUAGCACCGUUUUUUAGCCUUUGGAUCAACUCUUUCAUUAUUUCUAACCAUUGGAUAAAUACUAUAACCCAGUGGGGACCACUCAACCCUAGGAAACCACUUAAAUCUAACCGACUAAUAUCAUCCUGACCCUACAAUUUUUCAUCCAAGGGUUAAAAACUUGAUAGCAAAAAGAGCGUUUUACUAUUAAUAGUAUUCCAGCCUAAUUCUAUAUAUAUAUAUAUAUAUAUAUAUAUAUAUAUAUAUAUAUAUAUAUAUAUAUAAUAUAUAUAUUAGAGUGAGGCUACUAUGCUAUCGAAGCACGCGAGCUUCUGUGCUUCCAACUCGUUUUCAAUGUUGCGACUUUUGAAUCGGUUGAUCGGCUCUGUUAAACUUGAUCUAGAGUAUUUGAAGUACCUAGAAAAUAAAUUUUAUGAUUUUACGAUAUCAUUUGCCUAGUGAACGAAAGGGGCUCAAAAUCAACGGUUAAAAAUAAAAAUCUUACAAAAUGUAAUAGUACGACAUUAAAAUUUUAAAUCAAGAUAUUUAUCUUGUUUUAUAUAGUAUAAAGAAUUUUCUAUCAAAAUUUUCAGUGAUUUGGAUAUUUCUAUACUGUUAAACUUGCACAAGCACUCACUACGGCAUUGAAAUUUGUUGAUUUUGAGCCCAUUCGAUCACUAAGCAAAUGAUAUUGAAAAAUAAUAAAAUUUAUUUUCUAGGUACUCUAAAUACUCUAGAUCAAAUUUAACGGAGCCGAUCGACGAUUCGAAAGUCGCAACAUCGAAAACGAGCUGGAAGCCCGGAAGGCUCCGUGCUUCCGAAAGCAUAGUAGCCUCACUCAAUAUAUAUAUAUAUAUAUAUUAUAUAUAUAUAUAUAUAUAUAUAUAUAAUAUAUAUAUAUACAAUCCGACUAGGUACUAUCGAUAGCCCAAAGCAUUUGGUGCUAUCAAAUUUUCUGCCGUUGAUUUACCUCUUUUUAUCAUUUUCAUCCGUUUGAUUAUAGUAUUCAACCAAAAUACACUCAACCCUAGGGGGCCCAUCAUCCUAACCGCACACUUUUAAUCCAAUGGCGGAAAGCUUAAUAGCACCAAGUCAUUGGUGCUAUUAAUAGUAUUCCAGCUAUUAUAUAUAUAUAUAUAUAUAUAAUAUAUAUAUAUAUAUAUAUAUAUAUAUAUAUUAUAUAUAAUAUAUAUAUAUAUAUAUAUAAAGGCCAAUUUGCAUAAAAAAUUUAUAAAUUUUGAGCUUUUGCAAAACUGGGCCACUUUUUUGAUUUUGCAUAUUCGGUCUAAAUUUCAGCAAAACUGAAUAAAAUACCCUUAUUACUUUUUCUCUUUCUCUUUCUCUCAUCUUUUUUUCUUUCUUGUUUAUUUUUUUUCUCUCGCCGAAGAAAGCAGCGGAGGCAAAGCGAGGCGGAGACGGCUCAUCUCGCGUCUCACCCUCAUGCUCUCCCCUCGCCCACGCACCCCCCACAUUUCUCGCCUCCGACCCCGCCGAGGCCGGCCGUGACUCUUUUUUUUUUUUCUUCUCCGACUCUCCUCCACCAUCUACGACGACAACGCCUCUCUCGCCCUUCCCCGCCCUUCUCGUCCUCUCCCUCUCCCUCCUCCUCUGUCGCCUCCGACGACGAUACAUUUUCGCCGACGCCGACACCGUGGAGGUCGUUGCGGCGCUGCAGCCUCGAAGCGGACGGUCCUUAGCGGCGUUGUCGCUGGCGUCGUGGCCUUUGGCAGAGAGGAGUGACAAAAAAAAUUAUAGAAGAAGCAAGAAAAAAAAUAAAGAUAAAAAAUUAUAGAAAAGAAAAGAUAAAGAUAAAAUUGCGCCUUUAAAAUAAAAUUGUACUGUUUUAAAAAAACGUUGCACUAUUAUGGAUAUAAGUUGCACUACUUAAGAUAUAAACUGCAGCUUUAAGAUAAAAAUUACACUAUUUAAACAAAAAUUACACUUUUUGGGAGAUAUUUUCACUGUUUUUUCUUUUAUUGUACUCUUUCAGAUGUAAACUGCAUCUAUUAAGAUGAAAGUUAUACUCUUUAAAUGAACAUUGCACUCUUUGAGAGAUAUUUACACUGUUUAUCCUCUUCUUGCACCCUUUGAGAUGUAAACUACAUUUCUUUAAGAGAUAUUUAUACCGUUUCUCCUAUUGUUGCACUGUUUCUCCUCUUAUUAUACUAUUUCUCUUAUUAUUACACUAUUUUUUCUCUUAAAUGAUCCAGUUUAAGAGGAGAUCGAGAAGAAAUAGUAUAACAAGAGAAGAAACAGUGAAACAAGAGGAUAAGCAGUAUAAAUUCUCUUAAAGGGGUGCAGUCUACAUCUCAAAGAGUGCAACAAGAGGAGAAACGUACAGUAUAAAUAUUUCUCAAAGAGUGCAACUUUCGUUUAAAGAGUGUAACUUUCAUCUUAAUGGAUACAGUUUACACCUGAAAAAAUGCAAUAAGAGGAGAAACAGUGUAAAUAUCUCCCAAAUAGUGUAAUUUUCGUUUAAAGAGUGUAAUUUGUAUUUUAAAACUGCAGUUUACAUCUUAAAUAGUGAACUUAUAUCCAUAAUAGUACAACAUUUUUUUAAAAUAAUGCAAUUUUAUUUUAACGGUGUAAUUUCAUCUUCAUUUUUCUUAUCUUUAUUUUUUUUCUUACUUCUUCUAUAAUUUUUUUUUGUCACCCCUUUGCCAACGGACACGGCGCCGGCGACGACGCUGCUAAGGACUCUUCGUUCCGAGGCUGCAGCGCCGCAACGACCUCCACGAUGUCGGCGUCAGCGAAGAUGCGUCGUCGUCGGAGGCGGCAGAGGACGAGGACGAUGGACAGGGAGAGGACGAGAAAGACGGGGAAGGGCGAGAGAUGUGUCAUCGUCGUCGGAGACGGUGGAGGAGAGUUGGAGAGGAAAAAUAAAAAGAGUCGCGGCGCGGCUUCGGUGGGGUCGGAGGCUAGGAAGGUGGGAGGUGCGCGGGCACGGGCGAGGACGAGGCCGAGGGCGAGAGCAUGAGGAUGAGAGGCGAGGCGGGCCAUUUCCGCUUCCACCAUUCUCCGCUGCCUCUUUAGCGAGAGAAAAAAAAACGAACGAGAGAAAAAAAGAGGAGAGAGAAAGAGGAGAGAGAAAAAAUAAUAAGAAUAUUUUGGUCGGUUUACUGAAAAUCCGGUUCGAAUAUGUAAAAUGAAAAAAAGUGGCUCAUUUUUGCAAAAGCCGAAAACUAGUGGAUUUUUUAUGCAAAUUGGCCAUAUAUAAAAGCUCAUCUGCUUUUUAAAAUAGCACGCAGAUCAUGCCAUACACCAACUGCCUAUUAAAGACUAUUUGUGAAGACUCAAAUUAAUUAAGCAAUCCCCAAUGAAUUGAUUCCAUUGCUCCUAGUACUUCAAUUCCAUAUAUCUACAGUCCUUGGUGUUGUGGCUAACUUGCUAAUAUGCAUAUCUCUCUUCGGAUAUUUCUCUAGAAUAUUGUAGGAUUAGCAAAUUUAUAUUCCUCGAUCGAUCCUUAUUUGGCUUUUAUUUAAGAAUAAUAAAAUUUGAAGGAGGCACCGUAAUUGAAACGUAAAAUUGAAAUAUAAAACUCAAACAGACAGUUUUGAAAUACCUUUGAAAAAAAAUAUUUUUAUAUAUGCAAGAUCCUAAAUUACAGAAAUGAAAUUGAUAUUUAAAUUUCUUUUUUUGAGAGAAUUGUAAUAUAUAUGCUACUUACUUCAUUUAUUGUUUUAAAAACAAACUUAACUGAAAAUGUGAAGCAUGCAACUAGAUUUUAAACAUUGAAUCUCAAGUAUCAAUACCAAACUCGAUCGUUACCACUUGUACUAGGGACGAUAGAUGAAAUUGGUAUUUAAAUUUUAAACCCCAAAUUUUGAAGGGCGAGUAUAAACCCUAGUUAGUUAAUUCGCGAAUAAUACGCGAAUUAUUCGCGUACUUUUAAAAAUACGAAUUAAACGGGGCGUCCCGUAUUUUUCCAAAAAAUUAGGAAAAAAAUGUGAUUUUUUCCUAAAAAUAAUUAUUCGCGAAUUAUUCGCGAUUCGGGAAUAAUUGGCCCAAAAAAUCGACGAUCGGCCGAGGGUCGCGUCGUCGCCGCUCGCGUCGUCGUCGUCCUCUGCCGCCCUCGCCGGCGCCGAGAGCAAGGGCCACGGCUGCGGAUCCUGUCUCGUCGCGAGCUCGCGUCGUCGUCGUCCUCUGGCCGGCCCUCGCCGGUACCGGAGCAACGCAUGCUACGGACCCGUCUCGCCUCUGCGGAAAAGUGAAAGAUGAACAGAAAAAAAAAUCGGGGCUCAUGAGGCAUGAUGGUGCGCGCGCGGCACGAGACCAUUUCUACCUCGUGGACGCAUGAGGGAGGUCCACAGUGGACCUCCCUCUUUUAUAUAUAUAUAUAUAUAUAUAUAUAUAUAUAAUAUAUAUUAUAUAAAUAAAUUUAUUUUUAUUUUUAUAUAGAAAUAUUUAUAUGAUAUUUUAUUUAUAAAUUUGUAAUUAUUUAUUAAUAUUUUUAAAUAUAUUAAUAUUAUAUAUUAUUAAUAUAUGUUUAUUAUUAAUAUAUGAAUAUAUUUAAUUUAUAUAUAAAAAUAAUAAUAAUAAUAAUAUAUAUAGUAUAUUAAUUAUUAUAUAUUUAAUAUAUAGUCGAAUUUUUGAUUCCGAAUUUUUAAUUGGUGAACGUAUAAUAUCCGUAUAAAUCACGUAUCCGAAUAAUUACCGAAUCCGUUUUUUAGCCGUAUUUUUUAACGAAUUUUAAAAUUAAAAGACGAAUUUUAUCCGAAUUAUAUCCGUACCGAAUUCUUGCCGAAUCCGAAUUAACUAACUAUGGUAUAAACUCCCUCAUAAAAGUUAGUGGAAGUAAAAAACAACAACAACAACAACAACAACAACAACAAAAAAAAAAGGCAAGUUAGCCAAAAUAGUUGGUCAACAGAAUGAGUCCACUAUAUAUGAAUAAUCCCAUUUGCUCCCUUUCCCUUGAUGGCCACUUUCGUUUCUCUGCGCUAUACUGCUCUAUUAGAUAUUAUUAGAUGGAUAGUAUAGUAUAAUAUAGUAUAGUAUAGUAUAAUCACACACUUUCCUCAGAAAAGCAUACAUAGCAUUUUCGCACAUAGGUAUGGGGUGACUCCCACCCCAAUGAAAAAUUUUGCUUUGAAAUCCGCGCAAGUGCGUUUUGCAUUCCCCACAAACACGCUCUCUCAUCCCCAGAAUCCCCUAAAAAUCCACAGGCUAUGCUCCAAAAUUAUGCAUCUCUCUCUCUCUCUCUCUCUCUCUCUCUCUCUCUCUCUCUCUCUCUUGCUUGUUUCUUAUAUACUCACCCCCCUUGCACCCCUUUUGCCUCCCUAUAACUAGCCACUCCCAUCUCCACAAACUCCCAAAACCCAUCUCAAAAAUCCAUCCUCAUCCAAAAUCCAAAACCCAAAGCAUUACUAGAUCUCUUGUUCAUGGAAACCAUGCUCUUGUUGCUUUAUUCAGAUUCAGAUGGCCCUCCGAGCUGGGUAAAACCAACUUCAAAAUUAUAUGAGGAGAUCAAAACCAAGGAAUGGAGCCGAGCUUUUGAAGCUUUGCCCACUUCUCCUCUACUGAUCUACUCUCCAUUUCAUGUAGAGUACGUAUAUAUGUAAGCGAGGAGGUGGCAUAGCAUGCACUAUAUAUGUGGGGAAUUGAGGGUUCAUGGUCCGAUCGAUCUCUUCUAGGUAUCUCAAACACUACUUUCUCUCUUUUUUCUUUUUUCUUUUUUUAGUUUCUUUUCUUGUUUCGUUUUUUUUUUUUUUUUUUUUUUUGGGUGGGUUUUACUUUGUUGGUUUCGGUUUCUCUUCUCUACUUAGUUUUCCACUAGUAUGUGGGUUCUUCUAGUUUAAGUUUGUGGGUGAAGAACAUGCAUGUUUUGUAAGCGACGCAUUCGUAGUGUUAUAUUAUAUUAUAUAAUUAAUCUACUGUGAAAGGGUGUGUGUGUGUGUGUGUGUGUGUGUGUGUGUGUGUGUGUGUGUGUGUGUUUACAUGGAUGUUUAUGUUGUUUGGCAGCUGGGAUCUGGUACUGGGAAUGCAUCACUUACACUCGUCAUGUUAUGUUCUCCCGCUACCAAGAAUCUACUUAUGAUGAGCAGAUGAUAAUAUUAUAUAUAUAUUAUAUAUAUAUAUAUAUAUAUAUAUGGUUUGGUGUCCUAUGUAUGUAUGAGUUUGUAGCUUUGUGCACAUGAGAAUAUAGUUUCGUAUUUGGCUUGUCCUUAAAUUGAAUCCCACUAAAAAUUUGGGAUCUCUUGUUAUUUUCUUUUAAUAUAAGUUUUUUCCCUUGUUGAAAUGAAUUAAUAUAUAUAUUCGGGGCAGGGAAUAUUCAGCAAAUAGGUCAGAAUAUAUAGGCAUGCCAACCUGGGCUGAACUGCUUUAAUGCCUUUUCUCAGAGUUCUCAUAACGCUGCUUUUAAUUAUAUAGGGACACCUUUUGAUUUAUUCACUCAUGCAGUGAGUGCAGUGUAAGUGUGUUAUAUGUGCUUUUUAGUACAUCAAUAAUCUCUAUAAAAGAACCCAAAUUAAGUACCUAUUCUCAAGCAAAAUUUUUUUUUUUUUCUUUUGUUUCUGCUUUUGAGAUAAUGCAUGGCAGCAUGUAUCUGCUUCUUUAAUUUUUUUAAAAAUAAAUUUAGUUAGAAAUUUGAAGUAAUCAUAUUUUGAAUUUAGCAUCUCAAGCUAGAUAUCAAACCUUUUAUCACUUACGCUAGAGACGUCCGGUCAAACAAUCAUAUUUGUACACUUAAAAAUGAGAUAUAAAUAUAUAUCUCACGCGCUCCUCACCGUCCAAGGACCAACAUUUUUACAUUAGUUUUGUCAUUUUUAUUUAUUUUGUAUUAAAAAUUUUAAAAAAUUGUCUAAAUUUUUGAGAAAAAAUGCUACAUGAACACCACUAAACUAAGUAUAGAUCUGAUAAUCUAUUCAUUUAAAGACUAUUGUUUUUGGACUUUUGUCAAUUUAACCCUUUAAAUACUUAUAAUUAGUCAAAUGAUACUGUAAAAAUUUUGUUUCACCAAAUAACUCUAUUUUGUCCAAUCCAGCAACAAGAUAGAAGAACAAUUGAAAAACGGUCAAUUGCUUACCGUCUUUAAUGAAUUUAGAAAACGGUGAAUUAAUUAUCAUUUUUUUAAAUAAAGAAAAUAGUAAAUAAUUUAUUUUUUUUUUCAUAUAUAAUCCUAACAACUAUAUAAAAAUUUAAAUAAAUUACAUACAAUUCUAACAACUUAUCCAUACAAUUUUAACAAUCAAAUAAAAAUUCAAACAGCUUAUGUACAAUCCUAACUACCUCACAAAAAUUCUCACAAUAUAUAAACAAUUUAAAAACAGUGAAUGAUUUACAGCUUUCUAAAGGUGGUGAAUAAUUUACCAAUAUGAUACUGAGUUGGCAAAAAAAGAGUUAGUUGGCCAAAUAAAAAUUUUAAAAGGAUUAUUCGACAAAUUAAAAUUUUUUAUAUAAUUAUUAUAAAAAAAGUCAUUAUUUUUUAUUAGUCUUAUCAAUUUUUUAUUUAAUACUAAAAAUUUAAAAAGGUUUUAGUGAUUCUAAGACAACUGAGGUGUAAGAUAUAUAUCUAUCUAUCUACAUAUAGGUGAUAAGUAGUAUAUUUACUUACAUAUAGGUGUAUUAAUAGCAUCUUUUAUUGUUUGAAUGGUGGGGGUGCAUUUCUGGUUAUUCUCUCUCUAUCUACUACUAAUAUGUGAGCAUUGUAAAUUCAGGGUGCUUUAGUUACUACUAUUGAUUAGUUGGCAACAUCAUGUUAAGAGUAAAUCGAUCAAUUCUUUUUUUUCGACAAUUAAGAAAAACAAAAAUUGGAUUCAAAUCUUGAUAUAUUUGUAGAUAUAUAGAGCCUCUGUUCAUGUGAUUCUAUCAACAAUUUUUGUAUUUUAUAUAUUUAUAUUUACAUAUGCUUCCAAAUCAAUUAACACAUUUGAGCAACAUUAAUUCUUGGUAGUACUAGCAGUAAAUAUACUCUUUGCUAAAUUAUAGAAANUUUAUAAGUAAAUUUUCUAUAAUUUAGCAAAGAGUAUAUUUACAUAUGCUUCCAAAUCAAUUAACACAUUUGAGCAACAUUAAUUCUUGGUAGUACUAGCAGUAAAUAUACUCUUUGCUAAAUUAUAGAAAAUUUACUUAUAAAUAUUUUUUUUUUUUUACUUUGUCUCUCUAAUUUAAUAUUUUAAAUUGUUGCAUUUAAUUAAUUAGCUCCCCCUCCGCCAGGGUUCCAUCACUAUUAUUCCGUCCAUAUUUUACAAUUUAUACUAAAAAUACCCUUCAAAUGACAGAAAUAUAUUAAAAAUUACUUUUUCUUAUAAUUUAUGCUGUUUAUUUUUUAUAAUUUAUAUCGAAAAUAUUGUUUAAAAUAACAAAAAUAUGUUAAAUUUUUUUUUUUUUUUAUAGGAACAGUAAAGAUAGUUUGCUUAUUUUGCCCUCUUAAUUUAUUAGCACCUUACCUUGCUGAAAAUAUUUCUAAAAUUUUAAUUAGACAAAAUAUAUAUUUUAAAAAGUAAAAAAAGUAAAUAUUUAUAAAUAUAUAUAUUUUUUGUAUUUUAACCUAUAUACUUUAUUAAAUGAAGGGGGUACUGUGUUGGGGGACAUGGGAGCAGGGGACGACGUCCUCUUCCUAUUCCUCACUCUGUACCUGUUUGAAUCUCUGUUGUUGUGGGUUUUGAAGUGAUGGAUGAUGCAUGUGGAUCAAUUGAAUUCAAGAGAGAGAGAGAGAGAGAGAGAGAGAGAGAGAGAGCAAAAGAGAGAGAGCAAAAGAGAGAGAGACGCAACAUUAAUUAUAUUAGUGCUCUCUGACAUUCACUGCCGAAUUGUACAAGAAUUACACAUUUACAUGAAAAGGACUUGAGCUUUGAUCAUGCAUUGGAUACUCAUCUUCUGUUAUGCAAUUUCGUGAUGUAGAUUUUGAAGUACAACGAGAUAAUAAUCUUUAAAUUUGGGCCAGGAACUAAUUGUUGACGCUUUAUGAAUUAAUUACGGCCAUAAAAAGGUCUUGUUAUGGCAUUAUUAUGCCUGUUUCAUGACAGGUAAACUGAUGCAAUGAUUUCUUAUGAUUUUUUUUUACUAUAUAUUUAAUUUUAAGGCAACAGUUUCAACCAAAAGAAAAACUACAAAAGUUAAGAUAAAGACCAUGCCAUGCAUAUCGUGAUCGACCUUCACAUGCACGGUAGAUCUACAUUCCAAGCAAACUACAUUUAAAUCAAUUUGUAAACUUCCAUGUGCAAAAUCUUCUCUCUUUUUCAAAUUAAUCUGAAGCACUCAUCUUAAUUAAUAAAAUAUUCGCUUAUUCUACCUGAUUGCUCAGCACCGCUUCUAGUAAAUUCAUGUUCCAGGUAAAUAAUAAGGAUUGUUCGUUAUUUUUUCAAAACUUGCGUAACAUACUAUAAAACAGUGCUCUUAAUAUUUAUAUUGAAUGCUAUGAAUCUUUUAAUGAAAUUAAGCAAUAAUAUUUAGCAUAUGGUUUAUACGUUUUUUCCUCACUGUUUGGAACUAGUAAGUAAUAUUAUAAUUAUAGAUUUGUAGCUCAAUUAAGACGAUUUGUAAAAAUGGAAGUAAUUAAAAAAAACUAAAAAUUUCUGUACAAUUAAAAGCAUUAAUGUUCUCCCAUUUAGGUUUCUUUAAAAAAGCCAUGCUAUAGUCAAUAUUCUAAAAUUCGAUCUAAGUAGUAGAACCAGUAAACGAAGAUAUAUAUAUAACUUAACGGUCAAAUUAAAUUUUAUCGAGACUUAAUUUAAAGUAAGUUGUCAUAUUUUGCAUACGAUUUUUGUGUUGAUCACGCACGUUUGUAGAUGCCUCGCCUUUAUCAAACGCUUUUGUGGGGGAUUUUUAUUUUCUCUGCUCUGCAAAGGUUUUACAAAUUGGCCGGAUCAAUCGGUUUUCAUUAGGGACUUUCAGUCUUCCCAUGGAAAUAGUUUGUGGCCUCGGAGUAAGCUGUUUUGUUAGACUGACUUCCAGUUAAUCCUGUUCGAGCAUCUCCUCCAGUUGGCGGAUAUUCUAAAUCUUGGCUCUCAUUAGUGGUAGUUGAAUACGCUUAUUGAAUUGAAAGGCUAAUAGCCAACUAGCUAGACUCCCCAUAUCGGAAACCAUGCCAAAAAAAACAAAAAAGUUAGAAUGCGACAGUUACAUUACUGAUGUGGUGUCUCGAGUCAAUCAAUUAUUGCACUCGUAGAAUUUACCCAUUUUAUCAUGAUUUGUAGACAAGUAUUUUUGUUAUAUUAUUAGUCUAAAAAAAAAAAAACUGAUUUGAUAAUUAUAGAUGAUAUGAUGUGACUAAUAGAUAGCAGACUUUUUUUUUGAAAAAAAGGACACAUUUUUUAGUCUUUUUUUUCUUUGAGAGAGAACCUUUUUUACUCCUCUCAAAAUUCAAGAAUAGCUUUUCAGUUGAGUAUAAAAUUAAAUGGAUUUGAAAGAUCAUAGUAAAAGAUGGAUCAGCGGUGAAACAGUACAUAUAUAUAUAUAUAUACCUUGCCAAAGCACUGUUCCAAGGUAAAUCCAUCCGUACAAGCAGGCAUUGAUGUGGUUGGCAUGUGCGACUGUGGAACAGCAAGUCUACACCUGGAAUAGUGAAGAGCAGACAGCAGCAAGCCUGAUCUGAUUGGACCCUUCAUCUUACCCCCCUCUGGAACUUUCCGGCUCCCUUCUGCUCAGCAUUGCUAGCUCAUUUAUCUUUUCUGAUCAUUUCUUUUCCAUGAUAAAUUGCAUUACUGGUUCCUGCACCUACUCUAUGGCAGGUGCUAUUUAUUUCUCAAAAUUCUUUAAUCCUAAACUUAAAAAAUUAAAGUUUUAUUCUACUUUCAAACUCUCCCUAUAUUUAAGUUUCUUCUUUCCUACAAAUAAAAUUUAAUGCUUAUCCAUAUACAAUUAUUUAAUUACUUCUUUAUCUAUUUCAUACAUUCAAUUCUUCGGUCUAAUUGUUAUAACUGCAAUUAUCAAUCCUUCACGCCGAUCUUAUUAAUCCUUUUUAUUUACUAAGAAAUACAAAAGAGGUACCUAAAUACUAGGAUAGGAGGAUGUAAGAUACACUUUUUGAAUGUACAAAUAACAUUUAUGAAGAAAGAAAAACAAAUUUAUAAAUGCAUAGAAUAGAUAGAUGCGCGAAGCGUAGGUAAUAAUCUUUUUCUGCGGAUAGUAAAUAUUUAGAGGCUAUGGUAAAAUUGUUUUACAAGUUUAGAAACAAUUAGGCCCCGUUUGGAUAUCCUUAAAAACGUAGCAUAGUUAAACUAUACUACACCGGUAGGAAAUUUAUCCUACGAAGCAUUUGGGAGAAAAAAAGAUACCGUAAUUUUUGGAGUAUAGUUAAACUAUACUUCAAAAAAUAGAGUAAAAUUAUAAUCCACUCUAAUCAAAGGAAAAGAAUUUCACCAUUCUUCAAAAUUUAAACGUCAAAUUUUAAAUUUUAAAUUUAUAAAUUCAAAUUUUAAUUUUCGAAUAUCAAAUUUUAAAUUUUAGUUUACAAAUAAUAAAUUUUAAAUUUUUUAAUUUAUAAUUUUAAUUUUUAAUUCUAAAUUUUUUUAUUUUCAAAUUUAGUUUUUAAAUUUCAAAUUUCAAUUUUAGAAUUUCAAAUUUCAUUUUAAAUUUUAGUUUUCAAAAUUCUAAAUUUCAAAUAUCAAAUUUUAAACUUCAAAUUUUAAAUUCUAAAUUUUAAAUUUCACAUUUUAAUUUUCAAAUUUUAAAUUUCAAAUUUCAAAUUUUAAAUUUUAAANUUAAAUUUUAAAUUUCAAAUAUCAAAUUUUAAACUUCAAAUUUUAAAUUUUAAAUUUUAAAUUUCAAAUUUUAAAUUUCAAGUUUCAAACUUUAAAUUUUAAAUUUUAACUUUUGAAGUUUUAAAUUUUAAAUUUCACAUCCCAAAUCUCAUAGUUCAAAUUUCAAAUUUUGAACUUUAAAUUUUAAAUUUAUUUUUAAAUUUAGAAUAUAAAAAUCUAAAUGUAAAAUUUAAAAUGUAAAAUUUAAAAUUUAAAUUAUUUUAUUUUAAAAUUUUAAAUUUUAAAAUUUAAAAAUUUGUUGGUAGCCGAUUUCCCAGACCCCUCAUCCUUAUCGACGAUCCUCCUCGGGGAGCGUGUCGGGAUGGAAACGGCUUAUGGUACUGACCUUCGAAGUUCACGCCUUUCGAUUGAUCAAGCGAUUCGGCUGUUGAGAGAUCGGAUCAGCCUGGUUCGAAGCCUCUACAGUAAAUUCGGUUCGACUGAAAGAGCCAAAUGUACGAACCAAACAAAAACUAAAGUCGGCUGAUGAACCGAAUGGCUAAAGAACACAGGAAUUGAUCAGCUUGAAGAGCCGAAUGCCUUUAUAUUCACUGAUAAGAAGUACAGGGGUCGAGUGUGCCGGAUGGCAUUGAGACUCGGACGAUCUACUUAAAACUACUCCUAGGAAGAACAGUAAAUGAGGAAAAGAGAAAAUUACAAGUAGACUACUCCUAGAAAAUAUAAAAAAUUGCGAGGAAAAUAAGGGCGGUCUUUUGUUCACAGGAAAAAGAUCUCUUUUUAGGGCGUUAUUGACCUAUUUAUAGAUCACCCCUUUUGUUUUUACACGAUCGACCACUAUCUCCUAAUAUUUCGGACCACUUCUAGCCGAUUAGAACCGCUUGCAACUGCUUGUGGUUACUGUAACUUCCCUCAAGUCGUGCGGUUUAAUAUUCUUCCGGUGCUCCUAGUGCUCUGCAAAUCAAUACAAAUGAAUGGAGUACCGGUGUAUUAUAUGUCCGCGCCUUAUUCGCUCAACAAAAUUAAAUUUAAAUUUUUAUAUUUUAAAUUUUUAAAUUUCAAAUUUUAAAUUUUAAAAUUUAAAAUUUCACAUUUCACAUAUCAAAUUUUAAAUUUUAAAAUUUAACUUUUAAUUUUAAAAUUGAGGGAAAUCCCAUGAAAUUGUACAAUUCGCAUUCAAACAGUUUAAAAAUUGAAUCCAUAAAAUUUUUUUAGAGUUACAGGAUUCCCUAUUUCAUUUAGACCAAAACCGCAGUUUAUAAAUUCUGCAAAAAAAUUUUACUGUGCAUCCAAACAUGCCCUUAGCAUCGAAGUAAAAGUUUGGAGACCCAAAGUAAAACACGGCUGAAUAUUGAAAUUUGGCCGAAAGUUUCGAGGGGCUAGUGCCAUUUCCCAUUUUCUUCGAUCACUCAUUGGUUUUAAUUUUUAAUACUUAUUAUUAUCGGAAGCUAUGAGUGAACGAAUUAACCCGAUAGGGGCUCAACCAAUUUCAUGAGGCCUUGGUUUUUUCAUACUUGAUCCAUCUUGACCAUUUUGGACCAAUCUUGGACUUGAAAAUUACAAUUCUUACACAAACUCAGCCGUGCUCGGGCCAGGCAAAUGUGACCCCUGCACGUGAAUAGGCUCAAACAAGGGCCAGGUUUUGAUCAAUUAAGUUUUCUUCCACUUGAUUAUCUUGUACCGAUUUGGUCCCGAACCAGCCCUACAAUUGAGGUUCUUGAGGAAAUUGUCACGCCCCGGGAUUCUUUUAGUCUAUAAAAUCAGCGAAAAAAUGUCCAAUAAAUUUUUUUUUUAAAACAUUGACUCAAGGGAUGAGAGACUGUGCCACGAAUUAAUACAGAAAAUCUACUGUUCAUACGGACAAAGUCUCCCUUAUGUUUGCACGGCGUCGCAUAAUACAAAAACAACCACAAACAUAUACAAACCAUAUACAUUUACUGUUGGUGAAAAAUCCAAAAUCUCCAAAUAUCAUUUAGCUUUAUAAUUAUUCUCAUUUAUUGUCUUUUAUUAUGUUAAUUAAUUGGAUGAAUUUAAUUUAAUUUAUUCCUUCUUUAUGCCACAUAAAGGCAUGAAUUAAGUGGAAUGUUGGGAACGUUGGGUUUCCAAUGUUCCAUUCUCUCUCCAUUAUUUAUACAUUGGAUUGCACUGUUCAUCUAUGAUGAACAUUGCUGGGAGAGAGAGCCAAGUGGAAAAACAAAAGGAGAAAUUUUAUUUAAAUUCUUAUUUAAUUUUAUUUUGUUCUUCCGCAUUCGUGUCCGUAGGAGGAGAAAUUCCGGCCGUACCUUGGUGUCAUGCCCCGAGCCCGCCAAUUUGGUCUGUUCGGGCACGUCAAACAGACGCCCAAUGGACAGCACCUCCCCUGUCCGCCCAUGGCUCAACAAAACAUCAACAUGUAUAUAGUUUGCACGAGCGAAAAUAUAAACAUACAUGGCUUGCACGAGGGCAAACAAUAGCCAAAAGUAAAAGUCUAUACUAUACAUCCAUACGAGUACUGUGAUUGCCCUUAAUCACAUAUAUGCAUUUAUAGACUUACAUUCUUUCAUUUUUUUCUUUAUACAUCACAACUCCCAAAUUUACAUAGCUUUUCUUUCAUCAAAAACUUAAGCUUUUACAUGUAAACAUUAUUUAUACAAUUUGCAUCAUCAAGUACAAAAGAUGAUAAAAUUGGUAUGAAGCUAAACUCGGGUUGUCACUUUCUAAGGUGUGAUAUCUUUACCGCGAUCGUCGGUUGGCUCGCUCGGCCCCGGCUCUGUAGAUGAUAGUGGGGUGAGAACUACAACAAAGUUCCCAGUGGGUUCGAUCGCCGACCUCGCCGACAUUCCCACUAGGUCUAAAUCAGGCAUAAAUAGGAGAAUAAAGCAGAUAGAUAGGUAACCAAGCUAUACAAAUACAACUAUUAUGCCUGAACAAAUGCUAUCAAUGUAAGGAUGCUCAUGAUGCAUGCAAGGUCCAUUUUUCCAUGCCGAAUCCUCUUGGCUAACCCGUAGGUUUCGCUCUCAACUCACCAACUCAAAUCCCUAAGAUCGGGGAGAUACACGCUACACCCGAUGGAACCGAACCGUCCUCUGGGGAAACUCCAACCUAGUGAUGACUAUUCCGGAGCUCAUUGCUCGAGGGGGUGCGACCGCCCUCAAGCCAAGACUUAUAGGUAAGUAUAGUCCAAUCCUUAGUUAUAAGGAUAUCAAGUUUAAUCUGAUCCUUAACUAUAAGAAUAUUAUACUUACUCAAAUCCUUAACUAUAAGGAUGCCUCAAUUAUGAGGAUAUCACAUAUGCCACAAUGCCAAAUAUCUCAUUCUCUUGUAUUUACUUUACUCAUUAAUGUCACACACUAAGUGUCAUCAUUCUCUAGCAUUUCUAUACUCAUUAAUGCCACACAUACUAAGUUUUCAACUCUCUAGCAUUCAUUGGUCUCAUUGAUGCCACACACACUAAGUGUUCAACACUCUAGCAUUCAUUGGUCUCAUUGAUACCACACACACUAGGUGUUUUGCUCUCCUUAGCAUUUCUAUACUCUUUAAUGCCACAAUGUGCUACUUUACUCAUGUCAUAAUGUCACUAAGUUCUUUACCUCAACUAGGUUUUUGUCACAAUUCACACAUUCAUAGGGUCUACAACUUAUUCAAUAGCUCACUAACAUCUCAUAUGCAUCUUAUACUCAAAGCAUGCAAGCAAUAUAUUCUCACUCAACCCUACAAUGCAUGAAAUUCAUAUACACAUAUAUGCUCAAGAAGUGAUAUUUAGACAUAAAAGAAAAUUUAAUGAUUUCGGAUAGCACAACCCACCUCGUAGGGUUGCUAGGGUGCUAUGAUUCAAGUCUCGGAAUUUUUAGCCGCCUAUAUCCCUUGAUUGCGUCAAAACGAAGCCAAAACAGGUUUUUUCCUCAAUUUAUUCCCGUAGACUCGUCAGAUCUUCGAACUGAGUCUCCCAACGCGUCGGUUUUACCUUAAAUUAGGGUUCUACAAGGUUAAUUUACAUAUAAUCCCACCUAUGGCAAAAACCCCAUUUCAACCCUAGGUUUCCACAAUUGCUAAUUGUUCACUAAUUCAUGGAAACUCAUGAACAAAUCCAUCAUAGUAGCUUCUAAAUACAACGACUAGAAGCAAUUUACUCAAAACCCUAGCUUAUACCAUAGGAACUCACGUUGAAUUCUUUGCUUUCAUCAAGCUUCUUCUCCCCCAAGGCUUGCUUCACCACCAAGCAACUCUAAUCUCCUCUAAACCUCUCUUUAAUGGAGAAAUUACAAGAGGAAAGGAGAGAGAAGUGUUAGAGAGUAGAAGGAGUGUGAUCUAAAGAGAGAGAAAACCCCUCUCCAAGCUCCUCUCAUGUUGGGCACAACCAGGGAGAGAUUAGGUAUAGGUUCAUAUAUAUAUAGGCCCCCUAAACAAUAUUAUAAUUUUUCAGUUUAGCCCAGUUCAAAUCUGAUGCCUUUCGCCGGAGACCUUUUGAAUGCCUGUUUGCGCUCAAAUUUGACAGUCAUGCUCGGUUUAAACCAACAAGAAGAACGAAAUCUUAAUCUUUCAGUUUAUACCAUUUUUGGUCACCAAAAGCUCACCGACCCGAAUCUCUAGCGGAUAGCAGUUAGAUUUUGUUUUCCACUUUCUGAGUGUCAGAAUGACAUAAAACUUUAAAAUCUAGCCUCAUAAAAAUAAUUCCUGCAUAUUCUCAAAUUUUCAUAAUUUUCUGACACUGUGAAUUUUCUGCUAAAAGAUCGGCCCUGUUUCUUACAGAAAAUUCUAAAUCUUCUGUUUCCAUUCCAAUCUCAGCACAAAUCAUUUUCAACUUAUUUUUUACUUCUUUAAGUCCAAUAAAAUAGUAUCUCACUCUAUUUUUAUUUAUAUUUAUCUUUAUAUUAAAAACCACGUAUAUUACAUUCUACCCCUCAUAAAAAAAGUUUCGUCCGCGAAAUUCAAUUCCAUACCUUAGUUCGCCGACUCAAAUAGAUGAGGAUAGGUCUUUCGCAUUUCCUUGUCAAGUUUCCAAGUGGCUUCACGUCUCGCAUGAUUGCUCCACUGGACCUUAACAUAUGAAAUUGUGCGACUCCCAACUUCCUUUCUUCUCGGUCGCGAACACACCGGAUACUCAUCAUAGGUCAUAUUCUCGCGCAACUCCACCGGUUCAUACUCUAACACGUGAGACGAAUUGCGGAUAUACUUGCGGAGAUUUGACAUAUGAAACAUGUUGUGAACUCCCGCAAGCCUCGGCGGUAGUGCGAGCUUAUACGCCACCGCACCCACACGCUCCAAUAUCUCGAACGGCCUAACAUACCGGGGACUAAGCUUCCCGCGGACUCCAAAUCGCUUCACACCACGCAUGGGUGAUACUUUCAAGAACACGCGGUCUCCAACCGCAAACUCCAUUGCCUUGAUUGCGCCGUCGCAAGUCGUUGACGAGCAAAGCGAACUUUCUCUUCCGCCUCUCGCAACACAUCAGGACCAAGAGUAAUCCUCUUGCCCACUUCGCUCCAAUGGAUAGGGAAGCGACAUUUCUUUCCAUACAAAGUUUCAAAUGGCACCAUCGCAAUGCUUUAUUAAUAGCUAUUAUUAUAUGCGAACUCUGCCAUCGGCAAAUAGUCGUGCCAUCUGCUCUUAUAGUCAAGUACACAGGCUCGAAGCAUGUCCUCGAGGAUUUGUAUCAUCCUUUCUGAUUGACCGUCACUCUGAGGAUGAAACGCCGUGCUAAAAUCGAGCCGUGUGCCCAGAGCGUCUUGCAAACUCUUCUAAAAGUGAGAUGUGAAUCUGGGGUCUCGAUCCGAUACUAUAGACACUGGAACCCCAUGCAGUCUUACAACCUCAUUAAGAUACACCUGCGCUAACUUGUCUCCGGAUCAAGUGGUAUGGAUCGGCAAGAAGUGAGCCGAUUUCGUCAAGCGAUCCACUACUACCCAAAUGGCAUCGUGUCCGGCUUGAGAUCGAGGCAAACCGGUCACAAAAUCCAUUGCGAUGUCCUCCCAUUUCCAAACGGGUAUAGACAAGCUUUGCAACUUUUUCGCCAGAAACCGGCGCUCCGCUUUCACUUGUUCGCACGUGAGACAUUGCGCCACGAACUCCCUAAUAUCUCUCUUCAUGCUCGACCACCAAUAAUGCACUUUCAAGUCUUGGUACAUCUUAGUGACGCCGGGUGUAUGCUAUAGGGAGAUUGAUGCGCUUCUAACAUAAUCGCCUUGCGAAUAUCCUCACUCUUAGGCAUACACCAACGAUUUCGGAAUCGAAGUGCGCCAUCGGUCCCAAUGCCGAAAUCAUCAGCACUACCACUUUCAACUUCACCCCGCAUGUAAGAAAGUGAAUUCUCGAAAUUCGAGAGUUGGAUUUCGUCGAGAAUCGACUAAUUGUCGAGGGGGUAGGCUUCGGGGAAGCCAAUGAUAUCUAAAAUCCAAAAAGUGCAUUGAAUUUGGAGUCUACGAGAGCAAUCAGUGCAAAGCCUGCACUUGGUAGAUUCAGCUCUCGGGGACCAGUCCCUAGUUUGAGGGACCGGUUCUCGUAAGCCUGGUACGCGUGGAAGACCCCCUGUGCACCAUUGUUGCUCUCGGGGACUGGUCUCUGUCGGGAGAGACCGGUUCCCGUAAGCAAUGAGAAGUCCCUGCGGGGGACCGGUCUCCCAGUGAGAGACCGGUUCCCAUAAGUGUCCUACGAGAGCAAGCUUUCGGGGAUCGGUCCCUGGCGGGGAAGACCGGUCCCCGUACGCGUAGAUGCUGGCUGGGAGCUCCAGCCUGCGGGAGAAGCUUUCAGGGACCGGUCCUCCCGUAGAGGGAUCGGUCCCCGUGCGCGAAUACUGCCCAGGCAGGGCAGUGUGAGAGGUGCAUAGUUGAGGGGCUUUUAUGCAAAAGUGGCUUUAGCUAGGGGUAUAGAGGAGAAUGUACUCUCUCUCUCUCCCUCUCUCAUUCCCUCCCAAACUCUCAUUUCUCUCUCCCUCUCUCUCUAGAAAAGAAGAAGAAGAAGAAGGAGAAGGAGAAGAAGAGAAGAAGAAGAAGAUGGAGAAGAAGAAGAAGGAAGAGAACUUGAAGGAGACCCUCACCAUCAUCUUCUUCUCUUCCUCUCAUCACUAUUGGAGCAAGCUUAAAGGUGAGCUUCUCAACCCUAACAAUGGUAAAACCUAGGGUUAUGGAUUUCUAGCUUAAUAAUUGGGUCAAAUGGACCCCAAGCAUCAUUAAUAGAUGAUUUAUGCUAGAAUCUAGAUUUUUGAGGGAGUGGUUUUGCUAUGAGGCAAACCUAGGGCACCCAAAUUGGGGUUUUGCUUAAUAUAGUGGAUUGAUCUCAUUUGUUGACAUCUAAAACUAAUUGUUAGGUGUCUAAACGCGUGGGCGAAGACGGAUUGAGCAUUCGUCGAGUCGUUGGAAAGAUAUCGGCAAAGCAAGGCCGAGCAAGCUUCGUUUCCUUCUUGGAGGCGGAGAUUUCGUCGUAACAAGUGUCAAGUAAGGUUUCUAGCACCCCGACAUCGUCGAAAGGUGGGUGAUGUCAUCCCGAAGCAACCGGAUUCCUCUCUAUGUCUUAGUAUUUCAUGAUUUGCAUCUCUUGCAUAUAGCAUUGUAGAAUUGCAUGUUAUUCCUUUUCCUUAUGCUUGCUAAUAAUAUCGAUAUAUGAGUUGAAUGCAUGAUGGUGGUUAGAUGAGGAUUGGGUCUUGACAUUGGAUUCUAUAGUGCCGAGAAAAGAGAGAUGAACUCGAUGAUUGUUAAAGACAUAAUGAGUGGCAUUGAUUGUUAAACAAACGAGAACGAGUGACAUAUAAUGUAGUGUAUGAUGACACUAGUGACACAUGAACUUAGGGAUAGGUAGAUUCCCUAGUAAUGGCUCGUUGAACAAAGAACAUAGUGUAGUCAAGUACUUACACAUGGAUAUUGGGAUAGGUGGAUCCCCGAGUGAUUGCAACCCUAGAGUUGAUAGAGAAUCCUCGAGUUGAGAAGAUUGAUUGUAUUCACAGUCUCCUUACCAUACGAGGUUUGAGGUGAGUCGUGGGCGAACCCAAGUGGAUCGCCAAGGAUUGAUUGAACAAGAGAAUAGCACUGUCAUUGAACAUUUGCUUGUUGGACAUUAUUGUGGACAUAGUAGCAUGUUAGUAAACCCUUUACUAUAUGAAGCAUGCAUACAUUAUUGAUGAUUGGGCAUAGUAGCAUAGUUUUUCUACUAUUGCAUUUACAGUUUUUCAUAUCUAUCUUUCUAUCUAUCUGCUUUUGCCCACUCGGACCUAGUAGGGAGAUCGGCGGAGUCGGCGGCCGAACCCUGUGAGAUCCCUGGUGUUUGACUGUGGAGGCUUGUCGACAGCUCUGGAGAGUGUCGGGACAAGCCCGAGUCGCGUUGGCGUCAAAUAGACGUAAAACGGACUCCGUCGGACGCAAGAGCAGCCUUCAGCGAAGAAAUCUGCGAAAUAGCAGAUUUUUCUGCUGGCUGUACCGGUACAGCCAGCGAGGUGUACCGGUACGCUAUACUGGCUGAGCGCGUACUGCUCUCGGGUUAGCUUCCUGUACCGGUACGCGAUCCCGUGUACCGGUACACCAGAGUAGGUGAGGGGCUUUUUAGUAUUUUUACCUUGCCUCGUUUGUAUCUCCUUCACUCCCCUCUAUAUAGUUCCGUGUAAGGAGAGAGAGAGAGGCCUUCUUGCUGAAAUUCUCCAUCUCUCUCACUCUCCCAUCCGGUUGAAGGCAAGAGGAAGCUCGGAUUCGUCGCCGACGUCGCGCCGCGGAGCCGUUCGGGCAUACUUCCGUCGUCGUGUUGCUGCGAGCAGGCCGGGCGAGCGGAGGUUUUCGCCGUUUUUCUGUCGCAGCGGUGCCCGGUGUUGUCGAGGUGAGUAUUUCAGCAUUUCCCUGGAUUUUGGGCAAGUUUUUACUACUUCGACUCGGUAAAUUGUUGGUUGCUGAAAUCCACCGUCGACUGUUAGUAUUUCAGCUCGUUCUCGACGUAGGAGCAUCGGAUUGCGACGAGACUUGGUUCGUUGGAUUCGGGACUGCGAGAGGAAUCCACGAAGCCCUUACUUGCGAAUUUUGGUGAAGGUUAGCUUGGUCGAAAUCCUUCUCUUCUCUGCUGCUGUGGAUUUUGGGACUGAAUUGAGAAAUUUUGGUGUUUUAGUUUGGAGUUAGCUCGAUUUCGAGACUCGGGCGUUUUUAGUUGAUCCAGCAGAGGGUAUCCUGGUUCGAGGCUUCGUUCGCUGCCAGGGGAUAGCUUUCGAGGUGGGUUACAUCGGCUUUACUCCUAAGUUCUUAUUGGUCGACAUGUAUAGAUCUUGAUUUCGGAAUUAAUGUUAGCUCAAAUUCAUGGAUUAUUGUUAGAAAUGUAAUAUCUGAAUUUUCGAGCAUAUUUUAUCAAGUAAAUAGAUUAUACAUGUUGGACUUGAAAAUUGAAUUAGGAGAAAACCUGCGAUUUGGACCUGUCACCAGUUUUAACUACCUGAUUUAGCUCUAGGAGCCGUUAGAGAAUUGUACUGUCGCAGUUUCUUCGAGACGAGUACUCCAGGUAGUUUAGAAUGUAUUUACUCUCGUGCUGGUUCGCCGAGUGGAUUUUUACAGGGUCGUUCAGGUCGUUCCGGACUGUUGGGUGCCGUCAGAGUUGACGGUGGACCCGUAUCGCCUUUUUGGCGUCAGAUUGUGCCGAGGGCACGUUACCUGUUCGUUGUUGGACCAGUUUGAGUCGAUUACUUGACUUUGGCUAGUUGGAGCCUGAUUGAGCUCGACAGAGAUACGCUGCAUACUCGGUUGGGUAGCGCCCACGAGUGCCACUCCGGAGUCAGGCUUGUGCUUUUGCGUUGGUGUCGCUCAUGCCAGUUGGACUUGCUCUCCACGGACCAGUUAGAGUGGAUAGAGCCCGAUAGUCGCAACGGGGCAGGGACGGGUGUAUUCACAGUCCCGGGGACGGGUAUGCUUACAGUCCCGAUUUGGAUUGGGUCAGACUUGGCUUUUCCUACAGUUGGUUAGUGUAGAGCAUGAUAGUGUAGUGAUUGAUAGCGGUAGAGUGUACUUCCUGCUUUUCCUACUAUCCUUGCUCCCUUCUGUAGACUUAGUGGGUGACCGAUGUUGUUUUGGGCGGUACCCACUGAGGACUACUUGUUUUUACAGUAGUUCUCACGCCCAGUUGUUACCUAUGUUUUUGCAGAGCCACAGGUUCCGGCUGCUGCACCGUCCGUGGAUCAGGAUCGAGGCAAGGGCGUCGCGAGUUAGAGCCCUACCCGACGUGCUGAGCUAGAGGUGCCCUACUGCAGGUAGAUGUUUUGUUUCGAGUUUAUGUACAUAGUUGACUUAACUCGCCAGUGCGAGUAGCUCUGUAUUUUGGAUCUGAGCUAUGUAUAUGAAACUCUGUUUUAUUUAGCUUCUGUUUUCUCUAGCAGCUCUCUACUACUGUUUGUAGUAGUGUUUGAUUUACAGGUACAGUUAUCGCUUCGUAUACAGGAAAAAUUUUUUUUGUAUACGGCGGAUUUGUCGGCGUGCCCGGGGAACGUGUAAUCCGGGGCGUGACAAACCCACUGGAAACUAUGGACAAUAGUUCUCACCCCACUUCGUUGCAGGGCCUAGUAUGAGCACGCCGGGCGAGGAACGUGGCAAGGGCAUAGCGCCCGAGCAGUAGUACAUAAUAGCUUUCCUAUUUUUGCAUUAGCACACCUAUGUAUAUGAGAGACUUAUGUAGGUGAGGAUUUGGAGAGCUAUUGAUGUAUGUAUUUGAUGGUCGUUAGUGAACCAUGUAUCAACUCUGAGAAGAUGAAUAUGUAAUUGAAUGCAAAUGAUGUAAUAGUUAGUAAAACUCUCUUUAUUUCACUUGUGUAUGCUUGUGGAUUCUUGCUCUUAGUUGUUGGCACUGUUUGUGCUCUUGUGAUCGUGUAUGUAUGAAUUUCUAUUUCCUGGGCAAAUUCUUGUACAUGAUCUGGUGUUUAGCCUUGGGCGGAGAGGGGACGUGUUAUCCGUUCGGCAUCUGUUCGACGCGCCCGAGCCGUGCCAAAUUGGUAGCAGUCUCGGGGCAUGACACCGCACCUUUUGGAGAUACGAAUCAGGAGCUUGUUGCUCUUUAAUCCUCUCCAACAAGAUUGGUUGAACCACCAAUGCGGCGAGAAUUGCCGGCACCUCAGGAGCUACUACUUCGAGACCAAACAGUUGCAUCUAUUUUUUCAACGACGGUUGGGGUGUGAUUACUAAAGCCAAAUUUUCCACCGACUUUCUACUCAAUGCAUCGGCCACGACAUUAGCUUUUCUCGGGUGGUAUACAAUAGUGACGUCAUAGUCUUUUAACAACUCUAACCACCGUCGUUGUCGCAUAUUCAAUUCCUUUUGGAUGAACAAGUAUUUGAGACUUUUAUGAUCCGUGUAAAUCUCACAAUGCUCACCGUACAGAUAAUGCCUCCAUAACUUCAGCUCGAAUAUCACCGCGGCUAACUCAAGGUCAUGUAUCGGGUAGUUCUUCUCAUAGCUCUUCAACUGACGAGAAGCAUAAGCGAUCACUCGUCCAUUUUGCAUCAAAACACACCCGAGACUACUAUAGGAAGCAUCACUGUACACCACGAAGCUCUCCCCCGGGGUCGGUAAGGCAAGCACUGGGGUCGAAGUGAACCUUUCUUUCAACUCCUCGAAGCUCCGAUCACAAUCGUCGCUCCACACAUACUUUACUCCGUUGUGCGUGAGGCGCGUCGGUGGAGUAGUUAUUUUUUCAAACCCCUCCACGAACUCCCGAUAAUAUCCCGUAAGACCAAGAAAGCUGCGGACCUCCACAACGCUUGUCGAGCGAGGCCAAUCCUUAAUUGCCUCGACUUUCUUCGGAUCCACCGAGACACUACUCCCAGAUAUCAUAUGGCCUAAGAAGGUAACCUCUGAAAGUCAAAAAUUGCAUUUCUUCAGCUUGGCAUAAAGCUUCUCUUUUCGGAGUAUUUGUAACACGGUUCUCAAGUGCUCCUCGUGUUCCUCCUCACUUUGGGAAUAAACCAACACGUCAUCAAUGAACACUAUGACACAUCGGUUCAAUAACGGUCGAAAGACUCGAUUCAUCAAGUCCAUAAAUACUGCAGGGGCAUUAGUAAGCCCGAACGGCAUCACCGUGAACUCGUACUGGCCAUAUCGCAUAUGAUACGUUGUCUUGUGCACAUCCUUCGGCCUGAUCUUCAAUUGGUGAUACCCCGACUGAAGAUCAAUCUUCGAGUACACCCGCGACCCUUGCAACUGAUCGAGCAGAUCGUCAAUUCUCGGUAACGGGUACUUAUUCUUGAUUGUCACCUUAUUCAACUCGCGGUAGUCCACGCAAAGUCGAAGCGUUCUAUCCUUUUUCUUUACAAAUAGCACCGGAGCUCCCCACGGCGACACGCUUGGCUUCACAAAGCCUUUAUCGAGUAAGUCUUGCAACUGGGCUUUCAACUCUACUAACUCUGCUGGUGCCAUUCUAUACGGGGCCUUCGAACUCGAUGUCCCGGUCCGGUGGCAAUCCUGGUAACUCCGCCGGAAAUACAUUCGGAAACUCUCAUGCUACUCGAAUAUCCCCGAGCAUCGGGAGCUCCCUUUGAGUCUCCACCUGUCACGCCCCGGGACCCGGGGUAGGCCCGCCUGGUGCGUGCCCAGACCCGCCAUAUGCCUGCACAUAUAAGGCAUCUACAACAAAAGCGAUAAAUAAACCUGUGAUACAAACAUCUAGAGAUAUCAGAGCGAGUAUAUAACUAGGUUCUAUCAACAAAUAGAAUCAAAAGAGACUAAACCACUAAAGUAAAAGGUAAAAAGUAAAAUAAUACAACCCAAGUCUUAUGAUACAUAUAAUGGGUGGUCUCUACAAAAUAGUGCAAGCCUCUUAACCUCUCCAGAAAGAAACAAAAGAGAGGUAGACCACCUAUCGACAAAUCUCUCGCCAGCUAGCCCGAGGCGAUUCCUUUCCCGCGAUCCCGAGCCUCUCCCGGAGUGGAAGGCUCUGUUAGAAAACAUAAAACAGAGGGCGUGAGAACUAUAAUUUAUAGUUCCCAGUGGGCAAUUACUGACCUUUAGCAAAAUGCACCACUAGGCCCAAAACAUGAGCAGAUAAGGAUAAUAAUAAGUAACUGCGUAAAUGAAAGCAUAUAAAGAAAUGCUACUCUACUAUUCCACAAGUAUACAUGAUGUCAACAUGGUGUACAUCUAUUCUAUCAUGAAUUCAAGUUGCCAAUACAUAAAAGUAUGCUCUAUCAUGGCUAUCAAGUAUACUAAGAUGCAACAAGUAAUACUAUCAAGUAUACUACAUGUCCCAAAGUCCAAUAAUCCAACUACUCUAUGCUACAAGUAGUGAUUGUCAUAAUAUUAUUUGAUGUCCUUAUUCAAUCUCAUUUAGGAUCUACACAUGUGUAGUCCAGCUCGUGCCGCCUAGCUGCCUGUGGUAGCUCAUCAUCCCACACUGGAUAUGAGGCUGUCCCACACGACCCUACAGGCGUCUCAAGUCCCAAGUCGUCAUGUCUAAAAUAUGGAAUAUAGCUCGUCAUGUCAAAAACAUGGAAUAUAGCUCGUCAUGUCUAAAAUAUGAAAUAUAGCUCGGCAUGUCUAAAAUAUGGAAUAUAGCUCAUUAUGUCUAGAACAUGGAAUAUAGUCGAUGUCCCAGUGGCCUAUCACUAUGUCACUAUGUUGCAGUUUCACAAUUUACUAAGUCGGGUGCCCCUUCAUGGUACCUUUGUCCAAAUCUCGUUCCAUCGCUAAUGCCGCUUUAUGACAUUAGGUUUACUAAGUCCACACAUAUUCCGAACUCAAUGCCGUUUUAUGACAUUAGCUUACUAUAUCAUACAUCACUCAAGCCUAAUGCCACUUUAUGACAUUAAAUGAUCAUCUAUGCCAAGCAUAAAUACUAAGUCCAAGAAUACAUUGCACAUAUCAUUUUCACUAUAUAAAACAUGAUCCAAAUUCACACAUAGGAGGGCUAUUUGUAAGCCCAAGUCCAAACGUGCAAACUCUACUACAUAUAGGUCCAAAAUGCAUUAUACACAACAUGUGUAUUUUAAGCAUUCUAAAAUUCUCAAAUAUUCUAUCUAGCAUCAAUAUGCAUGCAUUUUUAUUUUACGAUAAGUAAAACCAUCAUAGAGAUAAUUUAUCCCAUUUUGGUGAGGCCAAACCAACCAAGUCUCCUCGUAACCCUUCGUUUGUGCCGACGAAGGUACCCACAAGCCUCGAAACUCCCUAAAGGUUAAACUAGGAGUGUUACACGAACGUUACGAACAACCACUAGAUCAAACAUUAUCCAACUCAACAAAAGGGCAAAAACUCACCUAGAAUGGUGAAAAUCCCUCUCAAUCUCCAAAUGGGAGUAAGAACCCUUCCAAUCCAACCUAGAAUGGUUCUAAACAAACCAAUUGAGCUCCACAAGCCCUAGAUAAAAAAUUCUCAAUUCACACCCUAAUUUCACAAAUCUAGGGUUUCUAAACCAAAAUCAUGCAAAACAUGAUCUAGAAAGGGGGAGUAAGCAACCAACCUCUUAAGAAGCUCCCAAAGACCCAAGAAACCAGCUAAGGUUGAUGUUCUCUCCUCCUACAAGCUCCAACCACGAGCUCAAAGCUUCUUCGAUGGUGGAAGUUGCACCAAGAAGCAAAAGAGAGCAAAAUGAAGUGAUUAAACUUCAAAAAUCCCACCAAAAAUUAAAAAAACCAAAGAGAAGGAGUAGAGGGUUCCUUACUUCUCUCUCCUCUGUUUCCAAGCUCAGAGAACACCAAGAGAGGCGUGGGGUUAUUUGUAGUAUAGCUACAAUUCCAAAAACACCCCUCAAAAACUAUCAUUUCGAAAUCUGGCAAAGUGUACCGGUACACGGAAAAGUGUACCGGUACAAAACCCUGUACGCGCAAACCCGAGGCUCGGUUUGGCUGAAAAAUCGCAUUUGUACCGGUACAACCAUCAAGGUGUACCGGUACAAAAUCUGUUCCGGUACAACCAUCAAGGCUAUACCGGUACACAACCCAGCUGAAGCAAACCGGAGAGCAAACCAAAAAUCCGUCUUUUCGGGUUUUGGUGCAAAGUUUUAAACCUUAAUUCUCGAGAUGCGAGCCAUAGGUUGGAACACUGUCUACGACCCUCCAGAAAAUAUAGAAAAUCUCGAAACACAACUCAAACACUUGAACCUUACAAUUUGCAAAAGUCCAGUGUGUUACAUUCUCCUCUCCUAAAAAGGAGUUUCGUCUGCGAAACUGCGAGUCAACCACGGAAUAGACCCAUCCGAAGAUCGAGGAUGGAAGAAGUGCUCCAAUAGCGCACCAAUCAGAUCAUGAAGGUCUCAAGCGUGCCGGAAUGCUCCACGGCAAAACAUACAAGAUCCCGCGACGCCAAGGCUUUGGCAUAAUACAAGUCAAACUUCCACUAAAGUUCCUCAAACGCAAGUCUUCACAAGAAAGGUCCAUCUCUAAUCUGCGCUUGAUCAAAAAGCCCAUCAGUUGGUUCUCACGAACCGAAGUGCACCCAAGGCUAAAUUCCAGUUCUCACUUUCCUCAUCUAAGCUGAGGGCAAAGCCUAUCUCUGCUUUGUUUUACUCAUAAUAUAGAAUUCCAUCAUAUAUCCUCUUAAGGCGGAUUCAACGACGCUGUCUAUAGCAAGAAUCCGAGAGUUACACCUAUUACCCCAUCCAUCAAAACUACACCGGAGUACUCACAUGAAACCAAUCACCAAAGAGAGACGAUGCAACAUCCAAUCGCCGACUUAAUCCCAACGACGAUCUCACAACUCAAAAUCAAGUCCCGUCACGAGAUUGCACAACUAGGUGCCACGCACCCUAUUCCAUAAUUAAGUAUGGUGUAAUUUCACAUGGCUACGAUUCCAAAUUGCUUGGCACGAACGGCUCUACAAUCAACAUCCACGGCAACAAUCCUUCCGAUAGCAACUGAAAUCGACGAAUCGUCCAAAUUUGCUCACCAGAGGUGAUUAUUUGAUUCCUCAAUCGGCAUUGCACCACAAUGCCUCUACAUCAAUCUCACUUUCACUACUCGGGCAGUACUCUCAAAUCCUCUACUGUAAAUAUGGUAAAGGACCAAAGUUCAGUAACAUCCUCAAUCCACUAGGGUCAAUCCCUUAGUCCCAACUCGAUGCCCCAAAUAAACUCUUCAAAAGCCUAAGCCAAGGGCUUUUCUUCACUAGAAUGUCUCGCACAUUAACCGUUCAGUUGCUCCUGAAGAAUCACUCAAAAUUUCUCAUCCUCAAUACUUUUCUUAGCAUCAGAUGCUCUAGGUGUCCAUAGUCACCGAGCUCAACUCAAGUGAUAGAGAGGGUUCCAUCCACAAUUCAAUAAUAGCUCUCUAUCAAUGUCACUAUAAUGUGACCACAGCCAAAACGUCCAUCCAAACAGCUCUUUCACGUAGUUUUCAUUCCCAAGAUCUGGAUUCCUUGUACAUAACCGGCCAAGGGAAAAUAGCAACUUGGUAUUUUUCUCUCUCGAAUUUCCCAACUACUCGAUCCAACAGUGAGAGUUUCACACCUCGAUCACGUCAAUCUGCCUCUGUAGUCAAUCCUCGCACAUCUUCAUUAGGAUACCCAAGGCCGUCAGCGGACGGUUCCACCAAUCCAUCCAGAGGGCUUGGAAUUAUCGUUCAACAAGUCCCUAACACUGGUGGAGUACUACGGGCUUAGGCAACAUCACAAUAACCCUCAUGAUGUCCCAACCGAGCAUCAAAAUCCGUUUGAGGCACAACCUCAAACUCCAACACAGAACGGUAAUACUCAGAUUGCGUUACAAUCCUAUCGAGUACACCGACAACUCAAGGCUAAUUGAAAAGAUCAAUGAGCCUCUACAAUGGUCCAAACACCCAGUCGUGGUUCAAUUUAGAUCACGAUAGUCGACAUACAGUCGAAACGACCCAUCCGGUCCCACAACAAGUGAGGGUGCUUCUCUAUGAACCAAAACACUAGGUACGAACCUCCCCCCCAAUUGAGCUCAUGCUUCGUGUCUCAAUCGGGAUAACAACAACAACUCGAAAGAUAUCCUCCAUUACGAGGAUUCUCAAUCAACAAAUGCUAACGGCCGACUAGGCCCCAAAUCCUCUCCAAUUACCCGAUUUUAGGUAGGGGGAUAGUCGUCGCAACCAGCGGAACUAAAUCCUCAAAUCGCACCAUUUCGUGCUCAAAACCUCAAGACGAGUCAAGUCAGCUCGUAAGACCAAGGGUACCAGGUACACACAAUAACUGCACACCAAGUAAGGCCAAUCCAUUCGUUGGCGCACAAAACCCUCUCACAAGGUAGGGUGUUCAAAACGACACACCCGAUCAACCGAUCGUCCUACAUGCAUCGAAAAAGAUCAACGCUAGCAAAUCCUCGGGUUGGGUCACUACCCACUCGGUAUAUCCUCGAUCUCACGAUCCAACACGUGGCAUUCCACGCUCCUAGGUCUAAGCUUGGACUACCGUCCUAACCAAACUCUGCCCUACCCGUAGGUACCGGGCCGCUGUCACACACAGCUGACUGCGUUUGCCCAAAGGGCCCAGGCUCCACAGUCCACAAACGGUCCAAGCACGGUCGUCCCCAAGCACCAUCCGGCGAACAGCCGAUCAAGGGAUACAAAUAAUGCAAUCAUCAUGAAAUCUACAAGGCAUAGCAAAACAUGCUACACACAAACCCGCAAAUUACCCGCCUAGCUCGAGAGGAGUUACUCGUCAUCACAAACAGCGAACUAACGGAAUGCCAUGCAACUCACCAAAUAGCCGAUCAAAGAAUGGAUGCAAUGCACAAGAAACUAAUAAAACACGAGCUCGAAAGCCACACAAAACAUAAUGAUACCUGCAACCCCAAUCUCGGCAGCUGCCGCCUCCUCGGUCUGGGCCGCAUACAUGCGCCCGCUCGGGGCCUGUCGUGACCCCUCCGUCUGUCUCAGGACAGGUGGCCUCCCAGCCUGAUAGUGAGCAGAAGGCGUCCCCUGGCUAGGACCUAGUAAAACUGGUACUGAUGCUGAAGAUGGUGCUGGAACUGGACCCCUCGGGCAGUCCGACUGGAAGUGACCCUCCUGGCCACACGAGUACCACCUGCCCCGAUUCUGCGAGCAUUGCCGUGGGUAAUGACAACCACCGCAGAUUACACAGGUCGGAGCCUGGCGAUGAUCAGAUCCUCCAUGCAGUGCAGAUGAGCCACGUCCUCUCGACUAUCUCCGGCUCCUGGAAUGUCUCGGCGGGCUCCCAGAGUGCGUCUGACUAGCACCCUCAGCCGCGGGUCUCUUGCCAUUUCCUUUGUCCAAUCCAUCUCGAUGCUCCUGCAAAUCCGUCGCGCCGCUCUACACAAUGAGCAUGCGAUUUACCACAUCUCGGUAAGUCUGGAGGUUGGAGGAUUGCACCAACCAAAAGAUCGACGGCCGAAGUCCUCGCUUGAAGAUGCGGACCUUGUCCUCAUCGUCUCGCACAACAAAGGACACACAGUGCAAAAGCCGAGAGAACUCCCUCUCGUACUCGGCCACAGUCCAAUUCUCCUGGCGCAUACUGUGCAGAUCCUGCUCCAUCUUUCUCUUAACACUGUCAAGGAAGUAGUGCUCCAACAAGAGUUCCUUGAACCUCUUCCAAAAAAUCGCCGCAAGGUCGGUGUUGGGAUUAUCCUGGAUAUCUAACCACCAACUAUAGGCCUCGCCGUCCAAGUGGUGAGUGGCGAGCAAAACUCUGUCUCUCUCCUCCACAAAAGUGUCGCGGAAUAACUUCUUCAUAUGCAUCAACCACUUCAUAUGCAUCAACCACUUCAUAUGCAUCAACCACUUCUCUACGAUCCAGUGGUCGACUUUCUCUCCAUCGAAGAUCCUGGGGCUAUACCUCCUAAACUCCUUGAGGCGAUUCAUGAGCCGCUCCCGCUCCGCUCCCUCAACCAUCACGGGAAAAACUGCUACUGCCACAGGCACCUAAGCUGAUGGUGCCGCAAAUACCUCCUCCCGAGGUGCUACCGCAAGUGCCAUCCGCGAAGUGUCGAGUGCAGGGGACGACCCCCUGGGUGAAACCACCUCCACUAGCGCUGGUGGUGUAGGGACAUGAGCCUCCCUAGCAGCCGCCCGCUGUAGUAAAAGGUCCUCCAGGCGCUUCAUCCGCGCUUCUUGCCAGCGCGUCGCAUCUGCCUGCUGCCGAGCCGCCGCCGCCUGCUGUGUCACCAAGUCAGUGAGGGCUGCAAACUGGCUCCUCAACUCACGUACCUAGCCGGAUCCGGAGGUAGCGGAUGUCUCCACUUCCUCAAAAGUUGCCGCGUUGUCCGCUCCAACAAACUUAAAGCGUGUAGUUGGCAUUAGCACUACAACAACAUAAAAAUAUAAGUUAACAAAAUCCACGCUAUCGCAACCCGACUCAAACAACUAACACCUAAAUCAUGCGAAAGUAAGGAAGUGUCCUUUACUACUAACCCCCGAUGUUACGUUGUCGGCUGCCAACGUAACCCUCCGCGAAGUUAGAAGUUAUACACUUCGGUUCAACUCCAACAUUUUAGAGUUAUCAAGGAAAUCCAAUCAUAAUACUUUCGCUGACAAUCAAAUAGACCUCGUCUCUCACGAGUCUAAUUCCUAUAGUCCAACCGGCCUAUGAUUUACUAGGUCCACUAAGACUCAACCCUAAGCUCUAAUACUAAUUUAAUAUGUCACGCCCCGGGACCCGGCGUAGGCCCUCCCGGUGCGUGCCCAGACUCGCCAUAUGCCUGCACAUAUAAGACGUUUACAACAAAAGCGAUAAAUAAACCUGUGAUACAAACAUCUAGAUAUAUCAGAGCGAGUAUAUAACUAGAUUCUAUCAACAAGUAGAAUAAAAAGAGACUAAACCACUAAAGUAAAAGGUAAAAAGUAAAAUAAUACAACCUAAGUCUCAUGAUACAUAUAAUGGGUGGUCUCUACAAAAUAGUGCAAGCCUCUCAACCUCUCCAGAAAGAAACAAAAGAGAGGUAAACCACCUAUCGACAAAUCUCUCGCCAGCUAGCCCGAGGCGAUUCCUUUUCCGCGAUCCCGAGUCUCUCCCAGAGUGGAAGGCUCUGUAAGAAAACAUAAAACAGGGGGCGUGAGAACUAUAAUUUAUAGUUCCUAGUGGGCAAUUACUGACCUCUAGCAAAAUGCACCACUAGGCCCAAAACAUGAGCAGAUAAGGAAAAUAAUAAGUAACUGCGGAAAUGAAAGCAUAUAAAAAAAUACUACUGUACUAUACCACAAGUAUACAUGAUGUCAACAUGGUGUGUAACAUAUUGAAACCUAGAUAGAAAAUGACGAACUUUAGGCAAACUGACUAAAGUGCGCGAAUGGAUUAAUUGGGCGAGUUCCAAUUAACCUACCAACACUGUUGGGAGGGUUAAAAAUGAGUUCUAGAAGUGUUAGAAGGGUUUUGGCAUCGAUCAGCGCAAAAUAGAAUCGAGACGGAGCCAAAAAUCAGGUCUGGAGCAAUGUGUACCGGUACAGCAAGCGACCUGUCACCGGUUACACAUGCUGAAACCGGUGACACGAAAAAGUGUACCGGUACACUUUGGGCGAAACCGACAGAUCUGCUCUCGGGUUUGCCUCUGCGUAGUCGUGUAACCGGUGACACGAAAAAGUGUACCGGUACACUUUGGGCGAAACUGACAGAUCUGCUCUCGGGUUUGCCUCUGCGUAGUCGUGUAACCGGUGACACGAAAAAGUGUACCGGUACACUUUGGGCCCGACAGCAAAACGAGGUCUGCUGCAAAAUAUAAAGAUUGGGAGGGUUUUUUGGCAAAUGUUACAACAUGUUAAUAGCCCAAUACCCCUUCCCCUCACAGCCAACACCCAUUUCACCCUCUCUCUCAUUUUCCUCUCUUUCUCUCUCUAGAAAGCAAGCCCUAGAGCUUGGAGAAGGUGGAGAAGAGCUUGGAGAAGUGGAUUUUGGUGGCUUUGGUGGUCCUAGAAGCUCUCCAACAAGUAGGCUUUGGUGGAGCUUGGGCAAAGGUGAGUCCUUAUGCAAAAAUGAGUUUAGGGUUUGGGUUUAGACCUUAGAUUUUUGGGUUUUGAUCUCUCUACAAGUGAGGAAAUCCUCUAAGGACCAUGACUCCAUGAAAAACAUGGAUUUCUUAGACCCCUCUCAUGGUGGAUCACUAGGGCUCAAAGUAGAUGCCCUAGGGAUGGUUCUAAAAGCUUAGAAACCUUAUUAGAGAGCUUCCCAUGUGAAUCUAAGCUAUCUUUUGCUUAGGAAUGAGAUCAAUCUCGGAGAAAUGCAAAAAUAACAUGUUAGGGCAUCCCAAAGAGGGGUUUUGCCCAAGUUGGGUUUUGAUCUAUUUUGAUCAUGUAGAAACCUAAUUGAGGGUAUUUUAAACGCGUUGGAACGCUCGGUUCGACAAUCCGACGAGUGUACACAAAGUUAUUAACAAAAACGUCAUUUUCCGUACAGAUAGCCGCAGCACGCGGACUAGGGCUUCAAAAAUUCCAAGAAAUUCAUCGUAGCAUCUUUGUGACCAUCUAAGGUGGGUGGUGCAUUCCAAGGACAUCGGAAAUCCCUUUAUAUCUAAAGCGUCAUAUUUGAGCAUAUGUAUUUAUAUUGAGCAUGUUGCAUAGUAGGGUUAAUUGUAAAUUUUCUUUGCAUGAUAUGAGUUCUAAUGCUUGAGAAAUAGUAGUAAAUGAAUGAGAAUUGGUAACCCUAUAUAUGCAUGACAAGGGACAAGAACCUAGAAGGGUUAGUAAACAAAUGUGACAUGUUGACAUAGAUUUAGCAAGUGACAUUGAUGAGUCUAGAGGACUUAGAAAACAAGUGUGGCAUCAUUGACAAAGAACAAGAACAAGUAGUGACAUUAUGACAUAAACACCUUAGAAUUAAGGGUCAUAUGUACAUGGUUCUCCUUGAAGUCAAGGAAUGGAUUGAACUUAAAAUCCUUAAAGUUAAGGAUUGAUCGACUCACACUAAAGUCCUUGCUCGAGGGCGGUAGCUCCCCUCGUGCGAUGUGCUCCGGAGUUGUCAUCACUGGGCUGUAGCGGUUAUCUCCCAGAGGCGGCCCGUCUGGUCGUAGCGGUUACUCUCCCCGAUAAUAGGGAUUUGGGUUGGUGAGUUUGUGAGGGCGAAACCUACGGGCUAGCAUGAGAUUGGGUAAUGAAAAGUUAAUCUUGCAUUCAUCAUGAGCAUUCUAUCGAGCAUAGUUUUAUUUAUCGUUCGGCAUAUUAGCUGCAUUUGUUAGUUGGUUAUUAUCUAUUCUUUUUUCUAUUAUCCUGAUUAGACCUAGUGGAUAGUCGGCGUGGUUGGUGCGAACCCACUGAAACUUUGUUGUAGUUCUCACCCCACUAUUCCACAGAGCCGGACAGGCGAGCGCGGCAGAUGAUCCGCGUAGGGCAUCGCGCCCUAGGUAGAGACCGCCCGAAGAUGGAUCCAUUUUGUAGUUGGCAUAUACCUUUACUAUCAUCUUUUGUAUUUGAUGAUUUUAGUAUUAUGAACUUGCUUUAAUGAAUGAAGUAAAGGAUGUUUACCUUAAAUGUCAAAAGUUAUAUUUUGGGAGAAAUGAGAUGUAAAAAAGAAAUAAUGCAAGAAUGUGACAGAACUUGAUUAUAGUUGGAUACAUGUAUGUGAUUUAAAUUUAGUCAUAUUACUUGUAUACUGAAUGGUUAAUUCUUUCACCUUGGCUAUUGCUUGCCCUUGUGCAAGCCAUUGUGUAUGCUUCCGCUUAUGCAAAUUUGUACUCUAUUAAUACUAGUGUUGAGCCUUGGGCGGACAGGGGAAGCUCUGUCCGUUCGGCGUCUGUUUGACGCUCUCGAACCGGCCAAAAAGGAUCGGGCUCGGGGCGUGACAUGGUGUACAUCUAUUUCAUCAUGAAUCCAAUCUGCUAUUAUAUAACAAGUACGCUCUAUCAUGGCUACCAAGUAUACUAUGAUGCAAUAAGUAAUAUUAUCAAGUAUACUACAUGUCCCAAAGUCCAAUAAUCCAACUACUCUAUGCUACCAAGAAGUGAUUGUCAUAAUAUUGUUUGAUGUUCUUGUUCAAUCUCAUUUAGGAUCUACACAUGUGUAGUCCAGCUCGUGCCGCCUAGCUGCCUGUGGUAGCUCAUCAUCCCACGCUGGAAAUGAGGCUGUCCCACACGACCCUACAAACGUCUCAAGUCCUAAGUCGUUAUGUCUAAAACAUGGAAUAUAGCACAUCAUGUCUAAAACAUGGAAUAUAACUCGUCAUGUCUAAAACAUGGAAUAUAGCUUGUCAUAUCUAAAACAUGGAAUAUAGCUUAUUAUGUCUAAAACAUGGAAUAUAGCUCGUCAUGUCAACUCUACUAUGCCACAAGUAUACAUGAUGUCAAUAUGGUGUACAUCUAUUCUAUCAUGAAUCCAAUCUGCCAAUAUAUAACAAGUAUGCUCUAUCAUGACUACCAAGUAUACUAUGAUGCAAUAAGUAAUACUAUCAAGUAUACUACAUGUCCCAAAGUCCAAUAAUCCAACUACUCUAUGCUACCAAGUAGUGAUUGUCAUAAUAUUGUUUGAUGUCCUUGUUCAAUCUCAUUUAGGAUCUACACAUGGAAUAUAGCUCAUCAUGUCUAAAACAUGGAAUAUAGUCGAUGUCCCAAUGGCCUAUCACUAUGUCACUAUGUUGCAGUUUCACAAUUUACUAAUUAAGUCGGGUGCCCAUUCAUAGCACCUUUGUUCAAAUUUCGUUCCGUCACUAAUGCUGCGUUAUGACAUUAGGCUUACUAAGUCUACACAUAUUCCGAGUUCAAUGCCGCUUUAUGAUAUUAGCUUACUAUAUCAUUCAUCACUCAAGCCUAAUACCAAUUUAUGACAUUAAAUGAUCAUCUAUGCCAAGCAUUAGUACUAAGUCCAAGAAUACAUUGCACAUAUCAUUUUCACUAUGUGAAACAUGAUCUAAAUUCACACAUAAGAGGGCUAUUCGUAGGCCCAAGUCCAAAUGUGCAAACUUUCUACUACAUAGAGGUCCAAAAUGCAUUAUAAAUAACAUGUGUAUUUUAAGUAUUCUAAAAUUCUCACAUAUUCUAUCUAGGAUGAAUAUGCAUGCAUUUUCAUUUUACGAUAAGUAAAUCCCAUUAUAGGGAUAAUUUAUCUCAUUUUGGUGAGACCAAACCCACCAAGUCUCCUCGCAACCCUUCGUUUGUGCCGACGAAGGUGCCCACAAGCCUUCUAGCUCCCUAAAGGUUAAACUAGGAGUGUUACACGAACGUUACGAACAACCACUUGAUCAAACAUUAUCCAACUCAACAAAAGGACAAAAACUCACCUAGAAUGGUGAAAAGCCCUCUCAAUGGCAGCAAGAACCCUUACAAUCCAAUCUAGAGGAAUGUUCUAAACUAACCAAUUGAGCUCCAAAAGUCCUAGAUCAAAAAUUCCCAAUUCACACCCUAAUUUCACAAAUCUAGGAUUUCUAAACCAAAAUCAUACAAAACAUGAUCUAGAGAGGGGGAGUAAGCAACCAACCUCUUAAGAAGCUCCCAAAGACCCAAGAAACCGGCUAGGGUUGAUGUUCUCUCCUCCCACAAGCUCCAACCACGAGCUCAAAGCUUCUCCGAUGGUGGAAGUUGCACCAAGAAGCAAAAGAGAGCAAAAUGAAGUGAUUAAACUUCAAAAAUCCCACUAAAAAUCAAAGAAACCAAAGAGAAGGUGUAGAGGGCUCCUUACCUCUCUCUCCUCUGUUUCCAAGCUCAGAGAACACCAAGGGGGGCGUGGGGUUAUUUGUAGUAUAGCUACAAUUCCAAAAACACCCCUCAAAAACUGCCAUUUCGAAAUCUGGCAAUGUUUACAGGUACAUGGGAAAGUGUACCGGUACAAAAUCCUGUGCGCGCAAACCCGAGGCUCGGGUUGGCUGAAAAAUCGCAUUUGUACCGGUACAGCCAUCAAGGUGUACCGUACAAAAUCUGUUCUGGUACAACCAUCAAGACUAUACCGGUACACAGCUCAGCUGAAGCAAACCCGAGAGCAGACCAAAAAUCUGUCUUUUCGAGUUUUGGUGCAAAGUUUUAAACCUCCAUUCUCAGAAUGCGAGCCAUAAGUCGGAACACUGUCUACGACCCUCCAGAAAAUAUGGAAAAGUUCGAAACACAACUCAAACACUCGAACCUUGCAAUUUGUAAAAGUCCAGUGUGUUACACCACAAUCGUCGUCAAAUAGGCCACACAUCCACCUUUAAUCAUCUUUCUCGCCCUCGACACCGAUAUAGUCGCCGCGAAGCGUGAGCUUCUACAUGCUCGAUACACUAACUCCUCCUGGUUAGGUUCACGAAAAGUGAUCACCUUGCUCUCACAGUCAAUGAUAGCAUAAUACUUUGAGAGCCAAUCAACUCCAAGGAUAACAUCAUGGCCGGACAUCCGGUUCAAGACUAUAAAAUCUGCCGGCAUAAUCCAUUCACCUAUUUGGACUGGACAAGCCGCGCACUCCUCGUGGACACUAAAAGAAUGCUCUGGUGCAUUAACCCACCAAUAAUCCGGGCUUUACAACACCUCAAUGCCAUGAGUUUUAGCAAACGACGCACCAAUAAACGAAUGAGAUGCACCCGUAUCAAAUAACGCUCUUGCUCUAGUACCAUUGAUUAAAACAAUAUCUGCCAUUACAUUAUCUGGCACGACAGGCUCCUCCACCUGAGCGGCGAAAACCUAUCCUCUAGGUGCUGCUCAAGAUCCCUCCGGCUGACGCGGUACUGAUGAGCGUCCAGCCGACAUAGCAGGUGGCUGUCGGAUCGUUGACGCUAACAUUAAUCCCAAAAGCUCGAGCUAUUAGAAAUACGCAACCAAUUCACUUAAAGCGUACAGAUACAGCGCCCACGGGUCUCGAUUGUGACUCGGCCCACCUGGCCUCACGCCACUUCGAACAUGACUCGGCCCAACCCAGCCUUACGCCAUUUCGAAUAUGACUCGACCCACAUGGCCUCCCGCCACAGGGCAGGAUGCUGGCCCAUUUAAGCCAACAAUCUUCUCUCCAGCAUCUGCACAUAUUUUGCUGCAUGCAGGAAUCGAACCCGUAACCUCUGGCUCUGAUACCACUUGUCGGAUCGUUGGUGCUAACCAUUAAUCCCAAAAGCUCGAGCUGUUAGAAAUACGCAACUAAUUCAUUUAAAGCGUAUAGAUACAGCGCCGGCGGGUCUCGAUUGUGACUCGGUCCAUCUGGCCUUACGCCACUUCGAACACGGCCCAUAUGGCCUCCCGCCACAGGGCAUAAUGCUGGCCCAUUUAAGCCAACACUUAGCUUGCACACAUAUUUCACAUCUAUGAUCAGAUAAAUUAGAUUUAGGAAUCAAAUCAAGAUGCAUCAAUCUUUUAAUAGUAUUAUAAUUUACAUGCCCCAAUCUUCCAUGCCAAAUAUUAGUAGAAUCAACAUUCAAAAUAAGGGCACUUUCAUUAAUAGUGGGAGAAGAUACAGAUAGUUUAAACAAACCGUCACUCAAGAAUCCCUUCCCUACAAAAUUCACACCCUUUGUAAAAACUACUCUGUUACAUUCAAAAACUAACUUAAAACCCUGCCGAACUAAAAGAGAAUCGCUAAUCAGAUUCUUUCUAAUAUCAGGAACAUGGUGGACUCUGUGCAAGGUUAGUGUCUUCCCAGAGGUUAGUUUCAAAUCUACUCGACCGGUUGUAAUACACUGGAUCUUAGCAAAUUGCAAGAUUCGAGUGUUUGAUCUGUGUUUGGAGCUUUUCCACAGUUUUUGGAGGGUUGUUGAUAGUGUUCCGACCUCCGGCACGCAUCCCGAGGAUGUUGGAGUCAGACUUGGCACCAAAAUUCCAAAAUCGGAAUUUUUGGACAGCUCUCGGGUAGCCUGCAGCGGGCUUGUACCGGAACAAGACUGGCCUUGUACCGGUACAAGGGUUGAUGGUUGUACCGGUACAGCCAUCGGGCUUGUACCGGUACAGAGCCGCAGACCGAGCAACCCGAGCCUCGGGUUUGCAUUUUCGUCGGCCUUGUACCGGUACAAGAACCCGUGUACCGGUACAAGGAGGCAGAUUUCGUGCAGUUUGGACUGCAAGGGGUUUUUCGCGAUUGUAGCCUAUCUAUUAGUAACCCCACGCCCCUUAGGGCAUCUCCUGAGCUUCAAACCAGCAGGGAGAAGAGGUAAGGAAGCCCUCCACACCCUCCCUCGUGAUUUCUUUGAUUUUGGUUGGUUUUAAUUGGGAUUUAAGCCUCUCUUUUUCCUCUUUUUGCUUCUUGGUGUUCUCCCUCCAUGGAAGGAGCUUGAAGCUUGGUUUUGGAGCUUGUUUGAGGGGAGAUUCUCAGAUUUUGGGGACUUGGAUACUUGUUGGAGGCUUCCUAAGAGGUUAGAAGCUUAAUCUUUUCCUUUGAUCCUUAAAUUAUUGGAUUUUUUUGUGAUGAAACCCUAGAAUGAGGUUUUAGGGUUAAUAUUGGGCAUUUUGAAUCUAGGGCUUUUGAAGCUAGAUUGAUUGGAUUAGAGGCUUCCAUUAGGUUGGAUUGGAUGAGCCCUAGCUUCAUUUUGGAGCUUUAGAGAAGAUUUUUGCACUAGAGGUGAGUUCUUCUCACCUAUACUUGUCUAGCUUAAUGAUUGAGCUAUCGAUGGUUCGUUUCGUUCGUGUGACGCUUGUUCUUGUACCUCUAGGGUACUAGGAGACUAGAGGACACCCUCGUUGGAGCGCACGAGGAGUUUCGUUGCCAUCGGUGGGUUUGGCUUCCUUGAAAUUGGAGGAAAUUCCUCCUAAGUGGUUAAAUGCUUUCAUGCUCCUUAAAUUCAUGCAUAUUCAUGUUUAGUAGCAUUUAUGAGAGUUUUUGAAUGCUUAGAACUCAUAUGUUGUGCAUCAAGAAAAUUUACUCUAUGUAGUAGAGAGAGAAAGACAAUGUGCUUUGUUAAUAUGCAUGCGACGAAUAUUCCAUGAGAUGAUAGGAAAUCAAGAUUCAUGCUUCGAUUUUGACUAGAACUAUAAGUUCUUGAACUUAGCAUCCAUGUUGGGACAAAAUGAGCCAUAGUGUCAUAAAGAGGCACUUGGACUAGAGAAUUAUUAAACUGCAACAUAGAGACUUGAUAAUAGGCCACAUUGACAUCAACUAUAUUCCAUAUUUGAGAUAUGAUGAAAUAGUGACUUGGCCACGAGGACAUUUACUUUAUACCAUGUUAUUAGACAUGAGGACUUGGUACUUGCGACUGAUCGUUUGACUACUUGCCAUUGUGCUCAUUCGCACAUGCUUGUGAGGGUCGCUCCCUACAAGCCGGCACUCCGGAGAUGGCCAUCGCGAUACAUAUUCGCCGUGCGGGAUUGGGCGCCGAAGUGGAUUGCCGUGGGCCAGGCUCAUUCCUAGGGUGGGGAUGAUGACUACCACGGGGCCAUUAGGCUCGGCACCGGCCAGACAGCCUAUUGGUGGGUCUCAGGGCUAUAGACAGCCUUCGGGUGGGUCUCUUCAGAUUGGACUUCAUACAUCCGUUAUGACAUGUGGAUAGAUGAUGACUUAGAGUAUUAUUUGGACAUUGACUAGAAUAGUAAAUAACGGAACUUUACUAUUUCGCAUGGUGAACAUUAUGAUAGUUGGGGACUUUACUUCAUGCAUAGUUGCUUUCAUACUUUUACUAUUCAUGCUAAGUAGAGAUAUCAUGUCAUAGUAGGUUACAUUUCUACUUACCUGCCACCUUUCUACUUUUAUAGUCACUGACAUCUUCUGUAGCUUUGGGCCUUGUGGUGCAUUCACUGAAGUCAGUAAUUGCCCACUGGGAACUAUUUUUAAUAGUUCUCAUGCCCCCGUUUUGUGGUUUACUUUUCAGAGCCUUCGGCACCGGCGGAGGCACGGGAUCGCGGCAAGGGGAUCGCUUAGCUAGCUAGCGAGGAGCGGUACUUUGCCUAGGUGGUUUACUCUUUCUUUUGUAGUGGAGAGAGAGUGAGAGAUUUUGUAUCCAUGUAUAGAGACCACCUAUGUACUUACUUUAUGUUUUAGUUAGUGGAUUUACAGCUUUAACUUUAUCCCUUGUUGUAGCAAUUAGACAUUUACUAUGCUCUGAUACUCCUAGAUGUCUCGUAUUAUUGCUUUUAUUAUUGUUGCUUUUAGACGCCUUAUAUGUUGUAGACAUAUGGCGGGUCUGGGCACGCGCCGGGCGGGCUUCCGCUGGGUCCCGGGGCGUGACACCGGUCCCAAGCACACGAGAAGAGGCUGCAUUCCCCAUGUUCACCGAUCCUUCACAUGAGUCCUGAUAGGUGGAAAACCAAGAGCGGUCAGAGCAAGCAUGAAUGUUUGCUCCAGCAUCUAUCCACCAAUCAGAAGAACUAUAGGCAAGGUUAACUUCAGCUAAACUAGAUCCUAACCUGAUAGUGGAGUCUGAAGUGUCAGGCCCAGCAGUCAACAUAUUCAUUUGGCGCUCAGGUGGACCGCCCAACCCGUCCCGGCUCAGCUCAUACUCGUGCCGUGCGUGUGUUUAGCCGGGAGCUUCACUCUCAUAUUCUCCAAAGUAAUUAAGUUGAGAGCGAGAGAGUAUAUAAAGUGAAGUAGAGUGUCUUUACUUUCCAAUGUGGGACUAAACUCCACAUAUGGAAAGAAAGGCACGAGCUCUCAGGCAAGACACAUAGAGAGUUGGGCUGCCCAAGAAGCCCAUGGGCUAAAAUCAAGUUUUAAAUCACUGUUUUAAACAAUUAAAACUAACAUUAUCAUCCUUGCACUUUUUGUCCUUUUUCCCCUCAUUUUGUGUAACCGAUUGCCGAAGAAAUUUGUUAGAAUGAGAUCGAAGGAAUUAGAAUCUCACACAAAUAGGAUUUGAACAAACGAAUACGUACAUAUCAUGUCUAGCAAUUAAGUCUCCUCAAACCACAUCCUACAAAGCCUCAUAAUAAACUUUUCUCAUUCCGCUGAUCCCACUUCCACUCAGGCAUGUUUAGGAUGAUUUGAUUCACUAUGGAUUAUUCUCUUUUCUCCAAUUUUGGAAAGCCCACUUCUGUCGUAGUGGCGGCGAGCAGUUGAGGCCACAGAUGUUGUUCUUGUUCGGAUUGCCGGCUAGAGUUGCAGGUGCAAAUCCACCAUGCCCGCCCAAAUCCCUUCCCCUCACUUUCACAAAAACAAACAAAAACAGUUAGUAAUUAACAGAUCAUUAUUAAGAAAAGCAAAAAUUAAUGCAUGCCAUAGUAAAGAACACAUGUCUAUACCUGCUUCUGCCUCCCGCACUUGUGUAGCACAUAUAGUGAUCACGAGAAUGAUCACCAACACUAUCCGAGAGGGAAAGAGCGGCGAAGAAGAAGAGGAGAUGCGUGUAUCCUUUCGAUUCUCCAUUAGAUUAGCUCUUUUGAUGCACGAGUUGGAUCGACAAUGGCACUUUAUAUAUACAUGCAUGAAAAUAAUGGAACCAAGUACUUGACAUGAACAUAAAAAAAGCAUUGUGAUCACCUAACACAGUGGCUUGAUGGCCAAGCUUCUGACUGCGAUUUUUCUCUCUCGCACUAAUUUAAUUAUAUUAGUUUGAUGUUUGAAGCUUCCCGGUAGAAGUUGGACCUCUUUCGAGCAGUUAAAAACAAUUUAUUAAUACUAUCCCUAAUAAAGAUGUGAACUAUCUCGUUGUAUAUGAAAUAAUUAAAGUAGAGGCAAUUGCCUAUAUACCCCUGUAAAGUUUUCGGUUUUCUUAUUUACCCCUCUUAGAAGGCUAAUAUUGAAAAUACCCUUCUUAUGUUCCAAGUCUUUCUAAUAUACCCCCGGAGUUAAGUUCCGUCAGUUAGUUGCUGUUAUCUCUGAAAAAUUACCAUUUUGCCCAUUCCAAUAUACCCUCGUACCGUAACUCACUUAUCUUAUAUACCCUUCAUAUAGCAAAUAUUUUUUUUAUUUGCCUUUCAAAUAUCAAUUAAUUAAUUAAGCACGUUGGGAGCAAGCAGAUGAACGGAUGAGAUCGAUCGCAGCUAAACAAAUCUUAGUGGCUGAAGGCAUAGUUAGUUAAUUCGGAUUCGGCAAAAAUUCGGUACAGAUAUAAUUCGGAUAAAAUUCGUCUUUUAAUUUUUAAAUUCGUUGAAAAACACACCUAUAAAAUAGAUUGGACAAUUAUUCGGAUACGUAAUAUAUACGGGUAUUAUACGUUCACCAAUUAAAAAUUCCGAAUCAAAAAUUCGGCUAUAUAAUAAAUAUAUAAUAAUUAAUAUACUAUAUAUAUUAUUAUUAUAAUUUUUAUAUAUAGAUUAAAGGGUCCGGCUACUAUACUAUUAUGAGUACGAUCGCCCUCGUACUCAUAAGUUGUUUUCGAUGAUAGAGCUUCCGAAUCGACGAUCCACACCGUUAAACGUUAUUUACAGCAUUUAAAACUUCUAGAAAUUAAAUUUUGUAAUUUUUCGACAACAUUUACCUUACGAUCAAGAGGUCACAAAUUUGAUAAUUUUUAACGGCCGGUAUGAGAUACUUGCUAGUUUAACGGUGUAAAAUAAUCCGAAUUUGUUGAAUUUUUAAUAGAAAAUUCUAUUCACUACAUAGAUAAAGAUCAAUAACUCCGAUCUUGAACUGAAGGAUCCGAUCAUCCUUUUUUAGGACAUCGUUCGAUUUUGACCGUUCAUUUUAUAUAUGCCCACUUGAUGGAUUUUAUUAUGAUUUCGAAAAUUUACGAAAUUUAUUUUCUAGAAGUUUCAAAUACUCUAGAUCAUAUUUAACGGAGUGGAUCGUCGAUUUAGAAGCUCCAUCAUUGAAAACAACUUAUGAGUACGAGGGCUAUCAGUACUCAUAAUAGUAUAGUAGCCGCGGCCUCUAUUAAUCUAUAUUUAAAAAUUAUAAUAAUCAUAUAUUUUAAGUAUAUUAAUUGUUAUAUAUUUAUUAUAUAUUCGAAUUUUUGAUUACGGAAUUAUAAAUUAAAUAUGGUGAACGUAUAAUACCCGUAUAUAUUACGUAUCCGAAUAAUUGUCCAAUCUAUUUUAUAGGUGUGUUUUUCAACGAAUUUAAAAAUUAAAAGACGAAUUUUAUCCGAAUUAUAUCUGUACCGAAUUUUUGCCGAAUCCGAAUUAACUAACUAUGCCUUCAGCCACUAAGAUUUGUUUAGCUGCGAUCGAUCUCAUCCGUUCAUCUGCUUGCUCCCAACGUGCUUAAUUAAUUAAUUGAUAUUUGAAAGGCAAAUAAAAAAAAUAUUUGCUAUAUGAAGGGUAUAUAAGAUAAGUGAGUUACGGUACGAGGGUAUAUUGGAAUGGGCAAAAUGGUAAUUUUUCAGAGAUAACAGCAACUAACUGACGGAACUUAACUCCGGGGGUAUAUUAGAAAGACUUGGAACAUAAGAAGGGUAUUUUCAAUAUUAGCCUUCUAAGAGGGGUAAAUAAGAAAACCGAAAACUUUACAGGGGUAUAUAGGCAAUUGCCUCUACUUUAAUUAUUUCAUAUACAACGAGAUAGUUCACAUCUUUAUUAGGGAUAGUAUUAAUAAAUUGUUUUUAACUGCUCGAAAGAGGUCCAACUUCUACCGGGAAGCUUCAAACAUCAAACUAAUAUAAUUAAAUUAGUGCGAGAGAGAAAAAUCGCAGUCAGAAGCUUGGCCAUCAAGCCACUGUGUUAGGUGAUCACAAUGCUUUUUUUAUGUUCAUGUCAAGUACUUGGUUCCAUUAUUUUCAUGCAUGUAUAUAUAAAGUGCCAUUGUCGAUCCAACUCGUGCAUCAAAAGAGCUAAUCUAAUGGAGAAUCGAAAGGAUACACGCAUCUCCUCUUCUUCUUCGCCGCUCUNUAUAUAUAUAUAUAUAUAUAUAUAUAUAUAUAUAUAUAUAUAUAUAUAUAUAUAUAUAUAUAUAUAAUGAGAGGGAGGUCCACUCAUCCGGUCCACGAUGCUAUACUGGCCUCGUGGACCGCGCACACCGAGUGCUCCCCGAUGAGCUCCGCCCUCUCUUCGUCUCCACCGGCUCCGCCGUCCCAUCCCCCCGCUCCUCCGACAUGCCCCAGCUUAACUUCAUGCCCCCCGCCUCCCUCUCCUCCUCCUCCUUGGUCCUGUCUGCCGGCAUGCUCUUGCUUCCGGCGCCGGCCAAGGCGGUGGAGGAGACGACGACGACGACGAGAGCGGCGACUCGCGGGCCGUAUUUUUUGUGCGAAUGAGGCGAGGCUUCUUGGGGGCGAAGGUGGAGGCGGAGAAGCCGGUGCCGAGGUUGGCGGUGGCAGUGAGCCGCUGGCGCUCGCUGCGGCGGGCGGCGGGCGGCGAGCGGCGGGUUUGAUCGAGAGUAAUGAUGUUAAGUGGGGAGAGAAAGAAAGGAUAAUUUAGGAAAUAGUUUAAUAAGAUAGGGGUAAAAUAGGUAUUUUAAUUAGGUUUUAACUAUGGUAUACAUUUAAUCCAUGUUUAACCCGAGUUAGUUUAAUAGGGGAUAACUGCGGUGGUAUUUUGGAAUAACGGUGAACAUAUGAGUGCAUAUUUUAGAAAGAAAAAAAAAGUAGGAAUAAAUCGGAUAUAUUCAAACGCAUGAAGGGUAUAUUGGCAAUUAUCCCAAUAAAGUAAAUUAAUCUAACAAAUCAAAGAGAAGUUUCAUGGAAAAAAAAGCUAAAGUUGACUGCUUGUAUAUAGAUAUGAUAUAUUAGUAGAUGGUUGGUAGGAUGAAGUUUCUUUGACCGAUUGGGAGUGGAAAGUACUACUGAAGUAUAUCUGUUAAGAAAGAUUAUCAAAUACCUUCGUAAUAGAAAAAUAUAUUUUAUGAGUUCUAACCCACAUAGAAGAGGUAAUUAACCAGCGGGAAUGGCUCCCAAGGAAUUGGCCCAAGCUGUAGUGUAUAUGGAAUAUCAGGACAUGUUUAGUUAAUAAUUAGAUUGGAAACAAAAAUAAAAUUGAACUAUACUAGAAUGAAAAAUGAAUGAGAAAUCAUGGCAAAAAAUAUUUGGUUUAUCAGGCCUGAGCCUAUUGGAUUUUAUUGAAUUUUUAUGAUUUAAAACUUGUUAAGGCCUCUUGGGAGCCCAAUAAUUAUUAAUGGCUUUGCUUGAGAGCCCAACUAAAAUUUUCAUGUGUGACUUUAGUCCUACAUUGGAAACUAAAAGGAUGUUGAUGGUAUUUAUAUAUUUCUUUAUUCUCAAGCCAGUUGCUUUAGGAGAAAAUGAAAGUUAUGCUCUCAUUUAAACGCACGACACGAGCACGAGCUGGGCAGGUGGCGGCGUGCGCAGUCCAUACACUCGAUUUAUUUUAUUUUUUAUUUUUAUUUUUUCGUUAUCUUUAUCCUAAUCUGUAUCCGUAUAAUAUUAGACUUAUCUUGUUCUAUAUGGAUUUGACGCAAUGAAGCAAGAUUUUCGCCUUGGAUAUAUAUAUAUAUAUAUAUAUAUAUAUAUAUAUAUAUAUAUAUUGGAGGAGGUUGCGUGAGUUCGUGAAGAACCCGAGCAUAUCUAAACCCUAUCUUGUCUUACCCUACUUUCUCACAAUUAAUCUUUUCCUCUGUUUUUCACCGAAUUCUCUUUGCUGGAUAUGAAAGUUGUUGGGUUCAUCUUGUACCACCUUGAAAGCGUGCCGACGGGGUGAAACAUGGUCGUUGUAUCGCUGGAAGUAGUUGCCGGAAAGCCUCGCACGUGGAGGGGCAAUUUCACUUCUAGGACAGUGCUCCGCACGCCUCGAUCCACAAGCCUUAUCUAAAUCUUUUCUUUACAGUAUUUGUUACUUAACUCGAAAUAUUUCUAAAUCUGAAAUUAAACUUUCGAAUUGUUUUUAAAGAAUAUUGUAAUAAAAGAUCAGAAAGAUUUUCCAACAGAGCAUUUAUGAUAAUACCAAUUAAUAGCUGCUCUUAAGCAUGAAGCUCGGUAUAGCUGUCGAUUCUACUACUAUUAUAUAAAUAAGCGAAAACACAUCCUUUCGGCCUGUAUAAGUGCGUCUCUAAUCGGCAAGAAAAAAAAGUAGCCUUUUGUAUUGAAAUGUGAAUCAGAAUGAAUAAUUGACAUACAUGAGAUUUUGUGAGGGUUUUGGUUAAGGAAGAGAAGAGUAAUGAAGGGAGAGGAGGCGAGAGGUGUUUUCUAAGAGUGGCUUUGACGUGACUGAGUUACUCUGGGAAUAGAUCAAUCAGAUUACAAAGCCGGAUUUGACUAUAAAUAGAUUCGAUUAUUUUCAUUCUGGAGUGAAAUGAGAAUCCGAAUCUGAUUCUUAUAAAACAAACAAAAACUAUUAGAUUAAGUAAUACUAUUCUGAUUUUUGAGUCUAAAAUAAGUGAACCAAACAAUCCCACAAUAUAUUCUUUUGAAGGUCACCAGGUCGUACCCAAUGUGGCUUUAUGGUAUUAAAAUAAUAAGGGUAAUUUUCAUACAUACGCUUGCUCCAACCUUAAUAGAUACUCCUUUACGUGUGAAAAUAAAAAAUAGGGAUAAUUGCCUAUAUACUCCUGAAAACUGUUGAAAUAUCUUAUUUACCCUUACUUUUUUUGUUUCAAAUAUAUCUCUCAUAUAUUUCUCUAUUAUUCAAAAAUAUCCCUGUUGUUAGUGUUCGUUAGUCAUCUCAGGGUUAAACCUUAAUUAGUUAAAUUUCUACCAUAGUUAAAAAAAAAUGAAAAUACCUAUUGUGCCCCUAACUUAAGAGCAAAUAAGAAAAAUUUGUGACAGCAAAAAGUCAAAAUACUUCUUUUACCCCAAACUUAAGGGCAAAUAAAAAAAGUUGGUGACGGUAAAAGGGUAUAUUUGAAAGAUCAAAAUGGUAAUUUUAUAGAGAUAAUGAUUGUUCUUAACAAUUCACUAACAGAAUUUAACUGUAGAGAUAUAUUUGAAAGAUUUUGAAAUUUUAAAAGAGUAUUUUUUUAAUAUUAACGUUCCAAGAAGGGUAAAUAAGAAAGUUGAAAACUUUUCAGGAGUAUAUAACCAAUUGCCUCUAAAAAAUGCUUCGUUGUCACCUAUUUGUUUUCGAUGAUGGAGCCUCUAAAUUGACGAUCGACACUAUUGAACAUGAUCUAUACCACUUGAAAUAUCUAGAAACCAAAUUUCAAAUCUUUCCAACAUUAUUGGCCUAAUGAUCAAAGGGUUUCAAAAUAUGUAAUUUUGAAGGAUAUCCGUAAUAUUUUAUAACUUUUGAGGGGCACGUUUAAAUUGCCCUAUAUAACAAAGUAUAGAAUCUGUGCACUAUUGGCUAGCUAAUGAUGUAGAAACCGAGAUUUUAAUUAUAAAUUUCAAAAAUGUUGGGUAUUUCUAUACAAUUGGAUUAUUUUUAGUACAACAAAAAUUGCUAUUUCGUCUGACAGUGCUACAAGUCAUGAAAGAAAUUUUCAUGCAAUUUCUUGAGAUAAAGUGAUAUUUGGAGAUAAAAACGGUUGAGAGAUAAAAUUGAUAAAAUAGGUUUCUAUGGAAAAGAGCGAUAUUUUGUGUGCCGAAUUGCAUGAAAUUUUGAUGGGAGUUACUACUAUGCAAAAUACACAUGUUGAUGAGUUUUAAGUAUAAUUGUAAAUAGGAGGGGCUCAAAUGCAAUUUUUAUAAAAUUAAAAAACAGAGUAAUCUACGAAAAAUUUAUCAUUUCAUGUGUGAAAAAUAAAAAAUUUUCGCAACGGAGGACUCAUAUUCGCAGAGGACUGAGAAAGGACUGAAGAGUUUAAAGAGAGAGUAUAGGGACUAACGUGCAAUUGUUACAACUAAAGUUGAAAAUAAAAAGAGAAUAUUAAAACCCCUAAUUUCUUUCUCCCUCUCUCUUCCUCUCCAUUCACCCCCACGGUUGCCACCCCAUCUCCUUCUGCCUCCAAUUGCCCUCCCCGGUCGACAAGGAGACCAAUUCGAACUUUCUCUCUCUUUCUAUCCCUACCUCUCUUUAGAUCUCUAACACUCUCUCGAUUUUCUCCCUCUAUAGGGUUGACCGCAAUCCCCAGCUCCGCCGCUAGCCCCUACCAUUAUGGCGAGUUCCCCCUCAGCGGCAGCGACAACCCUCGGCCCCUCUUGAAGCUCCCCUUGAACUACCCAACUCUCUACAGUAGAUCUACCCUACUUCUACCUGAACUACCAAAUUCGGUGAUCUUGGCUGCUGCUGACCCAUGGGCUAUGGAGAACAGCUACCCUCGGCCUCACUUCAACCUACUCUAGCCAGCCUUGACUACCCUGGAUUCGCUGGAGCUGUCCAAACUGUCACCACUUCCUACUGCCUUGCCAAGAAAACUGUAAUAUCCGAGACGUUGGAAUUGAAUUUGAUUAAAGAAAUUCAAUUUGAAAUUUGAAUUAGAUAUAUAUAUAUAUAUAUAUAUAUAUAUAUAUAUAUAUAUAUAUAUAUAUAUAUAUAUAUAUAUAUAUAUGUGGAGGUAGAGAGAGGAUGGAAUCCGCACGAAUUGACGACCGAUUCAGAUGAAACAAAAUCAUAGAUCUGAUUGUCCGGCAUUGCCAAAGGUGAUGGUGCAGUUCCUUUGCAAAUUUGAUGAGCCAAUCGUCCGAAAUUGCACGUUGUUUGAGAAAAGGCGAAAAUUGGGAAAUCAAUAUUUUUGGAAAAUACCCAAUAUUUUAAUUACUGUUUCGCGUGAAAUUGAACGUGGAGAUACUAUCCCGCUAUUUGCACGGGCUAUGAAGGAUUUGGUCAGAAAAUCUAAGGAUUGAGGGACUUCCCUGCAAUUUUUUCCCAACUUAUACAUUCGAUGAAUUAGGGUUUUCCCCUCUCAUUCUGAAACCCUAGCCUUUCUGUCCCUCACUUGAGCCCUACCCGCGUCCUGCUCACCCUCCUCUUGCACCACACCCUUUUCUGACAGUCGGCGACCGCUGUCCGACCAUCCUAACCCUGGCCAGAUCCCUUUUCUCUUUUCCUGAAUGCCUUUCUCUACACAUCUUCCCCAUUUUUUAACCCAAGGAACCAAAGGAGGCUGCACCCCUCAGAUCCAUCCUCUCGCCUUCCCUAGGGUUCCAGUGACCCUGCUUCGGUGACUACCACAGCCGCCGGCACCACCAUAGCCUUGAGUUGAACCCAAGCCGAAGCCCAGCUUGGGUUGGCCACAAGUUCUCCAGUGCUGUGCUGCUGUGACCCCCAAUAGUCCCACAUUGGAUGUGAAUGAGAUUAUUAUUAGGUAUAUAUGAGACUAUGGACACUAGUAAUAAUAACUGGGCUUAAGCAUUUUGGAGCGGUGGUUUAGGCCCAACGAGUUAUUAUUGCUAAUGGGUCGGGUCAUUACAUUCGGUAUAAGAGCCAAUCACCAGCCAAAAGUGUGAGAUAAGUCUCGGCUGAGCUAGGGUCCGAAUGACCAGGUAAUAGGCUAAGCUAGGGUCAAGAUGACAAGGCUAGCGAGACAAGUCUCACAUCACUUGGUGAUCUUGGACUGUGUGUGUGAUAGGACUGACGAGGACGUCAGGGCCUAAAUGGGGAAAGUAUGUGACACCACAAUAGUCCCACAUCGGAUGUGAAUGGGAUUGUUAUUGGGUAUAUAUGAGACUAUAGACACUAGUAACAAUAAUUGGGCUUAAGCAAUUUGGGCCGAUGGUUUGGGCUCAACAAAUUAUUGUUGCUAGUGGGCCGGAUCAUUACAGCUACUGCCGCCGCCUCUCACCGUCGGCUAGGGCGAGCACCGGGUUCCCCUCGACGCCUGCACCCAAUCCCUGCCGGUGCUCGCGCCACCAUGACUCCGACAAUCGGCCCAAGCCAUCUUGCUCCCAACUAAGCCCACUCUAGAGAAGAUUUGGACUGGUAAUCCUAUUUCGGCCUUCUUAGAGGCUGUUGACUCUCCGGAAGGUGAACACAAUGACCUUGAGGUGCCGUUGAUCAUCGUGCUUACCCUAGUUGCGACCAGAGAGGCUCUAUUCGACGGAAUCACCAGUGUUGCUCCCGGUGCACAUCCAACGCAGAGUUCAAGUAGCCCCGAUGCACUCUUAGGCCAUUAUUCAUGCUCCAAAUAGCGAGCACAGGCUUCGGUACAUCGAGACCUAGCAACUAGUGCCCUCAGUUGAUCUCGGAGUCGCACGGUUUCGAUAACAACCCUAGAACACCAUUUUACAUUAUUAUAACGUGAAUAUUGGAUAGGCAAGGGGCAUUUGGGCAAUUUUGAUAGCAAAGGCUGCUUCGGUCAAUGUGAGGCUACUGAAAGUGAUUCCCGUGGAUUGUUUGUCCAAACCCCGAAGCCCUUCGCGAAUUCGAAAGUUGGUUUCGACGUGCUUUCCAACAAAAUCGCCGGCAGAACAUAGUUAUUGAUGUGGGGUUCACUUUCUAUUGAUGUGAAUGCCUCAGGUUUGUUGCCAAGACUUGUCGACUCGUUACCCGCAUUAUCUCAAGUAUCUGGCGACAACGGAUGAGCGGCAGAUUGUUCCGAUGCCGAAAACAGCAAUUUUGAAGACUUGGAACAACUUUUUUACAUGUUAUUGUAAUUAUACGUUGCUUUGGCAUAUGUUUGCUAUCCAAACACCUAAAUUGGUGUACAUAUCUUAGAACAACGGGUGACUUGCGGUGUACAUUGGUACCUUCCGGGGUUCUACGAUAGGUUCAAAAGUGUUCUGAUAGACUUUCUAAAAAUUUCGGUGGUUCUAGGGUUGUGUGUUUGGUGUUUUGAGUUGACUAGGUAGACCUUGACUUGGUGGGUCUUUUAUAGGUCCAGUCGACAUUCCAACACGCCUAGGGUGUUAGGCACUGUGAUAAGUUUCAGGCAGGUGCUUCGAUCCGAAGUCGGUAUGGUGGUGCUAGCUCGGUGACGUUUUUCCCUUACCCAUUUUUGUUGUUUUCACAUAUUACUUGAUGAUCACUACAUCAUUGGACUUUCAGUUAUAUUUACUCUAUUUCUGCUCUUUCAUGAUUUAGUAGUAGGGUGGUAUUUGAUAGUACUUGUUUGAUCUCUAUCUGUGGGACCUGAUUGGUCGGUGUCUGUGAGUUUGGUGACAUAGGUGAAAUCGUUUGGAUAGGUGUUUGUUGUUGACUUAUUCUCGGCUAUUUGCUGUCUCGUUGACUAUUAAACAUAGUACAUCGAUCAUCACAGCACAUAUAGUAUGACACGUAAAACCAGUAGUUUGGCCACCAUGCAGGUGUUCUUUUUCAGAAAAGUGAUCGUUUGUUCAACCCGUGAGCCCUUUGUGAGGUGCUAGCUGGGGUUAUGUGCCAGUAGGUGAGCACAUGUGCCGGUGGGUGAGCAUAUGUUCUUUUUCUGAAAAGCGGUCGUUUAUUUGACUAUGAGCCCUUUGCGAUGUGCUAGCUGGGGUUAUGUGCCUGUGGGUGAGCAUAUUGUGGCAUUGCCUGUGGUCUUUAAUCAAUAUGACAAGGUGUUUGGAUAUUUGUCUUACAUACAGUUGAUAUAGUACACUAAACUUUAGCAAAUUGCAGGUUUCUAGUGUUAGAUGAGUAACUGGAGUUACUCUGGAUGUUUUGUGAGCUUAUCGGCAUUUAAUUUAAAGGUUUUAAGCGAUAGGAUAAGCUACUGACACUAAAACCUGAAAAAGUUCAGGUUUGGGUGUUGAGUACCGGUACUGCAUUGCGCGGGUACCGGUACACUAUAUAAAAACGCAGUUGCGCAGAGCUCUCAGGUUUUAGCUAUUUUGAGGCCGAGUACCGGUACCCCAGCCCGAGUACCGGUACCCAGUGCGACUGAGUGAGUUGGUAAGGGGCUUUUUGGUAAUUUUACUGUGAUGGUUAUCCUCUUUAAACCCCAGCUCGACCCCAACUACUACUUCUUGUGCUGGAGCUUGAGGGAAAACAGGGUAAGCCCUAUUCUUUCUCUCUCUAAGGUUUAUUUCAUUUUCAAAUGGAAAUUUGUGGAUUUGAGCUUAUUUCCUUCCCUCUCUGAUGCUAGCUGAUUUGGAGAGUUGUGGAGCAGCUGUAGAAAGGUGGAAAGAAGAGUUUUGAUAGUGGUUCUUCAACCCUAACUCAGGGAGUAACUGAGUUGGAGUUUUACAAGGUGAGCAACUCAACUUCUCUCUAGGUUGAUGUAUUAGUAGAGGUAUUGGUGGAGUUUGUUUUGGGAUAGUUCACAGCAGGUUAAUGGAACCCCUUUGGCUGAGUUUUGUGAUCUUUUUAGGUUGGUUUUGGUGUGUUCCAACCUGAGUUGAAGUAAAAAGGAAGCUUGGAUUCUAUACUAGGUAUGAUGUUACUUAGGUUAUGUGAACUUUUGAGGUUCUUAUGUAAUAGUUUGGCUAUUGCUCCUAGCUAAUUUAGUAUGAUUGUAGGGUGCUUGGAGGCUAGAGAGCACCUUCGCUCACGGAAUCAACAAGAGUUGACAUCAAUUCGGUGGGUUUGACCUUACUGAAAUUGGUGAAUUCCCUCUAUGUCUUCUUUGACAUUAUGAAAUUAGAAUUGUUGUAUAUUCAUGUGAAUACAUGUGUGAAUGGAUUGGUGCAUGCAUAAAUAUGCAUAUUAUGUCGGAUAAAAGGAAACCUCCAUAUGGUAGAGGAGGGAUUAUGAAAUUGUAUAGCAUACAUAGAUUACUUGCUCGUUUAGCAUGCAUUACAUAAUAUUAGCAAACUUGUGUAGACAAGUUAGGUAUGACAUCAUUCAAUAGUGAAUGAAUGUAAAGCUAUGAAUAUGACACUUAGUUUAGAUGCACAACUAAGUGAAUGAUGUAUUAUGGUGCUUAACCUUUAAGUUAAAUCAUGCAAUUCCAUGUUGUAGACAUGAUGACAGAGCUUCUAGCAUAUCAUAUAUAGUGGAGUUAUAUGCAUAUAUUUAUAUUGUGAAAUGAAUUGUGUAGAAAUCAUGUGUAGAAUACCUUACAUGAUAUUUUGUUUACUUGUUUAGACAAGUUGGUUAUGGCUUUCACAUGUUAGAACUAGCAUGAACUCGUUCUUGUAUAUAACCUAGUUGAGUAACUAGAACUGGACAUUAUGAUAUAAACUCCGACCUAUGGGUCAUGAGGUGAUAUACUUAUAUGGUCAGAUGGAUGUAAUUGCAUAACAAUUAUAUACUCCAUGUAGUGGCGGUCUAAGUAGAAAUACAUGACAAAUGCCAUGAGCUUGUGUGAAGUAUUGACUAAGACCUUAGUAAACCACUUUCCCUAUGUUAUAGGGACUAGUGAAUGAACUAAAUGUGAGAAUGCGAGUAUAGCCCGUCAGAAUUAUCAAUAUGAUAUAAACUAGUUGUAUGUUAUGACAUAGUAUCUAUUGGUCAACAUAAGUCACCAAGUAGUUGAUACACUACAACAGAAUUAGGUUAUAGGAACACAUGUUUGGGACACUUUUGUGUAAGUGUCUUAUUUAUGACAAAACUUUAAAAAACAUCUACUAAUGCCUAAAUAUAAAGCCUAAUCCAACCAAAAUAAAAGGUUACUCUAUUCAACCCAUCCCACCCAGCCCAUUCGACACGAUUACAAACAGAAAAGGAAAAAAAAAAAAGAAAAAUCGAUUACCAUCUUUCCUUUUCCUCUCACUCAAUCCACGAAAAUUCUAGACAAAGAGUCCUUCCCUCUCCUCCUCCUCCUCCUCCGGCACCGCAACCAACGAGGAAGAGUUUCGACGGUUGCUAAAUGUUUAAAAAGUGUUGGUAAAUUAGCAGCAUUCUUUUUAAAUUAUACCGACACUCUUUAAUUGUUACUAUAUACCUAGCGACCCCACAUAUAGCAACACUUUUUAAAAGUGUCCAUAAUUUAGUCAGCAGCACUUUUUUUGACAUGUAUCGACAUUUAAAAGUGUCGCUAUAUGCCGUUUUUGUUGUAGUGAUAGUAGAAUAUGACUUUAUUGUUAAUUAUCGACCUUGUGUCGAAGUUGAAAUUCCAUGUUAGAGACAUGAUGAACUUUUGAACGUUAUGCUAUGGAUUACGCUUACUUACCAAUGUGCUCAUUCGCACAUACUUGUGAGGGUCGCUCCCCACAAGCCGGCACUCUGGAGUUGGCCUAUGCGACACCAGAUCGCCCGUGCAGGACUAAGCACCGAAGUGGAUUGCCGUGGGUAGUGUUGACUUUCACGGGGCCAUUAGGCACGGCACGAGCCGGGACUUUACCACGUGUAAGUCUCUUGUUAAUUGGGUUAAUGUAAAUAAAUGUAACCCUAGGGGACAUAGUAGUAAAGAUGCUUUAUUUCAUUAGUUGAGAUAUACCUAGUAAUGAACAUACUAAAAGGUUGCAUUCUUGUUAGUCAUUAGUUGCAAUGACAGUACUUGUAUGUUUACACUCCUGUUAGUGUAGGAAGAUAACUAUGUGAUGUCAUUAGCUAGUUAAACCAUAAUGAUGACAUUCUGAAUGAAUCAUGACAUGUAGUUAAAGAUGAUCAACAUGUAAUGAGUAUGAAAUACUAAACUUGUAUAUAUAAUGACUAGUACAUAAGACAUGUUAGAAAACAUAUCUUGUUGAGGCAUGUUCAUAGUUGAUUCAUUUCAUCUACUUGUUGCAUUUAUAUUUUCUACUUGCUGUAGUUUACUCAUGCCUCAGUUGACCUAGUGGUGUACUUCGCCACUCUCGGCAGCUUACCUACUGGAAACUAUUGUUUAAUAGUUCUCACGCCCAUUUGUUGGUUGCUUUUGUGCAAAGCCUUCCGCAGCGGGAAAGACUAGGGUUCCUAGCAAAGGGUCAGCGGCUAGCUAGAGCCUCCUCGAUGUUAAAUAGACAAACCCAUGCAAGCUUAUUCUAGUUUAGCUCAGAGAUAUAUUUUGGGACUAUUUAGAAUGUACUUUGUACUUUACUUCUAAACUAUAAUUUGGUAUUAUUUUAGUAUAAGCUUAUGAACUUUUAGUUUUUGCUCUGAUUACUUGGUUAAGAAGUUAUGCUUUUGCUAUGUUGACUGUAGACGCCUGGUGUACACUAGAGGUGGUGGUGUACACGGCGGGUCUGUGCACGUGGUUGGUGAGCUUUCGCUAAAAUCCAGGACGUGACAGUUAAUGCAUAUGUAUAUUAUUGUUUCUUUACAGUAGCGAUAGAUACUUACCAUUAUUCAUAUCUGUUGUUCUUUACUCACUACUGUACUUGCAUAUCUAUCUCUCUUUUGUAUAUUCUAUUCGCCAGUGAGUACACUCGCCCUUAUCAGCUUGCGGCAUCUAUUGGGAGACCCUAUGUUGGUUUCUCACACCCCUCCUUUUCAGGUGAUCUUGGUGGGGAGAGUCAGGACAUGCGUGGCGUGCAGUAGCUAGUGAGCUUUAGAGGUCCCAACCUUCCGACAUUGGAUACAGUUACUCUUAUUCGUUAAUAAGUUAGACUCUUAGUGGUCCAGUUAACUGCUUUCUUAAUUAUUUGAUCCCAUGAUGGUUUAGUGCUUGUGGAUAAUUAUCUUCUUAGAAAUAAUUGAAUGGUAAAGUUCUUUUGACUAUAUGUGGUUGUGAUGACUUUGUGAUUGUGGAUUUAUGACAAAAUAGUUUUCUACCCUUAGUGGUAGUCGCCUUUUCAAAAGAAUGAGUUUCCGUGUGGAAAACGGUUUUCAAACGACUUUCCGAAUUUAUCGAUACCAUAGUAUUUCAAAAUUAAGUUUUCAGAUGGAAAACACUUUUAAAUGAUAGAAUUGGUUGACGUAUUAUGCAUUCGCAUCAUCCUUUGCUUAAGAACUGCUUAGAACAUGCAUCAUCUUAAGGAUGGCUAGCUGAUUGGUCUAUGUGAGCAUCUGCAUUGUGAAUGCUAAAUUGUAUUAGUGGAUGAAUGUGUUGUGGCAUGUACUUGAAGUGGUACGGCAUGCAAACACAGGGGACACUCUUUCCGUGUGGAUAAGGGAGUUUCUGUAUUUAUGGCGGAUCUGCUCUAUCCUAAGGGCAAGUUUGUUUUUUCAAAAAAAAAUAAUGGGUAUUUUGCGCUGCCUCUACUUUCCAAUUGGCCCGUCCUUCAAAAAGCCUUUACUAAAGAGGGCCCCCAGGGUGUGACAAAAUCUCCAAACUUGAGUUUGCUCCUCCGAUCACCUCUGCCGACGGCGAACUUUGGUCAGUAGGCCAUUCCCCGGGUGCUCUCUGGCCCGUGCUCACCUUUGUGAUAGCCCGAGUCGCUACAAAGAGAGCGCUCUAGGGAACAGCUUAUUCUGAAAGGUUACUCUAUCUUCAUUGUCGGCAGCUGUUGGCACUCAAAUAUGCUGAAAUACUUCACAAAUUGAAUUCACAAUGAUCUAUCUUCGUUAUUUUCGUUAUCGGUAACUGUUUAAAUUUUUCACAAAUUGAAUUCACGAUGCUCAAAUAUUAUCUAAAUAUUUUCAUGGUGAUUCUUACUUAUUUACAGCUUUGGAAUUGAUUAUAUUUGUUUAAACUAGAUUAGAAUAGGUUCUGAAACUAAGUUAUUUUUUUUAAAUAUAAGUCUUUUUUACAUUGAGUACCGUUACUAGUAAUGAGUUCCUCAAAAAUAGAGUUUGAAAACAUAAGUAUUUAUAUUGAGUAUCGGUACCCAAUAUCAGUUCAAAAAACCAAAAAGGUAUCAGUUUUUCUUUUUGAACCGAGUACCAGUACCAAGUUGGAGCAUAGGUACUGAAACUCUCAAUUACUGGUAUUGAAAAUCUUGAGUACCAUUACACAAUACUGAAUUCUGCUCGAUACAUCUUUGAGUACCUGAAUCUAACUUCGUGUACCAGGACACAAUGUGGAGAUUCAUAUUAUGAAUUCUAAUCUAACCUUAAUUGAUUUCAAAGGCCAUAAAAUAUAUAGGUACAAAAGUGUGGCACCUUUUGUUAGGUGACUGCCACUAGUAACCUUUUUGGCGGCCAUGUAUGUUGCCACCAAUAAGAAUCUCUCAUUGAUAUCGACUUUUUUCGCCAUUGAAAAAUGGAUUAGUGGCAACAAAUGUUUGCCGCAUAAGAUUAUUAUUUAGUGGCGAUAAUAUAUUGCCAACAUAGAGACCUUUACAGUGGCGACAAUGUUUGCUACUUAAGGUUGCUAUUUAGUGGCUAUACUUUGUUGCCACCAGAGAGGCAAAUUAUAGUGACAACAAAUGUUCGACGAAUGUUCUUGUGGCAGCUUACGACGACCGUCUUAAUUGUCGGAUUUGAAGAAAAGUGGUGGUGCUUGGAUUUACCACUAUAUAUGGUGCCCUACUGUGAAGUGAUUUGGACCUUUUCUUCAAUAUUUUCAAGUGGUGGUGGGAUUUAUGACUAGAGAAGCAUCUCCAUCACCAUUUGAAAGUAUGAAAAAAAGAAAGCAAGUUAUAAAGUGCUUUGGAUUUUUCUUUUUUUCUUUUUUUCUUUUUUUUGAGACAUAAGUAGCAUGCUAUCCGCUUCGUUUAUUUCAUUUAGAAAUAAAUUUAGCUGAAAAUGUGAAUCAACUAGGAUUCGAACUUGGGACCUCAUGUACAAACCAUCAAACCCUUUGUCACUUGAUUUGUAUUUUUCUGAGCCCUGUAAGCUAAUGAAACCUGGAGCAUGGCUACUGUGUUAUUAGGAGUACAACAGCUCUUAUGCUCGUAAUUUUCUAAUCAUCCAUCAGUUUUGAUAGGUGGUUAGGAUUAGAAAGAGAAGAGAAAUUAUAAAAAAAAAUUCAAAAAGAAGAGAAAUUGAGAUACCCAUGCCAAUUUUUUCUCAAUUUCACUUCUCUCUCUAAUCCUAACCACCGAUCAAAAUUGAUGGAUGACUAGAAAGUUAGAAGCACAAGAGCUGCUGUACUCCUAAUAGCACGGUAGCCCUGCUCAUGAAAUCUGUAUUUCAUCAAUUAAUUAUUUUCAAACUUGUCCUUAAUAAAUAAUGCUGAUCAUUAAAUUUACCCAUUAAAAUAUAUUUCUGCAUGGGAGAGAAAUUAAUUUUACCCAUUAAAAUAUUAGUAGUUUAUAGUUUUCCUUGGGCAAGCUUUGAAAUGAUCUCAUUGGUGACAUCCAAAAGGAUAAAAAUUUGUCCUCUAUUUUAACUUGCAUUUAAAUAUUGAAAAAUAAUAAAAUAAUUCAUGAUAAAAAAAUCACAUAGAUUUUUGAUAUAUUUUUGCUGCGGAAUUAUGUUGCUUCUAUUCGGACCUCUUGUUUCAGAAACUUUCUGAUCCGCUUAAAAUUUAUCUCGAUUUCUAACACGUUUUUCUUCUUAAGAGUUGUUUCUUAAUCAGUUUAGAAGUUUUCUUGAUCUUUAGCACGUUUUUUUUUUUUUUGAGAGUUGUUCUUUCUUGUUAUGAGCUGGCUACCGGAGCCGAUUGCACUAAUGGUGCCUUAGAGUGAACCAAAAAGAGAGAAUUUCUGUCGAUAGAUUAUUUUAAUUUUUUUUUGUAUAUUUUCUAUUAUUCUUUUUUUUUUGUAUAUGUUGUUUGUGGCCAAUUCUUGAUACAUUUAUUGAUCAUUGGGUAGAUAUAUAUUAAUUCUAAUCUUGUUAUAAACCAUAAAGAUAGAGAUUUAAAUAGAAUAAGAUUUAUCUUUUACAUUUAUUUCUUAUCCGAUUAUCCGAUAUAAAUUAAAAAUAUUUUAAAUAAAUCGCAAUAUAGAUGAAUCGUGACACAAUGUUUUUUUUUUUUUGAGAGAUAGAUAGCACGCCACCCGGUUCGUUUAUUUCAUUUAGAAAUAAAUUUAGCUAGAAAUGUGAAUCAACUAGGAUUCGAACUUGAAUCAACUAGAAUCCUAACACAAUGUAUUGAUUUAGUUGACAUAAGUGACGUGUGAUGCCCACAGAGCGGUGUUAAAUAUUCAGUCAUGUUGAAGUCUUAAUAAUCUCCGCAGUUAUAUUAACUCAUCCAGUUUACUUUAUAAGAACAGGCAUAAGUGUGCACAUUACAUAUAUUCUCUUCAAUCUGAAGAUCUUUAUUUUCUUUUUUCAACAAAUUUUUGUCUCGGACGUGAUUCAACAGCUUGACCAAUUAGAGGAGUAUCACACCUUGACCCCCCAACAGGCGGACCGCCGCAAACAGCUCAAGGUUCAACUUUUGGAGAUAGUGGCGGACGAGGAGAUUUUAUGGAAAACACAUGCUAAACAACAUUGGUUAAAAGAAGGAGAUGGUAAUACCAAGUUCUUUCAUGCGUGGGCGAACGGCAGGUGGCGUGAGAAUAUGAUAUGUGAGGUGGAAGACGAAGGUCAGAGUUUGGUUAGAGAGGAGGAAAAAAGAGAGCACUUUUUUUCCAAAUUUAAAGGCGUCUUCGGCUCAAGUGUCGUCGAUUCUGCGUCGGUGGGAGAUUGGAGCUCCCUAUUCAGAGACAAACCUCUACUACACGCAGAACACCUCACUUCCUCUUUUUCUCGGGAAGAGAUUAGGAAUGCCACGUUCCAGUUAGGUAGCGUUAAGUCGCCAGGGCCUGACGGAUUUAACCUAAAGUUCUUUCAGCGAUUCUGGGAAGUCGUUAAAGAUGACCUCUUUGAUAUUUUCCACGACCUCUUCGAAGAAAAGCUUAAUAUGGGACCUAUGGAUUAUUCAUAUAUUUGCCUUAUUCCUAAGAAAGAAAGGGCUAAAUCAGCAGGUGAUUUCAGGCCAAUCAGCCUAAUCAACAGUGUACAGAAGAUCAUUUCCAAAGUUCUAGCAAACAGAUUAGAAGGAGUUAUGAAGGACAUCAUUACUCCGACUCAAUCGGCUUUUCUAAAAGGACGAGUGAUUCUGGAUUCCUUUGCAAUAACCAACGAAAUCAUCAGUUGGUGUUCGCGUCUAGGGGCGGAAAGCGUAGGUAUCAAAGCGGAUUUCGAAAAGGCGUACGAUAGGGUGAGAUGGGACUUUCUGCGACAAGUCAUGUAGUGGUUAGGGACAAAUCAGAAAUGGUGUGGAUGGAUCGACCAAUGUAUUUCUAAUGCUAAGAUAGCUGUUUUAGUUAACGGAGUUCCAACAAAAUGGAUUAAAACAAAGAGAGGCCUGUGACAGGGUGACCCACUCUCACCGUAUCUCUUCUUACUGGUGGCUGAAGGGUUUGCGAGAUUGACAGAUAAAGCGGUAAGGAACGGCCUGUUAAGAGGUGUUGGGCCCACAAGGGACUCUAAAGUAGCCACAUCCAAUACGCGGAUGACACGAUCUUUUUUUGUGAAGCAAAGAAAAAACAAAUUUCAAACCUCCUUUUUCUUUGGCAUUUAUUUGAAUGGGCAUCUGGACUGAAGAUUAAUCGCAACAAGUCCGAAAUCUUCUACCUAGGGGAAGACGACCAGUCAGGCAGGAGACUAGCAGCAAUUUUGGGAUGUAGAGUUGGAUCCUUUCCGAUUAGAUAUCUAGGACUUCCCCUUACGAACGGCCGAUUACGUAGGGAUGAUUGGUGGCCCAUAAUAGAUAAAGUGGCGAAAAAAGUCGAAGGGUGGCAAACGAAACUCCUGUCUCGAGGAGGGAGGUUGGUGCUAGUCAACUCGUCAUUAGCGAAUUUGCCACUUUAAUUUUUUUCGAUCUUUAGGGCACCUAAAUGGGUUACUUACCGGAUAGAAAUUUUAAGGAGGGCGUUUUUUUGGAGGGGAGGUGGAUCGGUAGUAGAAGGUUACUGUUUGGUUCGGUGGAAGGUAAUUUGCAGCAACCGAAAAGAGAGAGGGCUAGGAGUGAUAGAUUUAAACAACAUGAAUUUA
rnacentral:lncRNA from 1 species